rnacentral:lncRNA from 1 species
CACACUCAGAUGUGUGUUCAUCUCCAGAUACUACUCCAUGCUACCUGCCCUUUGUGUUUUGUUCAAUAACUGGGUAUCAUAUCCCAGCCAGUAUGCCGUCUGUUUUGUGUUUGUUUCCUUCUAGUUCCAAAGGGGUCAUCAUGAUGUUACCUUCUUUCAAUAUGGUGCUUUGCAUGACUACUGUUGUAUGGUACCAUCUUGUGGCCAAUAAGUACAUCUUAUCCUAUGACCUUUGCUAUGACCCUUUGCAAAUAAGUAGAAGAUUGUUAUAAGCGUCAAUACUCCGUAUAAAUUGAUCGCUGCUGUGAGUUCCCUUUCAGCUUAUCGUAGGCAUACAUUAUUGCUAGCACGGUAAAGCCAACCAACACGAAUGAUGAAGUAAACGUAGCGGUACUUCUGUAUACCAACACCCUUACUUAAAUGUACCGGUGUCAUUCCCUACUGGCACAUAUAUUCUUAUAUGCUAGCCAGCUUGUAAAAUUAACCAAUUAAAAUAAUUAUUUCAAGAUAGAAAUAACUUAUCGGUUUCUGGAAGCAUGUGUAAUGUGAAUUCAAGGACUCGACGGAAGUUGAAUCACUUCAUCUAUAUUGCUUUCAGUAUUUUGGGUAACUAAAUUUAACAUUUGCACAUACAAAUGUUAAAGUACAAAUGUUAAAUCUAGUUACCCAAGCAGAAUAUGAAGAUAGUUUAUAGUAUAUAUAUACUAUAUAAAUCUAGUUAACAUUUAGUCUAAAUGUUAAAUCUAGUUACCUAAAAUCCUGAAAGCAAAAUGUAUAAAUAUAUAUCUUUUAAGGCAGUAUAAGCUUCGAUUCCUAUUGCUGCUCUGUUAAAUCUCAUCUUUCGUUGUGGCCCAACACUCUAGUAUGCAUGUUGCACCAAGCUUCUUUGAGCCGCUCUGCCCUCUGAUUUUGCUGCGUAGGGGAAUCUUUAUCAGGUUGGGCUACUUCCAGUUGUGCGAUGUAAAGAUUCGUAUUUUCUAGAAGGUAGACAAAAAACUCGCGUUCUCUUAAGGCAACAACCGGAAGAUUCUGCAGCGCACAGGGCAUACCAUUAUUGUAGAAACGACCUUUAGUACCGAUCUCCAACCCCCUUUAAAACUGGUUUUGCAACCGGUACCGUUAUGUCGGUCCUUUAGUACCAGAUCAAAUAAGUACCGGUUGGUAACCAGUAUCAACUUGUUUUGCGGCCAAAAAAAUAAAGAAAAAAACAGUCAGAAGGCUCGCGCACACGCGCAUCACAUGAAAUAUGCGUGUGCGGGGUCCAUGGGAUUCGAACCCAUGAAAUCAAGCUGCGCGCGACCCUUCGUUACCAUCUCACCUACAUAGCGCAUAUGCUUUCCUGAAGUAACCCGUGGAGGAGGCUUUAGUACCGGGUCAUAACACCACCCGGUACUAAAAAUGACUCUUCAGUACCGGGUCAUAACACCACCCGAUACUAGUAUCGGAUGGUGUAAUGACCCGAUACUAAAAGGCCUCUAGGGACCCUCAAAUUUGAACCCGGUACUAAUGCUAAUAUUAGUAGCGGGUCAAAGUGCAGCCAGAACUAAAGCAUGGGAUGAAAGGUCAUAUUUCUAGUAGUGUAUAGUUGUUGUGAAGGACUGACUUGGCUGUCCUCUCUCUUCUCCAUCCCCUUGGUCUUACGCCGCCGCUCGCACGCGAGCCGGUGCCCAACCAGAGGAGUGAGAGCUAGGGGCAGGUUGGGAGGUGGGGAUAGUGACUGGUGGCCAGGGUGAUGGUUGAUCCUGGUGGGGUUAGGGUUUUAGGGUUUUCGAGCUUCCUAUGGUCGGCGAACCUAGAGGAGGAGCUCAACAUCAGCUGCAACCCGCGAUGGUGGUGGUUUGGCCGGCGCCCGAGGCGAGGCAGCGCGGGAGUGCUGCCGGUGGGUUGGUGUUGGCACUCAUUAUUGACAACUAUUUUGUUCAUAAAAUAACACUCAAACUUGCUGCUGCUGCUGCUGCUGCCAUCGCCACCCUAGCCAUAAUAUAAAGGCAAAAUUUGCUAAAGGACAUGCAAAAUGAUGCUAGUUUGCUGGCGGGCAUCGUUGACCUUGUAAUAUGCUACAAGACACUCUAGUUGUGUAUCAAUUUGCUGAAAGACAUUGCUAUGACUAAAAUAAUGUUUCUGGACUGAGUUGGAGAGAGAGAUGGAGUGAAAUGUCUGUUUUGCCCAUGACCCCACUGGUCAGAUCCUUCUUCUUCCACCCUCCUUUGUUCUUUCUUCAACCAUUACCCAGCUCCAGCGUGUUGCAGAUCUACGAGGGUGGCGGCCUGGGGCGAGGGGCAUCGCUCGCCCUUGGAGGAGCGCUGCGAGCGACGGCGCGGGGGCGGCAACAGCGCGUCAGAACCUGACUGUUCGUUAGCUCCUCUCGCUGCUGGGGAAGGAGGGGGAUGGGCCAUGGACGGGGUUCCCUUGAAAACCUCAGCGUCGAGCUCGGGCGGCUACGCGCAGGCAGCACUAGGCUGCUUCACGGGGAGGGGGCGCGGCCAAUCAUUGGCACCCCACUGGUCCAAUGCUGAUGAAGAUGGUGCCAGCGUCGUGUGAGGACAUCUCAUCUCCUCGAGUUCCAUGGCCAGCACAGGUGAGCUGCCGCUACCACAAAACAGAGGUUUCGUGAGAGUCAAAAAACCUUAUGAAAAUAGCUAAAACCAUCAUGAAAAUAAUCCGUGACAUGACACUCUCACGAAAAUCCUCUCACAAAUAUGGUGCCAUGAAAAUACCAUUUUCAUGAGAGUGAACUGUCAUGAUUUUAUUUCGUGAGAGUAUUUCCUAUCAAUGACCUCCACGAAAUACUUUGUGCCACCAGGUCUUCAAGAUCAUUUUCAUGAGAGCUGAACAUCAGGAAAAGUCCGCCACAAAUGUUUUUCUUGGAGCCCCUAACUCUCAUGAAAAUCAUGCGGGCCGCCACGAAAAACAGCAUGACCAAAUGACAAAUUUCAUUUUCAUGUGUUCAUACCGCCAUGAAAAUGGUCAUUUUCAUGAGAGUUGAUGAAACAAAAAAUAGUGCCAUUUUCAUGAGAGUUCAAGCAACCAGGAAAAGACACUAAUAAACAUCCAGAUCCCAUCCAGCACACAUCCAUGCACAUAUAUAACCCACAUAUUGCUCCAGCACACAUCCAUGCAUAUACAAGAUCCAAAUGUUAAUAUAGUAGACAUCCAUGCCUGAACUAGUCUGCCACACAAGUCAUUGAUGCUACAAAUCCUACAAUCGCAGCAUGUGCAUACAAGUCACAGAAUGAGACAAUGUACCCAAAACUAAAAGGUUAGCAUCAACUGUGCUUCAACCAAAGUUGUCAUCCCAACUCUCCUCUUCAUCCAUGCCAUUCUUGUCGUGGCCGUCACUGUCAGUCCCCAUGGCAUUGCCAAUGCUGUGCAUGUCUUGGUAGGAACCUACAUGUGAUGAACUAGUAACCUGCAAAAAGAGCUCAAAGGAUCUUGUUCUCAUAUUGUAGCUGUGAAAUUCUUACAAGUAGUGUUGCAAUCAGUUCACUUUGAACCAAAAGAGCUCAAAGGAUCUUGUCCUAAAAGUUCCUCAUAAAGCUUAUGGGUUUGCUGGUGGAACUGGAAGGGCUUGAUGCAGCAGAUGCCAUUCUGCAAUAGAGAAAAAUUUAGAGAGCAGUACUAGUUAAAAUUGGAUGCAGAAGAUACACAUGAAACUAGUAUUUAUACAAGUCUAUACAAUUAAAAUCUAAGGAGACUUAUCAUCGUUUUCAUGUGUUGUGAAUUAAAAUAAUGAAGGAUACACUGUUAGGUGAAAAUUCAAGAAACAAAAUUUUGCAUAGAGAUAAAGGUCCAACAUUAUUACAAGUUAAGGUAGUUUUAAAUAUCCUUGUAAUCUUCCUUUGGUUUCCUCAACGAUUCGAAGACAAUAACCUUGCUUCUAUCAAUGAUAAUUAUAAGGAGAAUCCAGUGGAAACUGUGUAUUCGUAUUAGAACUACCUAAGGUUAAUUAGGUUAGGAAAGGAAAUUGAAAAUAGAUGGUACCCACACUUACUUAAAGUUGUCGGGCAAUAGUAUGUAAUGCUUGUAAUUCCGUUGCUCCAAGAAUUUGUAUAUGUGGUCCAAUGUAGACUUUGGUUGAUCCCGUAUCUGCUGUUGGUUAAAUAAGUGUUUCUAGCCAUUUCUAGCCAUUAGAACCGGGACUAAAGGGGGCUCUUUAGUACGGGUUGAUAUUACUAACCGGGAUUAAAGAGCCCCCAUUAGAGUUGGUUUUUGGAUGCGGAACUAACAACUCCUUUAGUCCUGAGUACGAAAACAACUGACAUAUUUGUUGCUGGAUGGAAGGUCCUUUCUCUACCGUGAAUAUUGCCAGAAAGAAUUGAAAGAGACUGCUUGCUAAAAAUAUGUCAUAGAUGUAGACCAAGCUACCAAGGAGGUAGACCAAACAUGAUACACACCAUGCGUACCUUGCUGUGCAGACUAUGCAUUGACAAGAUACCCGACCACAUGUUGGCCUCGGUCACAUCAAAAGAAUCAUGUAGGCCACCAAUAAACUACUUGAAGCGGCAUUCCGUAUCGUAUAUGCAUUGCCGGUUCAUCUGCAUUACAUUACAUAAAGCACUAUUAACUAUUUGAAUAAAAUGAACCAAUUUAAAAGUAAUGUGUUGUACUCUACUAUAGAAAGCCCUAUCACUGCCGGAUCCAAAAACAUCAUUGUUAAUGGUGGUUAAGUACCAAAUAUGACGGUCAAUAUUCUCAAGAAUAAUGGAGAAUUAGCAUUUCUUAGACACAUAUUUGGUUUUGAACAAUGUAGUUCCACAUGUCUUUGGAGAUUAUUUGGGUGUGGGUGAAAUAAUACAAAAAUAAGGAGAAAACACACUCCCAUGGCGAAGAAACACAACUCCAACCAAUGAGAGAUAGCCACAGGGGCAGCACACGGAUCCAUGGGCCCACUAACCGCAUCAAACCAUCUUACCAAGGCAGGUAGCACCCACAACCGUCAUUAGGACCCACCUGGAAGUCUACCAAGAAGAAGGUUGCGAGUGGGGCCAGGAGGGGUUCGGUUGAAUCAUCUCUAGCUAGCUCCCCUCAUCCCCAGCUGGUGGGUGGUGGUGGUUGAUGGUGUCCCUACAUCAGUUAGAGGAGAUUCCCCCAAAUAUUCCUCCUGUAAACCACCUCUAUGGACCUAUACAUAGAGGGGUGUGCUCUCCAUUCCAACACACACCACAAGUUGAAUCACUCUCUCCCUCUUUAGUUUCCAAGUUUAUGGAGUUAGGCUAGAGUAGCUCUGCUCAAGGUUCCAAGUCCACUUGGAGUUAAGCAUAUGUCUCUUGUAUCGUUAUUUCCUAAAUUGACUUUAUGCUUAGUUCUUAUAUGCAUGAGUUAGUCUAAUACCCUUGCUAUAUUGAUAUGCUCGGCUUAUAUGCUCGUAUGCUAGUCAUAUACCCUUGCUGUCGUAGUAUAGGCUUAUAUGCUCUCAUGUGUGCCUGUAGACCUUGCUAUAGUAUAUACUUGUUGUGCAUACAUACCAUGUAUAGGCUAGUCGAUCUAUACCAUGGCAUUGGUUCAAUAGCCAUGUUUUUGGUGGCUCCAACCCUAGUCACAAUAGCUCGGGACAGCUGGAGUGUUGUUAAAAAUGCAAGAGUGGUGCUUGGGUUGUUUAGCAUCGUUGGAUAUGGGUUUGCCCCACGGGUUUCUAACGGUAGGCGGCAGCUAGUGACAUCCCUGUCCGUCCUUCGUAAUCCCCCCACAUUCAGGUACGCCAUAAAUGUUCGUAAAUUAGCAGUAACUACGCCGGUACACCUGUAGGGUAUUGUCUCCCUGUAGUACCUUGGUGCAUAGAACUAAGUCCUAUACACUGUGUGUGUAUGUUUACGCUGAUAUGAUCUGUGCAGUAUAUAGGAUGUAUAUAUGAACCUAGAGCUAACUCCUAGUCCGUUCUCCAUAGCUUAGUUAUCUUGAGAUGAUUCUUCUGUAUGUGUAACACUACCCAUCUUAUCAUUAUCCUUGAUCCUGUCUUGUGUAAUAUAUCUACUCAUCCUAUGAUAUACUCAUAUGCAUAGUAAACUAUUUUGACCUACCCGCCUUCCUUUGGGAAAUAUGAUACCUUGGAAUAAUCCUAGGUGAAAUCCUACAACGGUAUAUCCAUGUAAAUGCGGAUUUAUUCAUGACCAUUAAAUAUACCAACAAUCAUCACUGUGAGUUUUGGGCGUCGUUAGUGAAGGGUUGGUAGUGAUGGGCAUCCCCUUCACCAAUGGACCUGGAACCGGCGGUGAUGGCUAUUAUAAAAAAGGGGACACCACCCAGCGUACCCCACGACCCGGCCGGCCGCACCUCCCAUCAUCCCCGCCAGCCGCCCUUCCUUUUCGCCGGCCGAGCAUGGUCCCGGCCUUUGUCCCUACCACCUCGCCUCCACCGCGACCCCCCGCCGAUGCCCUCGUGCCUGGCCCCCCUCAUCUUGCCGGCCACCCUCCCGAUGCGUCCACUGGGGCCCUCGCACCACCAACCGCCCUUGCUUAGAGAGGGAGAGAGAGGAGGGAGGUGAGGCCACGCACCUCGUCCUACACCGCCGCUGUUUCUCCUCGGCCCACCGCGCCUCACCCCACACCACAGCCGCGCCUUGCCAUCUUACCGGCUGUGACGCCUCAUCUCACCGGCCACCGUUCCUCACCCCCACUUCGGUCGUCGCCGCUCCUUGCCCUACCGCUGCUCUUUGCCGCUGCGAAUGAGCGCCGAGUGGAGGAGGAGGGAUGGGGCAGGAGGAGGGCAAGAUCCGGGAGGAAGGGAGAGAUCUCGGGAGGUGGAGAUGGAAGGAUAUGGCGGAAGGGAGAGAUCCAGAGGGAGAGAGCAGGGGAGAGAGGGGGGCGUGUGGGGAGAGAGCGCGUGUGGGGUGGGGCCGGGCUGGUGGGAUGGAAGGGAGAGGGGCUAGACGGGCGCAGUGCAUUCAACUGGAUGAAGUAAAUAUUUUGGAUUCGAGACCCCAGCUUUAUUAUCACCGCUGGUCCGUAGUACCAUCCGGUGCCUGCUCGUAAUUUAAUUUGAAUCUGCGGUGAUGUUUUAUUAUCACCAUCGGAUCAUAUAAAAAUCCGGCGGUUAAAAAUCCGCUGGUUUCGAUGAAAACCGACGGUGAUAGGAUGACUGUGAUAGUCUCUUCUCUAGUAGUGGUAUAUUAGUACCGGCUGCCGGAUGGUGUUGCCGACCAGUACUUCUCCGGGGGCGAUUCAGUACUGCUGUUAGCAAAGCUUGUUCUCUAUGAAUUUGGGGAUGGAAAGCUAGUUCUCUAGUUGUGAUUUGUUACAUAUAUAUCUAUGAUAGUCUAGAAAUUGCAUGUCCUUCGUUGACAUAGUUGAAGCUGCUUCAAGAAUUUACUUCGUGCAGUCGUGCAGCAUAUUGGAUUAUCACCUAGACAGGAUACAUAGGUGAAGCAUUGGAUGUGAUUGUGGCCGAUAAUUAUGCAGGACGCUGUUGCAAUCAACCACCAAGAAGUCUGGAGUGAUGGGGUUGCCUCAUCAAUAAUUUUUAUAUAUGGCUGCAGUAUUAUUAAGCCCACGUCAAUAAUUUUUUGUCCGCACCAUAUAUCGAUGGGGUUGCCUCAUCAAUAAUUCGCGCAACCAGACAAGCUGCAGACUCAAUAUGGUACGAAGCUAGUUGCUCAGCCCACAUGCUCUGAUAUAACAUUGACAUCUGCUGAUCUACAGUAUAUAUGACCAGAAAUAUUGUGCCCACCUCAAUAACUUUCUGAAGUAUCGUGGGGAAGAACCUACGCGUACUAUGCCUCGGAACUAACUGACAUAUCGGCCCAGGCGGUCUAGGCCGAUUGGACUGGCUCUUCCUUGUGGCUUCUCACAUCCCCUUCGUCCCCAAGUAAUUUCAGGUGUUCUGUAGUUUUCUUUUCACUUGCAUCUGAGCCUCCUAUAUCAAUAGCUUCGGGAUAAGAAUGCCUCUUGAUAACCUUCCAAAUCCUCGCUUGAUUCACAUUGAUUCCGAAAUCAUCUUGCCAUAUCUUCAGAGACUUAGGUCCUAAGGCAUCAUGGAGGAUUGCUCGCCAAGAAUGAGCACCAUUGGGCUCCUGAGGACCCUAGGCCGAUCAGCCCGGGCUCUAUAGGUCGAUUGGCCCAGGCCCUCUCUGGGCCUGUUGGCCUUCAUCUUUCUUUGAGUCGACGCUUAUUCAGGGCUUUGUCCAAUUAUAGUCCAUUAUAGUCUAAUUUCCUAAAAAACAGAAUGUCCUCCAAAAUACAAUGCAUAUGUGAAAACAACCCAAUUAUUAGGUAUGAUCAAUAGUUUAGGUAUUAAAUUAAUAUUAUUAUUUAAGAUAAACAGGGGUAAAGGGUGUCAUUAAUAACAAGCGCCAACAAGCGUCCUAGCUGUUCAAUAAAUUUUUUCUAGUACCGAUUGGUAACACUAACCGGUGCUAAUAUGUACCCUUUAUUACCGGUUAUUUUACCAGGUACUAAAGGAGACAAGAGCAUCCUAACAUAAGGUUAAUAUCAUCCAUUUCAUGAGUAAAAUACUAUGAUUCAAAAAUAAUUCAAAUCCCUUAAGACAAUACCUAUCAAAUGAGUAAAUUGUAAAUAGAGUAAUCUUGAUCAAACAAUGUCCUAAUGAAACGGAACACUUCUGGUUCGUGUAGAGCACAAUAUAGAAAACAGUAGGGUAGCUGUAUGAUUGACACGUGGUCCAUUAAUUAUUGAGCCAACACUAUGGACAUGUCUUCAUGAGUAGUGUACUAGUCAUAAUACAUGGUAUGCAGUAGGUGGAGGUAUUGACUUAGCCAUGCUAUGAGCACUUAGUUACAACAAACACUUUGCCAUUAUCGAGCAUCCCAAAUCACUACAAAAUCCAUAGUUUACCAUAUACUACAAAAUCUGAGUUAAAAUAAGAGCAUACACGGAAGAGUCCGAAUGCACGGCACAUUGAAUUACUAGACAAAAUUUAUGGGACAAGGUUUUGGGUAACCGCAUGAAAAAUAUUGGAUUUUACUGAACACUUAGUUACAAUUACCAUGCCCGUGAGCACUUAGUCACCACAAACAUUUAACCACUUUAGAUCAUCCUGAAUCCCUAUAAAUUCUAUACCUUACACCGUACCAUGAAAACGACAAGAACAGAGACAGAUGCGGUGAAAAUCUCCAGAGCAAGCCUGAAAUUAAAAUAAGAGGAGGCAGUCACUAUCGACAGGACACGGAGAUUGCUAGCCAUGACAGAGGAAGACAUGAUAUGAUAUUCACCUCUGAAAUGCAGCGUAGACUAAAUGAAGCACAAUUGCAAGUGAGUGUGGCAGAUAAUGGACCAUCGAGACCAUCGAAUGGUAUGAAGCAUGAUUAUCACCUAGACAUGAUAUCCUAGACAGGACGGUGAAUUGUAAAAAGAGUAAUCUUGAUCAAAGAAUGUCCUAAUGAAACGGAACAUUUUUGGUACGUGUAGAGCAAAAUAUAGAAAACAGUAGAGUAGUUGUACGAUUGAAACUGCAUCCAUCGACGUGGUGCAUGAAUUGUUGAGCCAACACUGUGGACAUGUCUUCAUGAACACCAUCUAGUGAGGACAGCAUGCAGAAAAAUAUAAAAACAUGUCAUAGGGAGGCAGACCAAUCUUGCGAGGUAGACGAAACGUGAUACACGAUCUGCCUACCUUGUCGUGUGGAUACCCCAAGUGAAGAUGUCAUAGAGGUGCAGACCAAGCUAGCAAGGAGGUAGAUGAAACGUGAUACACGGCCUGCCUACCUUGCCGUGGAUAUUAGUCCUGAUAUCAUUCUAUUGUUCAAGGAAUAACACUCAAUGCUGCUGCUGCUGCUGACCUGGCUCCAUAAAGUUAUAUUCCUCUAGCCGCUUGCACUAACUUUAUCUGAAGUAUUAUUCUCUCUGCACUGUAUAUAUGGUUACGGAGUUUGCUGGAGUAUCCGGGGGGAAGAACCUACAUAAUAUGUCUUGGAACUAACUGACAUUGAUUCACAGACAAGGUGCUGUUGUUGACAUGGUACAGUAAAUAAUAUAGUUUACCAUAUACCGUAUACCAUUAUAUGUUAGCUAAAAUAAGAGCAUAACAUGUCGCAGGAGUCCAAAAGCACCGGUUGAGGACCAGGUACAUUAAAUUACUAGAAAACAAAAGGGGACAAGGUUUAGGUAGCCACAUGAAAAACAUUUGAAUUUACUGUACCAUGAACACUUAGUUACCAUGCCGGGAGCACCUAGUUAACACUAACAUUUAGCCACUUUAGAUCAUCCCGAAACACCAAUGACCCUCAAUAGCGACAAAUUUUGGUUUAAAUGCCGUCACCAAUGAUCCUCAAUAGUGACGUGUUUAGGUUUAAAUCCCAUCACUAAUAACCCUUGGUAGUGACGUGUUUUGGUUUAAAUCUCAUCACCACUGAUCCUCACUAGUGACGUGUUUUUAGCAACACACGUUAUGAAUGACUUGUCAUUGGUGACAUGUUAAACGCGUUAUCUCAAUGGCAAAUCAAUGGUGACGUGUUUAAAAAAACAUGUCACUGUGAGAGUUAUUGGUGAAGGGUAAUUAAAAUGCAUCACUAAUUUUGUAGCAUUAGUUAUGAUAUAAUUUUGUAACGCAAAAAUCUACCAUAGUAAUGAGGUUUAGAGCCAUCACUAAUGUGGGUUUCUUAUCGUAGUGAUGCAAGCUCUACAAGGUGCUGUUGUUGCCAUUUUAAAGCAUCCCAAAUGACUACAAGAGUCCGGUUGAGGACUAAACAAAUUGAAUUACUAGAACCAAAUGUAUGUCCAGAACAAAGAAAGGGGUCAAGGUUUGGGUAACCGCAUUAAAAACAUUGAAUUUUACUGUACCAUGAACACUUAGUUACCAUUACCAUGCCUUGAGCACCUAGUUACCACAAACAUUAAUUUAGCCACUUUAGAGGUUCCACAAUCACUAUAAAUAAUAUACCAACACCGUACCAUGAAAACAUCAAGAAGAGAGACGGGUACAUGGACCACCAUCAAGUGAGUAGUGACAGCACGCACAAGAAUACCCGGAACCUUUUAGCUUGUCUGUAGUGAUCUGUUUUCUUCGCCACAAAUAAUGAAAGAGGCUGACCAAGCUAGCAACGAGGUAGAGCAAACGUGAUACACGUAGGUUUCAUUCAAGACAUCCAUGUAAGAUUCAUUCAAAACAUUCAUGGAAAUUUCUUGUAAGUUUUCAUGUAAAUUUCAUUCAAGACAUUUGUUAGAGGUGUUGUAUAUACACUUAACGUACAUAUAUCUAUGAUUUCAUGGUUGUUAGUGAUGGCAGAUGAGGAGCAUGCAAGGUGUUUAAUGGAGCAGAUUAUUGCUAGUGGUAGUGGCUCCAACCUGCCCGUAACGUACACCGACGAAGAGGGCAGCCAGGCGGACAUGUUCCUCAACAUGUCCGGUGAUGGCAAUGAAGAGCCCGAGCAAAACCUUGCCGUGACGGAAGGUUCCAUCGAGGUAUAUAUCAUUUCCAUUAUUUUACCCCAUCUAUAAUUUCAUAUUCAUUAUUACUAUGUGCUAAUUAAUGAAUCUUGAACCGUUAGUCCUCUAGAUCAACGAACCGAAAUAAGCCCCGAGGUCUUACAAAGAUAAUGCAGGGAAGGCUUCACAUCAUGGAAGUCACAGAAGAGGGCACAUCGGUUGCUCCCGAACAUGUGGCAAGAAAGUACGUGAGUCAAACCGGGGCAAUCGUAAGGGACAACAUGCCCAUCAGCAUCAGGGAAUGAAAGAGCAAUAGAAAUGAUCUAUACGCACCCCCGGAUACACAAAAGGAUAUGUUGUGGGCAAAUAUCAAGAAACACUUCACAUUUCCCAAAGGAUAUGUUGAAAAAUAUGUGAAAGCGUGGAUGUUGAAGAAGAUGGCCACCCAAUUCCAGACAUUCAAGAAGAUGUUGGAUGCCAACUUCAUCAAGAAGGGUCGAACUCCGGGUUUCAAUGAGUGGCCAAAGUUAAGGGACCACUGGGAGUCGUUUGUCGAAUACAAGACGAGCGAAGGUGGUGCGAGUAAGGUUCACAUCAAUGUUGCCAAUGCUAGCAAGGAGUACCAUCAUCAUCUAGGGCGACGUGGUUACAGCUCUGCAAUUCCCAGAUGGCGCAAGAUGGAACAAGACCUGAUCGAUCGGGGUAUCGUACCAGCAACUCUUGACUGGAUCGAUUGAAAAAUUGGUAUUAUGCUCAUGAAGGCAAUCUGAGCCAAGAGGAUCCGACAUUGGUCUUCAAUAAAACAAUACGUCAGAAGGUCGGAAGGCUUAUUAGGAACAUUGAAGAUGCUAAAGCUGGGAGGUUCAAGGUGGAUAGAGAGAAUGAUGAACUCACAUUGGCCCUCGGGACUGUCAUCUCUAGCACUUCCAGCUCCAGGACUAUCGUCACCACCGGGACCGUCGCUUCCUGCUCGAUCACAGUCUCCAUCUCCAGCACAUCCUGGUGGUGCGAGCGACGACGACAACAACACCCCUCCCUGCCCACCAUUGCCGGGACUAAGACCCGCAUUGAGUAAGGAACCUGCAACACCACUGAAGAAGUCGCGACCACCACCUUCAAGGCAAGUCAGCAAAAGAAGAAAGCAGAGAAGCCUAAACCCACUGAGAAGCCAGCGACUGAUAUGACCGAUGCGGAAAGAUGGAAGGCACUCAAAGAAGAAUGCAGGGAGUGGUUCAGCGAAGGCGAAGGUGAGAAAGUCGUAUGAAUCGAAUUCAAGGAUAUAUAUGAAGUGAACCAUCAGGAUGCCCUUGAUGUCUCUCUCAUCAGCGCCUAGGUUCUGUAAGUGUAUGUUUAUCUAUAAGUAAAUUUUGGCUCAUAUCAUUAUUUUUUUUGCGUGCGUCACCCUACUAACUUCGUCUUCCAUUUUAUGUAGGAUGCUAAUUCAGACGUGCCGCAUAGAAGCGUACUUCCAUGUUGGAUUCAUGGAUCCAUCCCUAGUUAACCAAAAGCCGAUACGGAAGUAGCUAGAGAAAACGUUGGAGGUGGUGUACAACCUCCUGGACAAACUAAACUACAGAAUAGGGGCAAUAUGUGAGGGUCUUGUAGGAUUCCUAGUGGACGAGGUGAUAAAUCCAUAAGGAGAAUAUCAUUCCAACGGACGAGCAUUAGACACACUGAGCAACACCUAGAUGGGAGGAUCCUAGGAAUGACCUCGACAGAUUUUGGUAUAAAUAGUAAUUGUGUAAAUACUAGUUUGAUUUGUAUAGGAAUAUACUAAGAAUUGUAUAUAUAGUAAUUGUACAAAUACUAGUUUGAUUUGUAUGAAUACUAGAUUGAUUUUAUUAUAAAAAAGUUUUAAGUCGUACGUGCAUGCGCCUACAAAGGCGCGGAUGCCUUUUAAUCCCAGUCGGAAAAACAAACUGGUACUAAAGGGGCUCGUGCCGCACCUGGCAUGACCACCCCUUUAGUCCCGGUUGAACGACCCAGGACUAAAGAUCUCCGCGUCUCAAAAAUUUUAUCUCGGAUGCUUUUUAGAGAGAUUUGAGGCCUAUCAACCAAGACUAAUAUCGAGUUUUCUACCAGUGAAACUAACUAACGUUCACAUGGUUUUGACAUUCACCUGCCAUUUGGUGUAGACAAGGGCACCCUAACAUAUGGUUAAUAUUAUUCUUGAAAGAAAAUCCUUUGAUUCAAAAUACUUCAAACCUAAUAAUACAAUACUUCUCACAUCUGAAAAAUAUGAGACGGCCCGACAGUAUUCUAAUCGACGCAAUAAUAUUUUGAGGGCAGCACUACUACAGCGACCCUCAUUCGUGCCGGUGCUGGGACUCCUAUCACGACCCUGAUACAAAUGAGGGUACAUUAUUGGUGCCAGUGCUAGAACAGCCACGAAUAACUUGCUAAACGUGCUGUUACACUCACUACAGGGACCAAGAAGGUAGAUAAAUUACACGACAUAGCCUUGGUUGCCGUGGAAGCGCCAAGAAGGGAGACAAAUUACAGGGACCACACCAUCAAGUAGAUAGUGACAAUAUGCAAAAGAAUACCCGCGCCUGUUAGCAUGUGAACUGACCACACCACGAAACGUGAUACACGGCAAGCGUACCAAGGCCUUGCUGUGCAGACUAUGCAUGGACAACACAUGGUACCUGACCGCUUUUGGCCUCAGACACAUCGAAAAACUGCAUCGUUCCACGUUGUACAUCCAUUGCUAGUUUAUCUAUAUUACAUAAUAUAUUAUUAGCUAUUUGAAUAGAAUGAACCAAUUAAAAAAUUGCGUUGUAUUUUUAGUACCGGCUGCAGGAUGGUGUUACCAACCAGUACUAAUUGGCCUGUAGGAGUGAUGGUUAUUAGACUUGGUACUGUUGUUAGCAUCAUUAACCUAAUUGUGCGCCGUAUGAAUUUGGGGAUGCAAAGCUAGCUCUCUAUGAAUGUGAGGGAUGGAAAGCUAGUUCUCUAGUAGUAAUUAUAUAUAUGACAGUCAAGAAAUCGAACACUAUGCUGCUACGAGUCACCAUCAUUUCCUUCAUUGACAAUCUGACAUAGGUGAAGCUGCUUCAAUAAUUUCCUUCGCGCAGUCGUGGAGCUUAUUGGAUUAUCACCAGGACGGGACACGGAAAUGGCCAGCAAUGAAGCUGAUUGCCGUCUGAGGAAGACUACAUACUUACCUAUGAAAUGAAGCGAUUGCAUAGACUAAUGAAGCAUUGCAUAUUUGCAUGUGAGUGUGGCAGAUAAUUCUGCAGGACAUGAUUGCAAUCCACGCACCAUCGAGAAGACUGGGGCGAUGGGGUUGCCUCAUCAAUAAUCACGUGGAUGCAUGCAUGCAUGUUCCCGCAACCGGACAAGGGUCUGAUAUAUGGCUAUAGUAUUACUGAGCCCACAUCAAUAAUUUCCACUGGUGUAUCGUGUGGGAAGAAUCAACAUACUACACCUCGAGUUCUUGGAACUAACUGACGUUCACAUGCAACCUCCACAAGGUGCUGUAUGCUUUUGACAUUCACCUGCCAGUUCGUGUAGAGAAGGACACCCUAACGUAUAGUUAAUAUUAUCCAUUUCAUGAGUAAAAUACUGUGAUUCAAAAAUACUUCAAAUCCCUUGAGACAAUACUUCUCACUUGACUAACCACUAACCAACCCCGAAACCCUAACUCAACUCCGAACCCUAACCCCUAACGGCAUAACCACUCCGUUUUGCCGGCGAGAUGGAGGAACUGGCUGGAAGGUAGAGAGGGCAGCGGUCCAGGGUUGAAAACGACGGGCGAGCGCAGUAACAUGUGGAGGAGGAAGUGCCACGUAUUCGUUCACCGCUAUUGGGCAGCGACACACGACACGCCCAAUAAGAUCUUCGCACGGUAGAAGGACGUCAUGUAUUCAAUAAUGUUAUUGGUCCCCCAUGUGCAGAAGGGCGCGCGCGUAUGGAAUAACAAGUAGGGACACUGCAACUAAUCUACUCUGCUCGUCCAGUCCCUAGCCUAUAAAUAGAUGCCAUGCUAGCUCUUGUUGUGCUCACAAUUAAUCCGAUUACACACGAGCUUCUCUCCCUGGCCAAGACACAACCAUAGUAUGAUGAAGAACAUGGCACUAGCCGGCAAUGGUAUGAAGAAGUUAAUCCUCGCUGUUCUCUUACUGUGUCUAGUUAUAGGGCAGAUACAAGUGGAAGCUAAGAGCUGCUGCCCAUCCACCACUGCAAGAAAUGUCUACAAUACCUGCCGUUUCACGGGUACAUCCCGUCCAACGUGUGCAAAACUGUCAGGCUGCAAAAUUAUCAGCGGGAACAAAUGCAAGCCCCCUAACGACCACCUCACCCUUGACCCGGACACUGGUAAAUAAUAAAUUUAUCUCACUUGAUUUCUUCGUGAUUUGAGUCGUUAAUGUAUUUUCCAUCUGAUGAAACGUAUUGGUUUUGCAUUGAAGAGGAAGUUAAUGUGCUUAACUUCUGCAAGUUGGGGUGUGCGUCGUCUGUGUGCAACAACAUCAACGCUGGUAAGCAACUUUUGCUCAGACAGAGAAAACAAUAAUCAUUAAUUAGCGGCAGCUAGAAUCCUAUAAUCUAAUAUAUAUAUAUAUAUAUAAUUUUAUCAGCUCUGGGAAAUGAAGAGGCGAACGAUGCCGUUGAGAGUUGCGACCAAGCCUGCUCUAGCUUCUGCAGCGUGCAUGUUGGCAGCGCCACCGUGGUUGCUUAAGCAAAUGCAUCCAACUAGAUCGUCCUUGUGCUGAAUAAUUGGAUAUCGUAUCCACUUAAAGCUGCCUUGUGUAGUACGUCUUUGUGUCUCUCUUUAUAUUCCAAUAAGGUCGGUGAUCUUGAUGCCACACACUCAGAUGUGUGUUCAUCUCCAGAUACUACUCCAUGCUACCUGCCCUUUGUGUUUUGUUCAAUAACUGGGUAUCAUAUCCCAGCCAGUAUGCCGUCUGUUUUGUGUUUGUUUCCUUCUAGUUCCAAAGGGGUCAUCAUGAUGUUACCUUCUUUCAAUAUGGUGCUUUGCAUGACUACUGUUGUAUGGUACCAUCUUGUGGCCAAUAAGUACAUCUUAUCCUAUGACCUUUGCUAUGACCCUUUGCAAAUAAGUAGAAGAUUGUUAUAAGCGUCAAUACUCCGUAUAAAUUGAUCGCUGCUGUGAGUUCCCUUUCAGCUUAUCGUAGGCAUACAUUAUUGCUAGCACGGUAAAGCCAACCAACACGAAUGAUGAAGUAAACGUAGCGGUACUUCUGUAUACCAACACCCUUACUUAAAUGUACCGGUGUCAUUCCCUACUGGCACAUAUAUUCUUAUAUGCUAGCCAGCUUGUAAAAUUAACCAAUUAAAAUAAUUAUUUCAAGAUAGAAAUAACUUAUCGGUUUCUGGAAGCAUGUGUAAUGUGAAUUCAAGGACUCGACGGAAGUUGAAUCACUUCAUCUAUAUUGCUUUCAGUAUUUUGGGUAACUAAAUUUAACAUUUGCACAUACAAAUGUUAAAGUACAAAUGUUAAAUCUAGUUACCCAAGCAGAAUAUGAAGAUAGUUUAUAGUAUAUAUAUACUAUAUAAAUCUAGUUAACAUUUAGUCUAAAUGUUAAAUCUAGUUACCUAAAAUCCUGAAAGCAAAAUGUAUAAAUAUAUAUCUUUUAAGGCAGUAUAAGCUUCGAUUCCUAUUGCUGCUCUGUUAAAUCUCAUCUUUCGUUGUGGCCCAACACUCUAGUAUGCAUGUUGCACCAAGCUUCUUUGAGCCGCUCUGCCCUCUGAUUUUGCUGCGUAGGGGAAUCUUUAUCAGGUUGGGCUACUUCCAGUUGUGCGAUGUAAAGAUUCGUAUUUUCUAGAAGGUAGACAAAAAACUCGCGUUCUCUUAAGGCAACAACCGGAAGAUUCUGCAGCGCACAGGGCAUACCAUUAUUGUAGAAACGACCUUUAGUACCGAUCUCCAACCCCCUUUAAAACUGGUUUUGCAACCGGUACCGUUAUGUCGGUCCUUUAGUACCAGAUCAAAUAAGUACCGGUUGGUAACCAGUAUCAACUUGUUUUGCGGCCAAAAAAAUAAAGAAAAAAACAGUCAGAAGGCUCGCACACACGCGCAUCACAUGAAAUAUGCGUGUGCGGGGUCCAUGGGAUUCGAACCCAUGAAAUCAAGCUGCACGCGACCCUUCGUUACCAUCUCACCUACAUAGCGCAUAUGCUUUCCUGAAGUAACCCGUGGAGGAGGCUUUAGUACCGGGUCAUAACACCACCCGGUACUAAAAAUGACUCUUCAGUACCGGGUCAUAACACCACCUGAUACUAGUAUCGGAUGGUGUAAUGACCCGAUACUAAAAGGCCUCUAGGGACCCUCAAAUUUGAACCCGGUACUAAUGCUAAUAUUAGUAGCGGGUCAAAGUGCAGCCAGAACUAAAGCAUGGGAUGAAAGGUCAUAUUUCUAGUAGUGUAUAGUUGUUGUGAAGGACUGACUUGGCUGUCCUCUCUCUUCUCCAUCCCCUUGGUCUUACGCCGCCGCUCGCACGCGAGCCGGUGCCCAACCAGAGGAGUGAGAGCUAGGGGCAGGUUGGGAGGUGGGGAUAGUGACUGGUGGCCAGGGUGAUGGUUGAUCCUGGUGGGGUUAGGGUUUCAGGGUUUUCGAGCUUCCUAUGGUCGGCGAACCUAGAGGAGAAGCUCAACAUCAGCUGCAACCCGCGAUGGUGGUGGUUUGGCCGGCGCCCGAGGCGAGGCAGCGCGGGAGUGCUGCCGGUGGGUUGGUGUUGGCACUCAUUAUUGACAACUAUUUUGUUCAUAAAAUAACACUCAAACUUGCUGCUGCUGCUGCUGCCAUCGCCACCCUAGCCAUAAUAUAAAGGCAAAAUUUGCUAAAGGACAUGCAAAAUGAUGCUAGUUUGCUGGCGGGCAUCGUUGACCUUGUAAUAUGCUACAAGACACUCUAGUUGUGUAUCAAUUUGCUGAAAGACAUUGCUAUGACUAAAAUAAUGUUUCUGGACUGAGUUGGAGAGAGAGAUGGAGUGAAAUGUCUGUUUUGCCCAUGACCCCACUGGUCAGAUCCUUCUUCUUCCACCCUCCUUUGUUCUUUCUUCAACCAUUACCCAGCUCCAGCGUGUUGCAGAUCUACGAGGGUGGCGGCCUGGGGCGAGGGGCAUCGCUCGCCCUUGGAGGAGCGCUGCGAGCGACGGCGCGGGGGCGGCAACAGCGCGUCAGAACCUGACUGUUCGUUAGCUCCUCUCGCUGCUGGGGAAGAAGGAGGGGGAUGGGCCAUGGACGGGGUUCCCUUGAAAACCUCAGCGUCGAGCUCGGGCGGCUACGCGCAGGCAGCACUAGGCUGCUUCACGGGGAGGGGGCGCGGCCAAUCAUUGGCACCCCACUGGUCCAAUGCUGAUGAAGAUGGUGCCAGCGUCGUGUGAGGACAUCUCAUCUCCUCGAGUUCCAUGGCCAGCACAGGUGAGCUGCCGCUACCACAAAACAGAGGUUUCGUGAGAGUCAAAAAACCUUAUGAAAAUAGCUAAAACCAUCAUGAAAAUAAUCCGUGACAUGACACUCUCACGAAAAUCCUCUCACAAAUAUGGUGCCAUGAAAAUACCAUUUUCAUGAGAGUGAACUGUCAUGAUUUUAUAAGCGUCAAUACUCGGUAUAAAUUGACUACUGCUGUGAGUUCCCUUUCAGCUUAUCGUAGGCAUACAUUAUUGCUAGCACGGUAAAGAGAACCAACACGAAUGAUGAAGUAAACGUAGCGGAACUUUUGUAUACCAACACCCUUACGUACCGGUGUCAUUCCCCACUGCCACAUAUAUUCUUAUAUGCUAACCAGCUUUGAAAAUUAAGCGAUUAAAAUAAUUAUUUCAAGAUAGAAAUAACUUAUCGGCUUCUCGAAGCUUGUGUAAUGUGAAUUCAAGGACUCGAUGGAAGUUGAAUCGCUUCAUCUAGAUUGCUUUCAGGAUUUUGGGUAACUAAAUUUAACAUUUGCACACACAAAUGUUAAUGUACAAAUGUUAAAUCUAGUUACCCAAGCAGAAUAUGAAGAUACUCUAUAGUAUAUAUGUACUAUAUAAAUCUAGUAAACAUUUAGUCUAAAUGUUAAAUCUAGUUACCUAAAAUCCUAAAAGCAAAAUGUAUAAAUAUAUAUCUUUUAAGGCAGUAUAAGCUUCAAUUCUCUGUUAAAUCUCAUCUUUCGUUGUGGCCCAACACUCUAGUAUGCAUGUUGCACCAAGCUUCUUUGAGCCGCUCUGCCCUCUGAUUUUGCUGCGUAGGGGAAUCUUUAUCAGGUUGGGCUACUUCCAGUUGUGCGAUGUAAAGCUUCGUAUCUUUUAGAAGGUAGACAAAAUACCCGCGUUCUGGAAGAUUCUGCAACGUGCACGUUGGCGCUGCCACCGUGGUUGCUUAAGCAAAUGCAUCCAACUGAAUCGUCCUUAAGCUGAAUAAUUGGAUAUGGUAUCCACUGCUUAAAGCUGCCAUGUUUAGUACGUCUUUGUUUUUCUCUCUUUAUAUUCCAAUAAGGUCGGUGAUCUUGAUGCCACACACUCAGAUGUGUGUUUAUCUCCAGAUACUACUCCAUGCUACCUACCCUUUGUGUUUUGUUCAAUAACUGGGUAUCAUAUCCUAGCCAGUGUGCCAUCUGUUUUGUGUUUGUUUCCUUCUAGUUCCAAAGGGGUCAUCAUGAUGUUACCUUCUUUUGAGGUGUCUAUGAUGACUUCGUUAAUAUCAAUAUUAACCAAUUCAAUCUGUCUUAACUAUUUGUAAGGGGUAUGAUGUAUGCAUGAUUAUAACAAUGAUUGCGCAUACAAUCGCCGCCAAAGAAACGGUCAAUACCAUUAAGACAUAUUACAGACAAUUCUCAUAAUCUAUAAUGAAUAUACAUAUUCACUACUGCAGAAGACUGUCAUUUGUAUCGGCUCAUACGUGCCAGGGCAAAGGUCACCCUUGCAUUAAGUACAUUUGCACGGUAAAGACAACCAACACGAAUAAUGAAGUAAACAUGCCGGUGCUUUUGUACACCAACACGCUUACUUAAAUGUACUGGUGUCAUUCCUCACCGGUAGCCGGCUUGAAAAUUAACCAAUUAGAACAAUUAUUUAUUGUAUCGGUGUGAUUUUUGACCUAUUGGAAUAUGAAUUUGACCGUUACUGCAUUCGUCAAGACUCAAGAGAGAAAUAACUGAUCGGCUUCUUAGAGCGUGUGCAAUGUGAAAUCAAGGACUGGAUGGAAGUUGAAGCGCUAGCACUAGUAGAGAAACGACUUUCCAUCCACCCCCUUUUGUCCCGGUUUAAAGUUGGCUCGGGAUAAAAGGUUCACCAACCGGGACUAAAACUCAGUCACUGGUGGGAGGCUCACCAACCGGAACCUUUUAUCCCGGUUGCAAAGGCUAAUGGGAAAAAAAGACUCUGAGAGGCCUUUUAUCCCGGUUUGAAACACCAACCGGGAUAAAAGACCCCCCUUUUAUCCCGGUUGGUAACACCAACCGAGAUAAAAGGGUCAAGAGCCUUUUAUCCCGGUUGGAAACACCAACCGGGAUAAAAGACCCCCUUUUAUCCCGGUUGGUGUUUCAAACCGGGAUAAAAGGGCCCCCACGAGGUGACUGGAAGGUGACUGGAAGGGGAUUAAAUCGUGGGGGACCCUUUUAUCCCGGUUGGAAACACCAACCGGGAUAAAAGGGGGUCUUUUAUCCCGGUUGGUGUUUCCAACCGGGAUAAAAGGGUCCCCCACGAGUUAAUACAAAAGGAUAGUAUCCCCUACAUAGUCAGAUGUGGUGUGUAGGUGGGAUGGUAAGGAAGCUACGCGCGAGCUCCGGAAUUUUUUUUUUUUUUUUUUGCAGCGUCGGCGCUCUCUACCCUUUUAUCCCGGUUGGUAUUACCAACCGGGAUAAAAGGGGGUCUUUUGUCCCGGUUGAGUGACCCGGGAUAAAAGACCCCCCCUUUUUUCCCCGGUUAGUUUAUCCCGGAUGCAUUUUCGGGAUAAAAGCACCCUACCAACCGGGAUUAAAGCUCACUUCUCUACCAGUGUAGCUUCAUCUUCCGCUGCAAGUUAAUUGCUUGGAUAAGAAGUUGUAGCCGCUGCAAGUUAUAAAUAGUCCCGCUGAUGCUGUGCUCCGAAGUCUAUACUAUAUAUGCGGAAACUAGAUUGCUUUCAGGAUUUUGGGUAACUAAAUUUAACAUUUGUACAUAAAAAUGUUAGUUUACGAAUGUUAAAUCUAGUUACCCAAGCAGAACAAGAAGAUAGUAUAUAGUAUAUACUAUAUAAAUCAAGUUAACAAUUAGUCUAAAUGUUAUAUCUACUUACCCAAAAUAUUGAAAGCAAAGAAAGAAUAAGUAUAUAUCUUUUGUUGGAAAAUUGGUCCACGGAGAGGCCCAUUUAGGCCUCGUUCGUUUCACCGGGAUGGGAUUCCAGUCAGGAUUACUUCCAAGUUCGGUUUGAGUGAUUCCACCCGUGUCACUCAAUCCGGCUAGGAUUCAUUCUAUGGGUGAGGAGGUAUGGUUUCAAUCCAGGCCAUCUAAUGUAGAAGGAUUCCAAUCCAGGCCGGUUUUCGUUCCAGGCCAGACUAAAACGAACAACACUUUCAAUGCAAGUCUGGUUUCAAACCGGGCCAUUUCAAACCACCCGGAAUGGACCUCGUUCCAGGCCAAUCCGGUGAAAACAAAUGAGGCCUUAAUGGAAUCCCAAAGCAAGAGUUCAGUGGCAUUCUAUAGUCCCAUGCUGCUAGUUUGAGUUGGUCGAAGCCAACUUAAAUAGGAGAGCUCUCUCACUUCUCUAAAUACGUAACUGAAGGAGAGAAGGGGGCUUGGGUUACACAACGCACGCACGCACGCAUAUUUGCGUUCUUUUCGCGUAACCAACCGCGUGACUUGAAACUUGCGACGUAGCGUGCUGCUAAGUCAAGUUGAUAUAACCUUUUUGCCGUUUGCAUGUAAUCUUUUGACAACGGUCAUUGGAGGUGAUAAGCACGCAGUCAAUACCUUAAUCUUGAGUUAAUAGGGUGGUUACUACUGCCAAUUAGUGGGGCAAUUUUGUAGGGGAAACGGUUAGCAGAGGGCUACCGUCUUCUCUAUAAGAAGUUCUGGAGACGUCCAGGAACACACAUGUACAUGUGAGAGACCCACAAAUUCCUUCCCUUCUCCCUUUUCCAUGUGGUGAAGUGUGCUGUGGUACUGAGCUGCUUGAUCUCGCCGCUCUUCUCCUUGGCAUGCACCGAGGAGGAGGGUGAGCGGUAUCUCCGAGCUAUUGCCGUCAGGAAGCCUGCACGAGGGACAACAAAAAGUUUUUGGGUAGCGCAACUGCCAGCACAACUCUCCCUCCGCCUCUUCUUCACGGUUGAUGGCCACCACAAGCAUAAACCUCGCCUUCGCAUCCACGCAAAAGGGUCGCUGGGGUGCCUUCUUGCAUCGCUUCUCAGCCUCCUUGACUUGCGGCCAGCCAAGAACUGCGCCACCACCUCGGGUGCACGCCACCACUCCAGGGCUGCUACCCCAUGCCUGCGGCCGCCGCCGGCCACCACGCGUGUGCAACCGCGUCGCACCGCUUCCUUGCUUUGUGCCACCACUGCUGCUGUACCACCAGCUCCACCACCUUGGGCUGGUCGCCAGAGUGACUGAUAACUUAUUAUCUGUAACUACUAUUAACUCAGGGAUACAUGCGUCUUUUGCUUCUCCUACUAAUAUGUCCUAAAAUAUCUAGGAUGCCUUAUAUUUCUGGACAGAGGAAGUAUUUGAAUAAAAUGAACCAAUUUAAAAAAAUGUGUUGUACACUACUACAGAAAGACCUAUCAGUGUCAAACCCAAAAAUGUUGUCACCGCCAGUUUUGGGCAUCAUUGGUGAAAGGUUGGCGGUGAUGGGCUUUCCCUUCAACAACGGCACUGGAGCCGACGGUGAUUGACAUUAGAAAACAAAAAAGGGGACCCUACCUAGCCACCCCUGCAACCCGGCCGGCCGUGCCUCCCCUCAUCCCCACCACCUCGCCUCCCCAUGACCCCCCGCCGGCGCCCUUGCGCCUAGCCCCCUCAACUGCCCAGCCGGCCACCCUCAUCACGAGAGAGAGGUGCAUGUUGUAUAAUUGCGUGAAUUUUUUAAUGUUUAAUUUCAUGUAAGUUCCGUGUAAUAAAUUGUACAAGUUUUAUUGUAUAUAUGAAUUCCAUAUAUAUAUAUAUAUAUUUAUAAUUUAAUGUAUGGUUUCAUGUGUAUAUUUCAAUCAUGUGUAUAUUUAGUAGAUUGCCGAUUUUCUUUUUCUACUAGACAAGGGUUGAUGUAUAAUUACGUGUAUAUGUUUAUUGUACGGGCAAUUAGGACAAGUUUUGUAUAAAUUUCUUUUAUUUGAUGGUUGUUGUAUGGUUUCAUGUAUAUACAUUUAUUGUACUACUUUAGACAAUUUUUAAUUUAAUGUUUCUAUGAUUAGAUGUGUGUAUAACUAAUUGUAUUAUUAGUUAAGAUGGGAGCUAAAGAGGAUGAAAGGUAUAUAAUGGAGCAGAUUAUUGCUAGCUCAAACGUUGCAAGAACCUACACCGAGGGUGAGGGUAGCUAGGUGGACAUGUACCUCAACAUGUCCAGUGAUGGCAAUGACGAUGAGGAGCACGAGCAUGACAUCUAUGAUAAUGCGGAACAAGACAUUGCAGAAUUGGAAGGUUCUAAUGAGGUGUGCUUCAUGUUGACAAUCUAGUUGGCUUUUUUUCGUUGGUCACACCUUAGUUACCAUAGAACUUCGUCUCGGGAGAAGAUUGGUGGUGGUAUGGUGAUUGGAAUUUUAUUUCCACGAAAUCUGAUUUCCAUCGAAUCAUAUCCCUUGUAUUUAUCUUCUUUUUAUUUGUGAGAGCAUCUUCUUUAUGCUUGCAAAACAAUUCAAGUGCACAUACUACCCCUAGGGUGACGAUUGGGAGUAGAAAUAAUUGCCAACAAAACAACACCACAUCCUAAGAUUCUUAACUUGUGGCAUAAUUAGUCUAGUAAAAAGAAAGAUAAAAACCUAAUGGGUGUAUGUGAGUGCAAUGUGUAUAUGCAUAUGAGUGGAAGGCAUAUAAGCAAAGACAAUAUUUACACAUAGUUCUAAACACCAUGUUUACAGCUAGGUUGCUGAAUUUCUCCAUAGCCAUAGAGAUUAAUUAACCAAGGUCAAAACACGAUGUCUAUCCCAAGAUCAGUAAUUAUUUAUAGCACAAGAAAAAGAAAGCGCAUUGCAAAGUUUAUAAACCAACCAAUACAGCAUGAAAACAAGAUGAAUAGCUAGCAAGGUUUAUUAAACUGAAUGAUGACGGUCUGUAAGCAAGUUUAAACACCAUCUUUACACAAGAUUGCAAAUGGAAAAUGCCCAUAUGAAGCACUAACAUGGAUAUGAAAUCAUUCAUCAUAAAGCGUAAAGAACAACCAAGCCAACCAUAUGCAAAGCAUGAAUGGAAUGCAAUGAAGGUGCAAGAGAACAUUUUUGGAUGAACACAUUAUGAUGAUGGCAAAAUGCAAUGCAUGCAGAAAAAAUAAAUAUGAACAUGAAUAUGAUGAUCAGGGGCGGACCCACUAUUGUGGCCUGGGUAUUCCUCGGCAUACCCAAUAUUUUUGGGAAAAUGUUUAGUAGUUUUUAAUGGCAUAUACAUGUAUAAUAUAGUUUAGGUGUUAAAAUUGAUAUUCACAGCUAUUUUGGGCUCCAAUUCGCGUCCAAACCAACCUGGCCCACAGACCGCACCCGGCCGCCCGGCCCAUCGGCCCAUCUUGUCACUGAUCCUCCCACCACCACACUCAGCCCGUCAGUUAGUCAGGUCCCGAGCUCCUGCCUGACCUAGUCCGCUACCACCGCCAGGCGCCAGGCACAGCUGUACACGCCGCCCCCGUCCACCCACGUCCGCCGCACGGCCGCGUCGCGCCCCCCCCCGGCGCCCGCUGCUGCCAGAACCCAUUAGGCCUCCACCGGCAAGUCCACCCACAGUCCCGCGCGACGCGGCAGCCUCUUGGCUCUCGGCGCUCGCGGCGCGCCAAUGCCUGCGCAGCCCCAGCAGGCGACUGCCCCCCCCCCCCCCGCAUCGGGCCUCGGCCCCUCCCCAGCUCCCCCUCCCCCCUCCACCAGGACUGCCUGCUGGCCCCCACCGCGAGGUAAUCGAAAUGGACUGCUCAAUCUCUCAAUCUGUUGACAUGAUGCACACGGUUGCAAAAAUAGAUGUGUCAAAAUAGAUGUAUUGCCAAUUGCUAUAGAUGCAUAUGGUUGACAUGAAGAAGUCAAAAAUGACAUUUGGUUCCUUGUAGGCAGUCAAAAAUGAAGAAGUCAAACAAUAUUGAUCUGAAAUCAAUGCGGGAAAGGGCUACGAAGACACACGGGUAGAUUCCCUUGUGAACUUUUUAUGUCGUUCGUCUAAAUAUAUUUUUGCAAUGGGCAUACCCUACUCUGAAAUCCUGGGUCCGCCACUGAUGAUGAUGGUCUAAACAUAAAACAAGCCUAGAUUAAUUAGCUACAACUGAAAUUAAGCAAAGGUUAAUGUCAUUGACCCUAGCUCUAUCCUAGCUUUUACUAAAGUCCCGGCACAUAUAGUGGUUGGGCCCACUCUCUCUACUUCCCUCUCUGCUGCAUGCACACACACGAGCAACUGGAGGCCCAACAAAGCCCAGAAGGGUUCGGCCGAACCCGUCCGAUCCAGUCUGAGCGCCGCUCCCUCCCAGCCUUCGCGCAGAUGCUCCUCCAACGUUCCUUGACCCCUCCCUCAGUGUCCCAUUGGGUUUAACAUUGUAGGAGAGGAGUCCCUUUUUUAAAAUCUCAACCACCUCCUCUCCUCAUUCACUCCACUCUCAUCUCCAUCAAACUCACCAAGAUCCACAUCGGAAAUACCUGCUUACCACCAUGGCUGGCAAAGCCCUCGUCCCUUUCACCAACUUGGGCUUGACCAUUGAUCUCGAUGGGAAAAUCACUCCAGCAAAUGUCAUUGUCCCUGUCGGCGAUCUGGCGAUGGAGGAGGUCCAGGCACUAGAGGUCGAGCCCCUAGCCAUCAUACCGCCCAAGGGGUAAAGCAGGAGCAUGACAGGCGCUGCUAGGGGUUCAGCCGAACUCCCAGUUCAGCCAAACGAGGACGGCGUCGCCUCGGCCUCCCGCUCGACUGCAUGCUUCCCCUUGCCAAGGAGGACUCCAGAACAGCGGGCGCGUGCGUCAAGUCCCUACAAAAGGCUGAAAUACAAUGAAUAUCCAGGGUCACCCUUGAAGAUGGGUGAACGCUACGCCGGGUCCUUGUUUGACUAGUACGGCGAUGCAUUCUGCCACCGCUAUGUCGUUGUCGAGAUUAGCGGAUCAAGACUUAGACUAGUAAAUUUCUUUUAUGCGCGUAAGGCUUCAGAUGGUGGCGUGGGAGACAUGGGUUUUAUACUAGUUCGGGCAAUGGAAUACCCUACGUCCAGUGUCUGGAGCUGCUUGUGUUGCCCACGCGGGGUUCUGUAGUAGGGGUUACAGGUGUGCGAGAGAGGGAGCUAAUCCCAGGUCUCUUAGGCGUGUUCCGGUCCUCUAGAUGGGAGAAGUGUGUUCUGUUUGCUUGGGAGUAUCGGUUGUGUCUGAGUUGUCUCCGGAGCCUCCUCCCGUCUCAGGUCCCCGAUUCUCCUUUCAUAGCACAAGGAGACCAUCGGGGUUACAGACGAGACCGAGCGUGGGGAGGAGUAAAGAGAUAAACAUAGCUAGGUAAAAAUACAACAAGAAAGGGGGGAACCAAGUUUCUAGGUCACCGGCGUCCUCGCCGGCCUUCGACUUCCGCCGGCGCAUUUGUCGGAGGAGGGUGGCCGCCAUCGCGUUCUGUCGAUGGCUUCCUCGGUGACUGUAGCCACCGGGCGUGAUGAUGGCAUUUCGUCGUGACCCUUUGUCUGUUGGGGGAGGCGGCGGAUCCUGCCAUUCUGCUGACGGCUCGCGGAGUGCGAACGUCGCAUCCCUGCCGCUGGGCACGCGGGGCGCGAGAACGUGCGAGGCUUCCCCCUACCCCAGGCGGCGCAGGCCAUGAGUGCCCUGUGGCAAAUCGGAGGAGGCCGCAGCUACUGUAGCUUGUACUGUGCAGCCACGUAUGGGUACUUGUGGCAGGUUGCGUGGUGGAUGCGGAUAUCCUUCUCCCUGACAGAUCUGCGGCGCAUUUAUGGCGAGAUCGACAUGGGGACCCACAAGACCCGCGCCCAAGGCGGAUACUUGUCUGGAGGGCCCGGGUUAGCCUGACCCCCUACGCUUGGGGUCGGGCGAGGCGGAGACUUGCGGCGGGGCGUCGGACGCUCCCGACACUAGACCUGCGGUCGCGCAAGGCGGAGCUUGGUCUUCCGGGGGUCGGGGGUGCCGGACCCCAGGAUGCGGGGUCGGGCGAGGUGGAGCGUAAUUCUUGCCUCCCAUGUUGGGCCGAUGGCAGUCUUUGUUACCUCUAGUGGGCUUGGGCCUUUAUGUUUUGUUGUUUCCAUGGGCUUCGAGAGGUCGUUAAUAUUUCCCCCCAACAGUAGCCCCCGAGCCUGUGGUGGAGUGGGGGCGCUCCUCCGGAGGCUACUAUCAUCGCCCCUAGGGAAUCCUCGCAGUUGAUCCGGGAUAGGAGGUGUUGUUUGCACGGCUUGACCGAGGGGGUCGAUUAGGCGACGCAUCCUGUGAGCGACUCGGUGCGGGAGGGUUUCUUGUUGUUCCCUUCUGUCUGAGAGCCUUAAGUCGAGACCACCUGCGUGGCCUUUGGUUGCAAGGCCAGCCCCCGAGCCCCCGCACGUUGCAGGGGACCGGUCGGAGGCUAGGUCGACUUUUGUUCAUUACCCUCAAGCGUCUGUUCGCUAGGACGGAGGGGGCGAGCCGUGCCAUGCUAUCCUCAUCGGACGAACCAUGGUGCUCAUUGAGUUACUAACGGGUUGAUUCGAGUGGGAUCCCGGUCCCCGUUCGGGGGGGGUCCGGCUUGGGCCAAGCUGGUGGCGUACCCCAGGCUCCGGUCGGCCAGUUCAUAUAGUUCCUGAGUCCGUUCGGUCGGACCGGGGGCUCAUUGCCUUUCUUCGGGGAAAAACCAUGAACUUUGAUGCCGGUCCAGACUCGAAUGUGAGAUUGAGACGCCCGGGGCUGUCGCGUGCCCGGGUGAUGGCCGCUAGCGGACCCGUCUCCUCUCACCCCUCACUCGGGGGUAUCCUGAGGCGGCUGUCGAACCCGUGGCGGGCCAGCCUUCGAACCUCUGGAUCGUAAUGGGCCGUAGGGGCGUUUUCAGCCCCGUAUCCCUUUUUACCUUUUGGUGGGCCUUGGGCCGAAUCAUGGAGGAGGUCGGGCCUUGGGCCGGAUGCGGAGGAUGUCGUGCCUUGGGCCGGAUGUGGGGGACGUCGUGCGUGUCUUCCGGGAGACGAAGUGGUGGAGGGUGCCAACCCGCGAAUCGAGGGAGGAGGGGAUGUUUCUACUGCAGGUCAUGCGCACGGUUUCCGAAAAGGCAGCGGGCGUGACGGGACGUACCUCGCGCCGCAUUUAUUGCGAUGGGGGCGUCUGUUCUGCUUCCCUCGUGCCUUCCCUAUAAAACGAGGACUUCGCCUCGCCGGUUCCGCCCGCCAUCUACCUUCAAGCCUUUUCGCCUCCUCGCGCGCCCUUAGCUUUCCUGUGCCCGCUUCGUCUUCCUCCGCCCAGUGCCGCGCCCUUUCUCCCCAUCCGCCGUCGAGUUCUUCUCCCUCCGGCGAUGGGAUCCUGGGCGCGUUCCCACUUCGGCCCCUCACGCGCCGAAGGCCUAGUGAGGAAAGGCCUCCUUUGCGAGAGGACGGAGACGGAUGAGUGGGGGUUCCCUGAGAUGGAAGAGGUGCCGACUCCGCCCACCGGCUACGUCGUUUCCUUUGCCCACUUCCACGAGAGGGGGUUUGCGACUCCGCCGAGCCUCUUCUUCCGCGGGCUUUUGUAUUACUACGGGCUUGAGCUGCAGCACCUCAACCCCAACGGGAUUCAGCACGUCGCGGCGUUCGUUGCGGUGUGCGAGGGGUUCCUGGGCAUUGAGCCCAACUUCUCGCUGUGGAAGUACUUCUUCACGGUCAGCCUAUACCAGAAGGCCGAGAAGAGGGGAAGCCAGCAGCGGUCGACCCCGGUGCCGAUAGGGUGCGUCGGAAUCCACCUCUGCCAUACUCGCGCCAAGGAGUAUAUCGCGAUGAAGACCGCGGCAUCCCACAAGGGGUGGCACCAGCAAUGGUUCUACGUGAAGAACUACUCCAACCCCCCCUGCCGGAGUUCACCGGCCGCAUUAUUGAAGCGGCGCCGGAGGUGUGGGUGUACGGCCCGGUGGAGAAGGAGAAGAAGCGGAUCACCGGCCUGCUGCAGGCCAUCGAGCACCUGAAGGAGAGGGGACUGACCGGAGCCGGAGUCAUCGGGGCGUACCACGCCCGGCGGGUGGCGCCGCUGAUGCUCCGGGUCCGCUCGCUCGCCGACAUGACCCCCGGUGCUCUCACCGAUGGCACUGUCCUCGCGACGGGUGCUCUCGCUGCCUCCGAGAUCCGGCAGCGGAUCCGGGAGGCGCUGGAGGACAAGGACGCCGAUUACCCGGUGCCCGGCCACCCUCCGAUGCGCCCGGACGAGAAUUUCAUUGAUCUGGUAAGGAUUUUGCGCGCCAGUUUCCCUCUCUUGCGUUUCUUGGUAUGCCGUUCUGACGCGAGGCCCUCUGUGUUUGCAGGGUAGCAUGACCCGGGUCGUCGACUUGCGUCCGCCAGUGUCGGAGGACGCCGAGUGGCGGUAGCAGAACCGUCUCCUUGCCGAGAAGCAAAAGUGACGCAAGGACAAGAGACAGCGAAGAAGAAGAAGAGGGCCGCCAAGGAGUUCCAGCGGCGGCGGUGGGGAUAGGUCGUGUCGGAUGACGAUGACGAUGAGAAGGAGGAGGAGGAUGACGAGGAGGAGGAGGAGUUUAUCCUGUCCCCCCGGUCAGGGGCGCUUGUUAUCCGGGAGCCGCGCUCCCAAGCGGCCAUGGGGGACAAGGCGGGCGAGCUGCCUGCCCGGACCCGAUCCUGCGAAGCUUUGGGGGCGCGCCCCAGGGGUCGGCGCAGAGCGCCCCCCGGGGGUCGACGGAGCCGACCCCCAUCCCUACACCUGCAGCCCAGGAGCAGAGGAGCAGCGACAAGCGGCCGUUGCCAGAUGCCCCGGGGUCGGCGUCCAGCUCAGAGGCGAAGCGCGCGCGCCGCCCUUGCGCUGGGGGAACGUGAGUUGAAUUUCCUUGCGAAUCUCGUUCCUUUCCAUGCAUUGUGUUUGUUUCCGCUGAUGCUGUUUGUUGUCUCACAGCACCGCCCCUCAAGGCCUUGUCCCGCCGUUGGCGCCAAAGAAGGCGUUGCGGUGUUGUCGCCUCUGCGGGGCGGACCGCGGCUCCGCCGGCGGCGAGUGGCGGGGUCACUGGUGAGACCGCGGGUCCUACCGCGGAGGUGGCCCCUGCGGCGGCAACCGGUGGAGUGGUGCCACCGCCGGGCAUGGGACAGGGUCUGGACCCCGCUCCGUCCUCCGCCUCUUCGGCCGACCCCGCGGUGCAGAGUAUCGCUCCUGGGGGCCCUCAGGCCGGGGAGGUGAUUGACCUCGACGCCGACGAGGUGGAGGAGACGGCGGCGGUGGAGACGGGGGCGGUUGCCCCAGCGGCCAUGACGGGGACGACGACGGCGACGGGGGAAGGAGAGUCUACCCCCGCGGCCACGGCGGGGACAGUGGCGACAGAGGAGGCGGGGACGCCCGCCCCGGCGGCUGCGACGGAGGAGGCGGCGGUGACGGAGACGGGGGCUUCCGCCCGGGAAGCCACAGCCGAGGUGGCAGCGGCGACGGAGGUGAAAGUGCCUGUUCUGGAGGCCACGGUGGGGGUGGGGACGCCUGCCUCGUGGCCACGACGGAGGGCGAGGCGGCCCCAGGGACACUUGCUCCGGCACCCGCGUUGGAGGCGGUGGCGCCGACGGGUUGGCCCGUGGCGGCCUCGACGGGGGCGGGGGUGCGUGCGCCGGGACCGUCGGUGAGGCCGGCGACUUCCGGGAUGGUGGUGCCCGUCUUGACGGCGGCGGCGGCGCGGUCGGCCCCCGCCCUUGCCUCUACCACUCCCAUUCCCAAGGCGUGGAGCGGAUCCGUCCUGCGUUGGUCGUCUCGUGACGACCCGCAGAGGCCCCUCUUCACGUUGGAUGAUGCCACAGAAUGGGGCAAGUGGCAGGCGCUGCAGGGCGGACUCGCUAACGUCCGCGCCGCUCUAUCUUCGGCGUUGGGGGAGCUGGACGGCGUCAUCUUCCCCGGUGGCCGGGUAUGGUGCUUUCUCCGUUGGUUAUUUUCUUCCCGUUACUUCGUCCCUGAUGGCACAUUGUUCUGCAGGCCCUCCAAGAAUGUAGCCGGGGAAAAUCUGAUUUCCUUUGGCUCGAGCAGGGGCUCUGGGAGCGCUUCAACUUGGAGUUGCAGCGGACCGGGGAGCUGACCAUGCAAGUCGCCACCGUCUAGCAUGUCAUCGACGAUCUGCGAAGGCACGAGCAGGCGGCACAGGAGGACGCGCGGCGGGCGGAGGCCAAGUUCCAGGUCGUUGCCGAAAGGGCUCGCUGCGACCGCGAGGAGUUCCAGGCCGUUGCCGAAAAGGCCCGCCACGACGCUGAGGAGCUCGCACGGCUGAAGGUGCAGCAUGAAGCUCUUCAGAAGAGCGGCAGAGGGCCUGGCAGGACCGGGACGCCGAGAAGGUCCGGAAGGAGGAGGCUGAGAAGGUGGCGGCCAACCUUGGGGCUGAGGUCAGCCAGCUCCAAGUGCAAGCGCGAGAGCUUCAGGCCUCCGUGGCCCAGGGGCUCGACCAGGAGCGCCAGCUGAAGGCCUAAUCCGAGGGUAUGACUCUGUUUAUUUCUUUGUCUUUGUGAUGUUGCGGUGAUAUUUUAUUUGGCGGGUUCUUCUGGAUGAUCCUUGCAGAUGAGCUCAACUGGCUGAGGGAGGUGCUUGACGCGGAGCGCGCUGAGCACGGCGACCUGCGGGACGCGGUCCGCGUCAUCUGUGACUUCCUUAGUGUGGUCCAGGGGGAGGGGACGAGCUCGCUGGCGGCUCGUGUCCUCGGGACGUACCGCCGGACCAGCGAGAUCGCCCUGGAAGCGCUUCGCACCGGCUUGAGGCAAGCCUUUGGGGUCUUCGGCUCCCACUAUUCCGGCAUCAACUUCGCCGGGAUGAGCGGGGGAUACGCCACCGGCUACUACGAGGCCGAGCUGGAUGAGAUCGACGUGUCGGUGCUCAGCCCGGCGGAGGCCUUGGUGAAGCUCCUCGAGGAUGAGGCCGUCCCGCCCGAAGAUCCCCGGACGAGUUAACUAUAUCGGGCUGGCGCCCCAGAUGUAAAUACGUUAGGGAAAGACUUGUUUUUUGUGAGGGCCGUAGAGGCCUUUUCUAUGAAUUGUCGUAAAAAAGUUUUUGAUUCCCUUUCUUGCUUUUUGGACUUGGAAAGUUUAGAGCACGUUGUCGGGCGUGUCAGUAAGCUUUGAUGAGCGAAGGCACCGUAGCCGCUGGGGCGUCGUUUUUUUUGCAGUCCGAUCAAUCUUGCCUGAACACCGUUCGUGCACUUUCUCCUUUUUAUGCCCAAAAGUUCAGAAAGAGGGUCGGCUCGGAAAGAGAAAGCGUUUUGAGAGGGUGUCAAGUGGCUUAGGUACUUGCGGCAGGUUGCGUGGUGGACGCGGAUAUCCUUCUCCCUGACAGAUCUGCGGCGCAUUUAUGGUGAGAUCAACAUGGGGACCCACAAGACCCGCGCCCAAGGCGGAUACUUGUCUGGAGGGCCCGGGUUAGCCCGACCCCCUACGCUUGGGGUCAGGCGAGGCGGAGACUUGCGGCGGGGGGUUGGACGCUCCUGACCCUAGACCUGCGGUCGGGCGAGGCGGAGCUUGGUCUUCCAGGGGUCGGGGGCGCCUUACCCCGGGAUGCGGGGUCGGGCGAGGCGGAGCGUAAUUCUUGCCUCCCAUGUUGGGCCGACGGCAAUCUUUGUUACCUUGGGUGGGCCUGGGCCUUUAUGUUUUGUUGUUUCCAUGGGCUUCGAGAGGUCGUUAAUAUUUCCCCCCAACACUAUGAGGAGGACUUGUGGGCAGAAAGUCAGCUACCACAAACUUGCCUCUGAAUAUUUGGAGUGCAAACAUUGGAUGGUGGUUGUGGAGAGCCCCAGCCAUACCUCGCACCCGUGGAGAGGUAAUUGUCGGAUUGCUUGGUUCGUCUCUAGAAUGCGACAAGGUCAGGCGCCACCUCUCACUGCUGCCAGUCAGAAGGCCGAGGGGCCAGUUUCAACAUAGUAAUGAGAAUCUCCGAAGGCCAAUAUGGUUAAGCAGCUAACCUCCAUGAUCAUAGACUUACGUUUAGAAAAUAGGAGGCUUAGCGAUGCGUUAACAGAGCAGAAGUUAGAAACAGAAGAACUUAAGGACGACUUCCGUGUCCUCCGCCUUGGUCUUUGUGCUAAGAUAAAGCGCUUGUACAAUGCCACGGGGAAUGACGGUCUCUACGAUGCAGCUCAAUAGACGUGCCCCUUGUAUCCUUUCCUUUAGGCACUUUAGAAUAUGUUUAUUUGUUUUCCUUCAUUUUAAUUUCCAAUAGAUUGUUAGCGCCUCCAAUUUAAUUUCAAUAAAGUGUAGACUCACCGGUCAUCCAACUUGAUGGAGUCCUUUUGUCACCUAGUUGUCUUUGGAAGAAGUAGCUGGGUACAAAAUAAGUGUGGGGGAGAGCCACAGACUCUCUAGAGCUGAAACAAUGCACAACACCCACAAAUAGAGAAAACCACGCUGCACCAGCACGUACGUGAAAGUGGAGCCAGAGCUGGACCCAUAGGGGUUUGGCCAACCCAAGGGGUGGCCCACUCGGGCCAUCUUCAUCCACCGCGUCGGUUUGUGUCUCUUUACCCCUGAUCUCCCUGAUUCAUGAGUUUGAAUGAAUUUUAAAUCUGAUCAACUAAUUCAAACUCAACUAAAAUGAAUCAACUGCUCCACCUGCUCUACAUGUUUUCUAUGGUUGGCUUGCAUAUGUUUUAUUUCAUGCUUAUCAUCUUGAUGCUUGUGAACAAAUAUCUUUAGGACAGCAUGCUCAUCUAAGUAGUUGAUGUGUAUGAUAUGGUUCGAUGAUAUGAUCUUCACUCUUAAUGCUUAAGUGCUUGGGAAAAUCUAUUUGAAAAUUUAAAAGCCUUUUUGAAAUCUCCUCUUUGAUGUGCCAAAGUCCUACCAAAGCCAUAUGAUAAGUUAUCUUGAAAAACCAUUUGCAUAUGUUGCUUGUCUUUGCAUUGAGCUUUGUCAAAUUGGUGUGACCCUUGUCACAAUUCUUUUCAUACUUUCAUGAUCAAGACUCAUGUGCACGCCAUAUACCCCUUGCUAUGCUUCUAUGAGAUGUUAGCAUUGUACCAUCCAUUCAUUCCACAAAAUAAAUGCUCCACCAUAUGUGUUGGUCUCCUUCUAAGAUUAUUGUUACAAAAGAGAUAUGGGCUAUCAAAAAAAAAUAUGAAUGUCCAAGAAAGUUGGACACAUGAAUGUCCAAUAAAAAGAAAAAGAAAGAUAGCCAUGUCCUCAGAAAUAUUUACAAAGGGAGAGAGAUCAUACAAAAAGGAGUUUCCAUUCCAUCCACCACAUCCAUACAUGUGCACAUCUUGAUCUGAUUGUAUGACUUAUUUUUCUCUUUGGAUCUGGUCUUUGACUUUGCAAUAUAUGUGAUGCAAGCAUGCCUUAUCCUUCAUAGCCUACCUUGAGCUCCACAUAUAGCCAUCAUUAGAAGUAGGAUGAAGAAAGGCAAGUCUAAUGCCUUGGUGAGGACAUAUACACAUUGAGUGAUCUGAGAGAAUCAAAUGAGGAGCUAAGCAAGGUUUUGUUUUGAAAACUAAUUGAAAAAUCCCAAGCUACUUGGCAUAAGGAGUUGAGGUGACUUGAUUCAAGACCAUUACAUUCCUCAACUACCCAAGAUGGCAUGAUAGACACUCCAAAGUUCACAAGUGCAGGUAUGGUUUGGAAUAUCUUUUAGGCUCGCUUCAUACCUUUGAAAGUUAUGUUUCACCUUAGUCCUUUCUCGUUCACUCAAGGAUAAGCAAAGGCUAAGUGUGGGGGUGUUGUUGAUGGCUCUUAAGUACAAAAUCUGCGCCAUCAACUCUUGCAUAAACACAUAAAAUAUGAGCAUCAACAAUAGUGGUAGGAGUUAUUACAAACGAAUUCCACAAGUCUUGGUGAAUAUUUGUAUGCAAGCCCAAUAGGAGAGAAAAGACACCUCAAAAGCAAGGAAACACACUCUCAACCAAUCAAGAGCAAGCACAUGGAACCAUGGGCCCACAACCAAAAGGAAAUCGACUACAUUCCAAACACCCUAUACCCACAUGAGAACCCAUAGGGCAGUGACCCAGAGCAAAGGUGAUGCCAGAGUGUAGAUGGUAGUUAGCAUGCCAAAUUUUGAACCGCAAGCGCUCGGAUUAGUUGUUUCUUUUCCCUUAGAGAUUCCCCCAAGGUUUAUCAAUCCAUGGAACAAGGGAUUUGCACGUUUCACUAAGCACUAAUCAAUGUAAUUGAAAGCUUUUCGAAUAAGAUAUGAUUAUGCUAACAAAGGAACUAAGCAAUCUAGAUUAAGAUGGAUAGAGAGUACAGGUUGUGAACAAGAUAGAUUAAACGCUUGUAGAUGCAAUCACCAUGCAUGAAUGAAUUAGAUCUAGGUGUUAUUGUGAGUGGUUGUGAACCAUGCCCAACACUUUCCCACCCGCAACAUUGUCACUACAUGUGGGUACUCAACUAUCGGAACAUAAGAACACAUCAAGAUGAUCAUUCUAGGUAAGCAAAUAAGCAACCCAAAGUAGCGCUGGCCAGCCUUUUCAUGAAAGAGCAUCAUCAAGAUAAGAUUGAUAACAAAAUAGAUCUCAACCAAAGGUUCAGCGAUUACAAAUCAAGAUCUUCGUAUAACCCCGAUGACAAAUAGAGGUAUUACCCCCAUGAUCUUACACAUGUUGAUGAAUUUUAGGGUAAAGGACACCCUGUAGAUCAACUGGACCAAAGAUGAUGAUGAACGGGGGCAGGGAAGGCCCAGGUUGAUCAGCCUGCGCACUUUUGAGCCGAUCAGCUCAGGGGGUUUCCUCCUCCCCUGGUGCUCCUCUUCGCGUGGCCUCCUCUGGAUCCAAUCUUCUCUUCAUUUCUCCUACUUGUGGCGGCAAUGGAUGGUGUUUGCAUGGUGAUUUCCUCUUCUCCCCAACUCUCCCUCCUUGAAGUCCAUGAGGGGGUAUUAAUAGUCUCCAAUAGGCGGCAGCUCUGGGUCAAUGUCAGUGAAAAAAUCCUAGAGAUCAUCGUACACUUCAUGCUGAGGAAACAAGAGGUUGACCGAGCCCUGGGAUAGACCAAGAGGAUCAUCCUAGAGGGUCCCAGGCUAAUCGGUCUAGGCCCUUCCUAGCCCUUCUAGUCCUCUCCUUCCUCGUGCUGGCUUUUCUCGAUGACCCUUGUCCAAAUAUCCAUGAAGCUCUAUAUACAUACCCCCUUGAUUAUGUUGUAUUUCCUGUCAAAAUACAAUGCUCCAAAAUACAACACAUAUGCAAUAAUAGGGUUAUUUCAGGUGCCAAUUGGUGGGUUAGUAUACGAAUAAGCAUGAAAAUACUGUUUAAAUGACACUAAAAGUGUGUCAAUAACGAGCACCAACAAUCCCCCCACGCUUAGAUCUUGCUCGUCCUCGAGCAAGUCUAGCGACUAAAAGAUCUUGAAUUAAACCUGAGCAAGCGAGUCAAGUACCUAGCCUUGAAACAAAAGAUUAGAGGAGCAGCAAAGAUAAUCAAAGUCUGGGUGUUCAAAGAUUUAUCUAAGCAAAGAUUCCCCUACAACUAUUAUUCAGAACCAAGUAACUUCAAAAAUCAACUACACUUAUUUUCUGGCUUUUUUCAGAGGGUUUUUCUUUCAUCAUAAAACAAUCUCCCUGCAACAAAAUUGAAAAAAGAAUUAUUUUCAAGGUGCUUACAUGUCGCUUAAAUGAAUGUUGGCUAUCCUACUUAUUUGCAAGCUCUCAUCUCUCAAAAUUCAUUCAAUUAUAUGGUGGAGUUUGGGUAAGGUUAGCUAGAAUCAACACGUAUAUUAUUGAAUUAAGAAAACCCUCUAACGGUGGCCUACCUUCCGAGCCAUUGAUCAUAAGAAUAUCCACAUAAUGUGAAGUUUUCAAGGAUGAGAAGAUAUAGAAUGGUGGACAUGUGCAAAGGCAAAGAAAUAUAGUGACUCUGAGGCACAAGCAAUGUCCUCGUCGUUGGAUUGCAUAUGGUUGUAAUGAAAAUAUGUUCCUUAAACAAGUCUAUCUUUUCUUUGCACCACUCUUGAUCUUCAUGACAGUAAAAACUCCUCCUUUAUUUCUUUCUCUCUUUUCCUAUUAUUUCUUUUUAUUUGUCUCAAUACUUUUAUUUCUUUAUUUCUUUAUUUUAAUCUCUUCUCUGAACCUCUUCUGAACACCACAUAAUAAAAAUAAGUUUUAGAUCCUUCCAGAGACCUUCCAGGAAUUUGCUACAUGAAAACCGAGGCAAGGAGACCCCAGGCCGAUUGGCCUAGCCACUCCUUUGCUCUCCUCUAGCUCUUCUUUCUGGUGAAGCUUCCUUAUCUUGUAUCUUUCCAAAAAUUUCAUAAAGCUCGACUAGAAACGGAACAGAUCUUCAUAUAAUGAGUUGUGUUCAAGGAAUUGGUAAUAAAAUUGAGAAAUUUGUGGUUCGGGUUUACGAAUUCAGUACAAAAAUAUGAUUGUUCCAAUGAAGAACUCUCAUUACUGAAUAUUGACGAGGCAAGCAUUCAAAGAUGGUAAAAAGGAUAUGAUCAAUUCUCAAAAUUAAAGCAAACCAAGAGAGAGCGAUCCUAAUUCAAUUCAAAGUGUCAAAUGUUGCUUAUGGUGGUAUGAAUAAAUAUUUUUAGGCAUUGGGUAGGAUAAAUAAAAACUCUCAACCUGGUUAAAAGAUAUUGAUCAAUCUUGUUUUUGCAGAGGUUUUAAAUAAAAAAUAAAAUUUUAAAUCACCUCCAAUUCAAAGCCUUACUCAUAAAUCAUAAUCAAAACUGAAGCACUUGAUCAUCAUAAAGCAUGGGUAUUGCAUAAACAAAUCGAUUACUAAAACUCCACAACUACGAUUUAGAAUUCAAGACAAUGCUCAUAAUCUAAAGUUGCAAAGAUAAAAUAAAAGACAACCAAGCCAAGGUAGACACUAAAAACACUUGCACGAUCCUUGAAUUUUAUUCAUGCUUCUUCUCACAAAGACGCUAAAGUAGCCAUGUAGGCCUAAGUCUUCCCAAAAGCUUAAGAAAACUACUACUUUAUCUACUUUUGGUUGAAAUAAAAAGACUAAUCUAGACUCUCACAUGAUUCGACUCGACCAAAUUAGAUCCAAAAACUCAUACGAGCGACGAUCUCCCCCCCCUCACGCUUAAAAUCUACGACCUCCUCGUCGUAGCCAUAUGGAGUACAAGGAAAAGAAGCUUGUAAACGCUCUAAUGACGCUACCCGCACUACUUGCACACGGGAUGGUUGCUGCUUCCUUCGCUUUGUUCUUCCUCAUGUUGCUGCACAUCCCGAAGAGCUUCCUCACGUUCCUCUGCAAGAACUUGAACUCGUCCUCCUGACGGCGAUCAUUAUCUUCUGCCUUUUGAUCCAGAGCUUGUAAGGCUUGCAUGAUGUCAUCGAACGCAUCGAAGAGGUAGUGGAUGUUCUUCCUGCAAGCUGUGGAACAUGUACGAUCAUGCUCCUCCGAUUCUGGCCCGUCGUCUUCUAGAUCCUUCUCUUUGCCCUUGUCUUGACGGUGGCUAUCUUGCUCCUUGCUCGCCUUCUUGCCUUCAGCCCAAUCCCAGUACGUGUUGUCAUCUUCUUCAUCGUCACGGCCUGCAGCACCCUAUGAUCCAUUGUCUAUCUUGUAUGAAAGAAUCAGAAGCUUGUUCUCCUCAGGGUGUCUUGCGCGGUGCAGCGUUUGCAAGUGCAAGACUUGCUAGUUCCUUUUACACAUUGUAAUGUUCAUUGCAUGCUCUAAUUGUUCUACAUUUGUAAUUUCUUGGUGAAGUUUGGUUACUGAUCCACUGUUUGAUUAACUCUUGGGCCCAAACACUGUACUACUUCUGAUUAGAUAUCUGUAUCUUGACUUUGACCAAAAAAAAUAUCCGGCAGUUUUUGCCAUUAAAGUUUCAUAAAUCAUCUUGCAAAAAUCGUACUAUACAACAAGGGACGGUUUAUUAUAAAAUAUACGUUCCCCUUAUCACAUGCCACUUCCACUCAAAAGGCAACGAAUCAGUUUUCAAUCCUGAGUGAGCAAUUUGCUUUUAUUACCGAUGCCUCCUAUUCCCUUGUGCACCAAGUUUAUUUUGGAUAGGGCUGCAAAAAACGACUAACCAGCUCGGAUUCUCCACCUGCAAAACCGCAUCUGCAGCAACCAACCCCACGCGGUGGAAAAAAAAACAAAACCUAGAAACCGGACGGGGGUGGAUGUGGGGCUCGGAGCCCAAGCAAAAAACGGAUCGGGAGCGCCGGAGCAGGCCAUCACCGGAUGUUAGAGAUAGAAAAUGGUUGAAGUUUGGAGUGGAAAUCAAACAAGCCUUGGAGCAAAGGAAAAAAAAAGAUCAAACCACUCAAGCAUUCAUUUGAUUUAGAAAAGAGAACAUUUGUUAAGGUGGGGAGUUGAAAUCAUCUUUUAAUUAGUUCCACGUAUCUGGUAUCAUUACAGUUGGUUUACUUGUGUAAGUAUAAGUAGCUCUGCCGAAGCCUUUGCUCCUAUAAUUUAGUAACUAGUACAAAUGGAUCAAUAGGAAAAUCAAGUUGCAAUCAUUUCUCAGCCAACCAAACCUAUGUAAAUCAAAUUAUUGUCCAUGCCCGGCAUGCACAGGUGCCUGCCAUGCAUGCAUUGUUGCUCCAUUGUAAUAACCAUUAUUGUCCAUCGAUGUUGCAGCGCAUGUGUGCACUGUGCAGACACCAAGCAUCGAGAUUAUGUACUAGUAAGGUGUUGAAAUAAUGGGCCUAGCCCAUAAGUAAUUUCAGAAUUUCAAAUAAAUCUCAAAGGCCCAUGUGGGCAAGAGGUGGAGUGGUGCAAGUCUUUAGUCCCACAUUGCUAGUCGAGGGGAGGGAUGACCAACUUAAAUAUGGAAGUUGUCUCCACUCCUCCAAGCUAUGUGUGAAGGGCGCGGGCGCGAGGCACUUGCGUGAAUGGUCCGCCGAAAUCUGGCCCCCCUUGCGGGGGCGCGGCUUCCUUUUGCCGUUUUAUUUUUUGGUUACUUGGUCGUUAAGUCAUGGAAUCCUAACCGGUUUAGAUCACGAUCGUGAAGGUUUUUGGGAAGCGCUCUGCGCGACUGCUCGAUCGCUUCUUCCGCUUCGUCAAGUUCUUCGUCGACUCCUUCACCACGGCUCGUCUACCUCUUCGUCGCUCGGGCCUCACUCGUCGUCGCGAACAACGUCAGGCUGCUGAUCGUCGUCGCCUGCUGUAUCCGGUAGUCGUCCAGGAGCCGGUUUUCAUCAAGAAAGAAACGUACGGUCUCUUAACUCACAUUAUGUCUUCCAUACUAGCUAUUAUGAUUGUUGCAGUCUGAUAGCUCUGGAUAGUAUGGUAGAAUGUCUGAUUCUAUUUGCAAUGAUAGACUUGUCUAGAUCUUGCGUAGACAUGUCUAGUUUAAUCUGCUGCUUGUUCAUCAUAUUCAUGAUUUAUUUCUGGAUUAAGUUAAAACUAAAAGUGCUUAUAUAUCCAACAUAAGGUACCAAGAACACGUGAAGCACCCGGGGGAGGCUGCUCCACUCCGCAUGCACAGGUGGGCACGGCACCACUACUCGUCUCCUUCAGGCUGAGGAUAAGUGAUGUACGCUGAUCAACAGACCACGACGGAACCAGCAAUAAUAGUUUCAGCCUGCCUCACAGUAAUUAAUAUAUCCUGUAUCCUCCGAGGACCCCUCCCCUUAAUCUUGGCCUAUUGCAUCCAAUAAUGAUAUGUGUGUUUAUCCAAAUUUACGGCACCUUUGGCGGGGGUUCCACCCAGCUCCGCCCUCUCCACCUUCGGUACUCCAUGGGAAACCAUUCCUUUGGAAUCAAGGAAGCUUGAACAGUAUAACGAAUAAAGUUUCAUAUAUCCAUUUGAUUUCACAUGAAAUAAAAUAUUCUGUCAGAACCAAUGGUUUCACUGAAGCUCCAGGCAGCGAGCGAAGGGGUGAGAGAGGAUAACGCUUACUGUGUGUUACCAUCGCGUGCACCAUGGAUGACCAACGCGCAGCCGAGAUGAAACGGCGGACCUAAACAGGUCCUCGCUAUUUUUGCAGGUUCUCGACCAGGCCAGUUCUUUAGGCCAACCUAUCAUUCACGAGUUAAACAUACGGUGGCUGGAGAAAUGUUCUAUUCUUUUAAACAAUACCAGCUGGUUCCUCCGUUUUUAUUCCACCAAUACAAGCACCACCUUGUAACAUUUCCUAUGUUUUUUUUCCUUUCGUCUGUUUUCUCACUACAUGCGUUGCUCUUUCAUGCAUUUUUUUCCAUUCCUGUAUUCCAAAUAGGUCUACAUGAACACAAAAUGAACUAGGGGACAGAAAAAGCCAGUGAAGUUAGUUUUGAGCUUCACCAGCUACUUGCUACAUAAAGUGUGCUAUAGUCGCAGAAAAGCUAAGCUGGAUCAGACGUGGCCGAAACAAUGCCAAAGAGCUAGGUCCCUAGCUGAUGGCAACACAUCAGAUGACUAGCCUGCUUUUCUGUAAUAAUGAUAUUGAGCAAUACACUGCAUGGCUAACCUGCUUUACAAUAAUUGUCAUUUUAUAAUAUUGGUCAUCACGAGAGAUGCACAUUGCAUACACCGGCCCAUCCCUAUAAAUAGCCAAGCCUUUCAGCCAUCUUGGGCACCUCCUCUCAGGGCCUCGUCUCACCAUCAGACAUCUCGUUCCCAGUUAUAAUUUGCGAGGUUAGAUCAGGCUGCGCCAUGGCGUCCGCAACUGCUGUCAAGAUCGUCGCCACCUUCAUGCUGGUGCUGACCAUGGGCCACCUGAUGGCCGAAGCAUCACCGCAGCCUCGGCGUGUGCUUGCAGAAACGGAGCAUGCUGCGGUGUCCGGGAAUCCUGGCCUCCCAGGUGAUGCUAGCGUCAUGCAGGUCCUCGAACCCGCCCUAGUUUCUCGGCUUGCCUGCAAACCAGAGUGCACAGUCCCUUGGCCUCCUUUUGUAUGUAUCUGCUAGAUCCUCUUCCUGGCUCAACGGAACUUCAGGGAAAUGGCUGUGACGUCGGCCAAAGAAUAAAUUGGAUGAACAUAAUAUACCCCGGGUAGUGUAGCUUGGGCUUUUGUUGAGCGUCUGGUGCUAGUUGUAUUUUGUUUGCUCAUGUGGCUUUGCUUCUGGUUGCAUAUUGGCUUUCCUAUCGCUCUCUGUUGCAGCUAUGGUUUCUGCCAGGUGUGUGUUAAUGCGGUUUGUAAGCGGUGCUUGUUCCUACCUUCUGUUUUCAAUAAAAGAAGUCGGAGUCUCCCUCCGACUCUUGUUAUCAGUCAACAAAAAUGAGUUGUAUCAUAUAUAUCUGCGUCUUUUUUCUACGUAUCUUUGGGCUGCUUCAGCUGGAAGUUUAUCGUAAGUACGUGUAUCAGGAUGAUCGUUUGAAUUAAAACGAAAUGAUAAUGUGUGGCUGCUAGAAAUGGAAUGAGCAUCUUACUAUAUUACUAAUUGGAAGCCUCCACGUGAAGCCACCUAGAAAUUCUAGGUGGACGUUUUAAAAAAAACAAAACUCAUAGAAGCCUCCACCACCUAGGAAUCCUAGGUGGACACUCUAAAAAGAGACAAAUCCUAGAAAUUCUAAAAAAAGAAAAAAAUAAUAACAAUAAGAUUUUUUUGCAGUCAAUUACAUAUAUUUUUUUGAGACACCGUGCUGCUAGCUCUUGCCAUUGCGACCAGUAAAGCAAGCAGAUAGUAAGAUGACAUGCGUGUGGAUUGAUUAAAACAAAUUCAGUUAGUUGAUUCUAAAUCGUAUGUAUCCUAAAAGGAAGAUAUGUGCGUGCAUGGUCCCUAGCGAUGACAUGUAGACAUGUAUUGCAAUUUCUUUUUUAAAAAACAUGUCUAUCUCUAAACCAACAAACAGAAAAAAUAUCAAUCUAAAUCUAAAUCUCUUCCGUUCUCACACGCCUAUUAAAGAGAAGACAACCAAUCCCAUCCAUGUUCCAUAGAAUCCAUCUAAAAGCUUGCUCACUGCGGACGGCAUUUGACGGCAAAUCAAUGAAAGAUCAUCCUCUCCAAAUAGCUGGACGGCAUCACCAUCUUUAUCUCACCAACCUACAGAGCUACAACGAUGUUGUAGAGAUCAACUAGGUAACCUACCAAUCACCCUCCCCUUUUCUAUAUGCUCUAAAGAACACGUGGAGUAAUUAUAGGCCUAUAGGAGCCGACUAACCUAGAUUAAUAUGAAAAAUAUUCCAAUAUUAAAAGCAAGCAGAUAGUAAUACUUGCCUUUGACCAUUUUUCUAGAACUGUUAUUCCUAUUGAAUGUUCAAGUGCUACGGCCAGGCAUCGAAUGCCUGCACGGAACCUUCCUAUUGAAUGGUUACUCUAGAGAUCAACGCACCGCGAGACAUUUUUAUGGAAUUUGUUUGAUUCCCCUUCUACAAUUAGAUUAAUUUUUCAUGGCAUAUAUUACUACUAUUAAAUUAUUUGUUUAUUGUCGGGCCUGCUGCAUGUGUGGUAUAUAUGACUUGCUUCUCACCAUUGUUCUCAAACUAUUAUUCCUAUCGAAUCUUUCUAUCGAAAUAUAUUUUAAUUACUUGAUUGUUGUUUGUGUACCAUAACUUCUGUAUAGAAAAAUUCCAUGUUUGUAGAUAAUGUCUUUUGUAUAGAAAAAUAGCCCAAUUAGAUCCAUCACCAUCUUUUGCUUAUGUAGUUGAACAAGUUGCAAUGUUGAACAAAACUUUAAGUGAAAUUAGACCAGGAAAAGGAAUUGUGGAACAUUAAGGCAAGGGUAACCAGAUUGUGGAAUGCAACCUUACUCAGUAGUGGCGAACAAUUAAGUCUUGACAUGAUCCUUAUUGAUCAAAAGGUAUGAUAGAUGUUCACUUUGAUUGCAUUAUUGGUAUAAUUUUUGGUUUACAAAUUAUUAAUGAUGAUGCAAAAUUAGGGAACCAUGAUCCACGGUGUUAUCAAUAAGCCCUAUAUGAAAAAGUUCAAACCAUUGAUUGAAGAAGGCAAUGUGUACAUAAUUGCAAAUGUCAGAAUCACACCAGAACCACAGAAGUAUCGGCCAGUGGAAAAUGACAGGAUAGUCAACUUCUUACCCACAACUGCACUAAAAACGAUCAAAGAUACUGAAGACAUUCCAAAGUAUAGUUUUAACUUCAUGAGCACGGAUAUGCUUUCAGCAAGAAUAAAUGUGGACAUGUACCUAUUAGGUAAAACAUUACUGGCUUUUCAAUUUUUACACUUCCACUCAUUAAAUGACCAUCUAAUAAUAAUACAUAUUUAUGUUUCAUAGAUGUUAUAGGUAUCUCAGCUCACAUUGGACCGAUAGAAGAAACAAGGACAAACUUCGGAUUUACUAAAAUCCGUGAUAUUGUGCUCCUGAUCGAGUAAUUCUCUUUUCUUUUGUAGAAAACAACUACAAAACUUUCAACAUUUACAUGUAUGUUAUAGAACUUCUGUUGAACUAAAAAAUAUCUUCUACAGUGCCCCUACAAAUAAUUAAUUUCGUAGUUGGAUAUUUAAAAUAUUUAUUAUUCACUUUUAAAUUUGUGGCCAUGAAGUUAAAGUUAGAUUUUGGGGAGACAAAGUUGAGGAAGUUGAUGAUAAGACAAAAUCCCAUGUCAUUGCAAUAACAUCUACAACUGUGAGUAAAUUUGGCAGUAAGUCUUCAUUCAAUAUGAGUUAUUCAAUAUUAGUCAUUCAACAAACUAACCUCGUAAGAAAAAUAAAUAAUUGAUGUUUUAUCAGGGUAUUCUCUAUCGUCAACCAAUGCAACAAAACUUUAUGUAGAUCUACCUAUUCCUGAAACUAAGGAUGCACAUGAUAGGUGAGAAAAAUUAGAUAUUGUUUUUCUAUUUUAAUCUAUGUAGCAUGCACUCUAACAUGAUACAUUCUUUCAUAUGAUAAAAAAAUGUUAGUUCAAUUGAAAAUAUUGUCAAAGAGAUUCAUAUUGAGGACCAUCUAAAAGGGACAUUGGAAGACCAAAUGCAGUACAAUAGAAGAACUUUAGAAGAAUUAAAUUUCAUAUUAUUUGAAACAUCAAAUCAGGUAUGGAUUAGUAUGUUCAUUGUACACUAUACUAUUUAAAGACUUACAUACAUAAUGAUGGUAUUGUUCCUACUUUCAGGAUGAGGUAUUUACUAUUGAAGCAACAAUAAAUGAAAUUAAUGCAACAUAUGGUUGGUUGUCACACCCGAUUUUAAGGACAAAAUUGAGUGCAUUAAAUACAUGUGCACCAGGAUCAAGUUACACACAUCCUAUGAGUACCGUCCUUCUUUGGCACAAAGAUAACCGGUGCUCCCCAUGGUGAUGAACUAGGCCGAAUAAACUAUUUUGCUGAUAAUUCCUCUAGUUGUUGUUUCAAUUCUUUUAAUUGUUCAACCAACAUUCUAUAAGGACGUUUGGAGAUAGGUGCAGUACCAGGUAAAAGAUCAAUAGCAAAUUCAAUGUCGCGGUCAGGUGGCAUACCUGGUAAAUCGUCGGGGAACACAUCCGGAUAGUCACACACCACUUUGAUAUCUUCCAAGGAUUUUCCAGCCAACUGAUUAACUGCACAAUCUGCUGCUGAGGGUAGAGUAGCUACAAACUCCACUUUCUCUCCAUCAGGACCUGUUAGCAGAACUGUCCUCUUGGCACACUGAAUCGUUGCAUCAAAAGCGGCUAACCACCUCAUCCCCAGAAUUACAUCGAUUCCACUGGACUCAAGGACGAUAAGAUCAGCCGGAAACUCUAUACCCAUUAUUCUCAGUUUAACUUGUGGACAGAUGUAUUGAGCCUUCAUUGACCCCCCAGGUGAACUCACUAGCAUAUGACGCCUCAUGGUAUGCAUGGGUAAAUUAUGCUUUGCUACAUAAUGACUAGUGACAAAAGAAUGCGAUGCUCCAGAGUCAAAUAAAACUGAUGCGGGGGCAGAGUUGACAAAGAACAUACCAAGCACUACAUCUGGAGCCUCCUUAGCAGUCUCGGCUUCCAUGUGGUUCACCUUGCCACAAACAAAGCUUUGCUGCCCCUGAUUGCCUUGUGGGGUCUGGUUCCCAUUCCUCGGUUGCUGCAUCUGAUUCUGCCGAGGAGCACUGCUGUUCUGCACGGGGGUAGCUGGCCCACCUCUCUUAGGACAAGAGCUGGCAUAGUGACCAACCUCGCCACACUUGAAGCAGGUAGGACCCACUGGAGCAUUGGGCCUUGUUGGAGUGCCAGUAGGGGUCAUCUGGCGGUUCUGCGUAAAGCUUGGGCGCGGAGUCUGCAUAGUCUGCAUCCCUGGAUGCUGGAACUGAGGGCUAGGGCGCUGGAAUGACUGCUGAGCAGGGCGCGGAAAUGAGUGCUGCCAAAAAUUCCCACUCGGGCCCCCUGCGCGGAACGGCGUCCCUUGCUGUGGAGCAAAGCGAGGGCGGGUGUUGCUUCCUGAAGACUACUGGGAAUUGAAUUUCCUCUUCAUCUCCCCGAGCUCGUUCCUCUUGUGUUCCAGGCCAAUUGCCUUGUCUAGCAUCUUCUGGAAACUGGGGAAGGUGUGCGACAUAAGCUGAUAUUGGAGUGGUCCAAUCAACCCAUCCAAGAAUAGCUCCUGCUUCUGCUCAUCAUCAGCAACAUCUUCGGGAGCAUAUCGGGACAACUGGACAAACUUGUCCCUGUACUCUGCCACUGUCAUGUUCCCCUGCUUGAGAGCAAGGAACUCCUUCUUCUUAAGCUUCAUCAAUCCGGAAGGAAUAUGAUGACUUCUGAAGCUAGUCCUGAAUUCAUCCCAGGUGAUGCCAUUAGCAUUGGCAUGGGUGGUGGUGUAAGCAUCCCACCAAUCAGCAGCUGGCCCUUCCAGGCGUCCUGAAGCAUACAGGACCUUCUCCCUGUCAGUACAUUGGGCGAUAUCCAGCAUCUUCUCCACUGUUUUCAGCCAAUCAUCAGCAUCUAAUGGAUCCGGAGAAUGUGAAAACGUCGGGGGCUUGUGGCUCAUGAACUCCCUAUGCCUGUCCCUUGGCGGCGGCUGCUGCUGGUUGUUGUUGUUGUUAUUGUUCAGCUGAGCUUGUAAAGCUGCCACGGUGUUGGUCAGUCCGGCGAGAAGCUGAGUCUGAGCUGCUAGAAACUGCUCCAUCCCUGCAGGUGCUUGUUGGUUCUGUUGCGGAGCGGUGUUGGGAUUGCUGCUGUUGUCCCUGUGGCGUGGCACUGUGGGACGGUCAACUCCUGAUCCGGACCUGGUGUUUACCAUCUGAGCGUUAGAGACAAUGGAUUUAGAUAGAUGUGUGAAAGAAUAACUGAGAAAGAUAAAGCGACCAGAUGUAAAAGUAACACAGAUUCUGUUAGCUCCAUUUAAUUAGGUGUGGUCGUCAGAAGAAGUGUCCAUAAAUUCUGAACAAUUACCAAGUCGUAACUUAUUAAAUUUGUAAACCAACCCAACUGGAAUCAUCUCAAUCGGACUUCUGGAUCUCGAGUUACAAAAUUAACAAGCUGACAGUGUCGGUCGAUAGGUUCAGAUUCUGAGUGCUUUACUAAUUCGCAUACACCUCCCAGACAGAUACACCAAAAAUUCUGAAAAAUUUACAGAUAGUACUCCACGAAAUUCUGAAACUAACCCCACUGGUUUCAUGUCAUUUGGACUUCUGUAGCUAGAGAUAUAAAUAAAAAAGUACUGGCGUGUCAGUUAAUGUCGAGAACAGAAUUGAAUGUCGCUUAGCUUGCGUGAUGGAUAGAUUUAGACAGAUGGUAGAUCAUGAUUAAGGAAGAUUAAAUACUGAUUUAGAACAGAAAUAAAACCCAACUAAGCACUUUAUUUAUUAAGACCAGUAUCGUGUGGCAAUUGCCCCACAUACCGCACUCAUUACAAAAUCCAACUCAAACAUGUAGCACAAAACCAAUCAUCUAAGCACACUUUAACUAACACACUCGAACGACGUCUAACGAUUACAAGAAUUUAAACUAAAACACUCCUAAUUUCCUAGAGGUCUUCUGCGGCGGUGCCGGGCGAGUCGUAGCGGGGACGCUUAGGCGACGGCGACGAAGCGGGAUGAACAGCAAACUCCUGCGGCGGCGGUGCUCCCGUCGCGGCAGCCAUAUUCGCAUCCCUCUCCCACCGGAGUUCCUGAACCUCCUGUUGAAGCUCCUGGAUGUGGUUGUUUGCUUCAUUCAAUGCGGUGAGAGCUGCCGACGUGUACUUGCGGAGGAAGUCUGUAGCCAUGUCAACCCCAUCGUUAGUAGCGAUGAAGGUUCUUGCUUCCCCACUAGCUCGGUAAGGAAGGAACCGAUGGUAAGUGUGCUGCAAUCGCGGCCGUUCCUUGUGGGAGACGACCUCAAGUGCCCUCCUGGCGGCCUCGGCAAUGCCGGAUUCCAUGGUCCUCCUUAUGGUCACAUCAUGGUGAAAAGCCUUCACCUCCCAUCCUCCCUCGUGCUCCUCACGAAGGACAACCUUCACCUCCCAAAAAGUGGGAUAGCGAGGGUGGGUGAACCGGGAGCACUUGUAGAGUGGCCUCAUGCCGUACCCCAAGCGGUGACAAGUCCACCUGAGUAUGUCGGCCAUGUGCACUCCUUGGCCAUAAUCUUCCUUCACCCAUUUGAUCCAUGUCUCGGGCUCGGGAUCUGCUUCGGGCUCAUCAUCCGUCAAGUCGACGACCGGUACGGGCGUCGGGGCUGGUGCAGGAGCGGGCGCCGGUGCUGGCGACGGUGCUGGUGACGGCGUGGUCUCCUGCUCCACGGUCACGGCGUCCCCGUCAGAGUCAUCCCCCGGAUGCUGGAAGAUCUCUUCCUCUUCUUCCUCGUCCCAAGGCUCCAUGGGGGCGUACGACGGCGCGAUGCCAUGACGCGGCGGACGGGUGCUCUUGCGUGCGGUCAACCGGGUGCGAGCCAUCUAACAGAAAGAAAGAAGAAAAUUUUAGAAUAAAAUUUUGAACAAAGCUAGAUAAUAAAAUAGCAAUAAGGAUGAGACAAAUCAAGUUUAAGAAUAAUUAAGUAGAUUUAAAUUAAGAAAGGUAGGAAUGGCUACUAGAUUAUUAUAAUCCUUAAAUACGACCAUUUUCUAACUAGGCUAACGUCCUACAGUCAACACGGCUCUGGUACCACUUUUGUCACACCCGAUUUUAAGGACAAAAUCGAGUGCAUUAAAUACAUGUGCGCCAGGAUCAAGUUACACACAUGUACGACAAUAGUGAAUAGUAAAGCCAGUGCUAAAUCGAAUAAAGAGAGUAUUAACCAUUAUUACAUGACCGAAUGUCUCAAAUAAACCACAAAGUCUAAUUAUUACGCAGCGGAACUCCAAAGAUGACGACGACUCCAUAGGCAGCUGACUGAAGAAACGUACGCCUAGAACUCCUCGAAGUCGUGGAAGUACUCCUCUUCCCAAUUAACUUGGUCUGAACAGCGGUUUUGCAAGGGUGAGUACACUUAUGGUUGGUACUCAACAAGUCGUGGGAAGUAGUGUAGUGUAAGGCUAAUUCAAGGUAUGGCUAAGGCGUAAAUAGCAUUCGCUUUUAAUUAAGUUGGUCAAAUUUUAUUAGCAUUUACUAAGUAUAAGUUCAUACCACCCGAAAUUAAACAUGAACAUAAAGUAAACCACAUGUGCAUGAAAUGAUAACAAAUUAAAUCCAUCUUCCGAUAAUAUUAUCAUGUGAGGGUCCAGGCCGCUCUUAACCGUGAGCACGGCUGAUUGAUCAGUUUAACACUCUGCAGAGGUGGCACAUCUUUACCCACAAGUCGCGUAAAAGUUCAAAAGAACUUUGGACCCAACCAUGCGGUGUUUGCAAGGCACCAUACCACACUUCCGAGGUGUGAUUGCAUAGGGACGCUACGAGGCCUUUACAAAGAUUCAUUAAUCAGUGGUAACCCGCUAAGGUUUCGGUGUCUGGCGUGCACCACCCAUCCCAGGUAAAAUGCAACGACUCAGUCCCCCCCCUUGAAUCAUCACGAGUAAGGUCACCCCAGACUAAGGUUUCUAAUUAAUCAGCCAAGACCAGAGCUAUUUAGUCUUGUGGUAGCACUGUUUUCCUGGGUGGUCGCUCCAUGUUCUGAUUAACAAAUAAUGAUCUUGUCUUAAUGAAAGGUAUAACAGAAAUAAGGCAAGAUUAAGCAUUGUUUUUAGUUAAACCACCAUGUACCAAGUAAGCACUAAGCAUGAGCUACCCAACAUAAAGUAAACCGGUUGGUCAAGGCAAAGGUAAAACAAUCUAGGCCAACCUUAAUUGGGACCCAUCAAUUUAAUCUUAAUAUGUGCACAGCAUAAAUGUUGAGUACGAGAAAGUAAAGGUGUAUAGGACAAAAAGGUAGUGAUCAAGGACACGACUUGCCUUCUUGGCCUUGCUCCUGCUGUUCGUACUCCUCGAAGGCUUGAUCGGCAACUCCCUCGAACUGCGGGGCGUCUACACGCAUCACACGAGCACAUACAAGCAAACAUGGGCAAAAGUAAGAAAACAGUAUACCAAACAUAGUCAAACAGAGAAAACAAGCUUGAAAAGAUGAUCUACGCUUUAAAACGAACACGCGGAUAUAAAGAACGCGAAAAACGGAGUUAAGAUGCAAAAGAUAUGAUUAAAACAAAAUCCAGGGACUUUUCUGUAAGAAAAACAAAACUUUUAGGGCCUAUCCGCGAAAACCGAGGGCUUAUACGUAAUUAUGCGUAUAAACCGAGGGUCUGAUGCGUAAAAACAUCAAACCCGGACGGCGGGUUGAUUUCUGGAAAGGUCAAGGGUUAAACCGAAAAAUGCGAGGGCAGAUCUGUAAAUACUUUCAACGCGAUCUGGACCGCGGGUUGAUUUGCGAAAAAGGCGGGGGCUAAAGUGCAAAAACUGCACGGCGCGGCUCGGUUGACCGGUACGCGAUCUUGAUUGACUCGCGUCCGGCCGUCGGAUUAAGAUCCGACGGUCGCGGUGAUCCGCGACAUCGCGGCGGCGGCGGCGAGCGGCGGCGAGCGGCGGCAAGCGGCGGCGGGUCGCCGGAGUUAGGCAAAAUAGCGCCACGAGGCACGGUUUAACGCGCGGGUUGCACCAAAAAAGAGAGGGGAACACGUCGAUCCCGUUUUGGGGGUUCUUGUCGACGGGGGCUCACCGGCGACGGCGAACGGCGGCGAGGAAGAGGCGGCGGCGCUAGGAGCUCGGGCGGCUAGGGUUUCGGGGAGCUGCGGCGCUGGUUUUGGGCGGAGGAGACUGGGAGGAGGCGGCGGCUUUUAUAGGGCUUGGAGAUAGAGCCGGCGCGGGUUCAAAUCCCCCGGAGGAGUCGGAGCGGAUGGAGUCCGGGGCGGAGACGGCGCGCGGCGGUUGCGGAGUUCUGACCGGAUUCGGCCGGAGGUGGGAGACGAUGGGUGGGGUCCACCCGUCAGUGGCGGAGGGGAGCGGUAGACGGGCCGGCGCGACCGUGGGCUGGCGCGCGCUCGUGGGCUGCGGGGAGCGGGAGAGAAGCGGCGAGCGGGCGCUGGCGGAGCAGGCCGAGCGGAGGUAGAGCUGGGCCGCGGAGAAAAAGGAGGAGGCCGGCGGGCUGCUUCGCAGGCCGGUAAGGAUGAGGCGGCCGGGCCGAAGAAGAAAAAGAAAAGGAGGGACAAGGAGCUUUCGGCCGAGGGAAAAGAAGAAGAAAAAGAAAAGGAAGAAGAAAAGGGAAAAGGUUUUGGAAUUUGAAUUUAAAUCUGAAAUUCAAAAUUUGAUUCAAACUCAAGCAACCAAAAAUUAUGCUCCAGCAUGAAUGCACAAAUAAUUCCUAUGAUGAAUUAAUUGAAUUAAAGAAAAUGAAUUUAAAUGCCUAGAAAUUAAAUAACACCCUAAUUUGAGCAAAUUUUAAUGAAUUUGAAUUAUUGAAAUUUUGGGUGUUACAUUGGUACUACAUCUCAUGUAGUAGAGGCGAUUGUAAGAAGCAACUUGAAAAGAAGUUUGAUCACUACUAUUGCAAUAAAUGUGACAAGAGAGCCGAACCUAAAGCCCAGUAAAUUAUUUAGUAGUUUACAAUCUUAUUAUAAUACUUCUAUUUCUAAUAGGAGAAUAAUAUUUUCAGAUUCAAAUUAAGCUUCAAAUAAGUGAUCCAACAACAAGUGCAACUUGUGUACUUUUGACAAGGAAGCAGAAAUGAUAAUUAAUGAAUGAGCAGAUUCGAUGAUCACCUCAGUUGAUCAUGAUAAUAAGUAGCUACCAAAAUCAAUUCAGGAAAUAUGUGAAGAAACAUUGAUUUCUCAAUUCAGAUUGACCGAGUACAACUUGACAAGUUUUAGACCUGAUUAUACUGUUUCAAAGAUAUUUUUUCCAAAAGAAAAGGGCAGUUCAAGAAUUGGUAUGGAAAGUGUAAAAAAGGUAACACUUUAUUAUUAAUUUUUUAUUGCACUUUUUUCUUUUGAAUCCGUAAUACUUAAUAAUUUUACUAUAUCAAUGAAACAAAUUCUAACCUAAAUUUAUUUUCUUUUUUAUUAUUUGUAGGAAGUAGAAGACAACUCAGACAAAUGCUACACGAUAACUACCGAGAAUGAAGAGGUAGACACUGAUGACUCUUUUACCGAGAAAGUAACAUUCGUAGAAGAAGCCAUAAGGACUGGGGAAAGAUUGGCUAGAAAAGUAUACUCACUUCCAUGUCAGUGUUCAUUCUAUUUACAAUACAUGCAAAAAAAAUAUUAUUCAUGCAAAAUUGCAGGUCUACUAAGCAUUAAAGGAAUAGCGGAUAGUGCAAUAUGUAAUCUGAGCAGCAUGCAUUACAAAGUGCUCUACUGCAAUUAAAUUAAAAAACAUGAUAUAUGUUGAAUUCUUAGACUUUAUUAUUAUACUUUUCUACGUGACAAUUCACAAUUUUUUAGAAAAAAGAAGAUCCCAGAAGAAGUGACCAUGAAAAAAGGUCUAUGACCAGCAAUAAGAAAAAAUGCAAGCAUAGAAACAAAUCCGUAGAAAACAUAGAAAAUAAGGUACUCCAUAAACAAAAGUAUUCUCUUAUAUUUUUAUUAAAUAUUUUUUUAACACUUGACAAGUUCUUUUUUAGGAUCAAUAUAUCAGCAAUUCAGAUGUCAUUGGAGAUGAAACCUUAGUUCAUCCAAAAGGUCAAAAAAAAACAUCUGAAGAAAGGUGUUUGGCUGAAAAGGAAAAGCAAAAAAGUGGUAAUGCAGACAAACACAUGCAGAAAAAUAUAAAAACAUGUCAUAGGGAGGCAGACCAAUCUUGCAAGGAGGUAUAGACGAAACGUGAUACACGACCUGCCUACCUUGUCGUGGAUACCCCAAGAAGAUGUCAUAGAGGUGCAGACCAAGCUAGCAAGGAGGUCGAAACGUGAUACACGGCCUGCCUACCUUGCCGUGGAUAUUAGCCCUGAGAUCAUUCUACUGUUCAAGGAAUAACACUCAAUGCUGCUGCUGCUGCUGACCUGGCUCCAUAAAGUUAUACUCCUCUAGGUGCUUGCACUAACUUUAUCUGAAGUAUUAUUCUCUCUGCACUGUAUAUAUGGUUAUGGAGUUUGCUGGAGUAUCCGGGGCGAAGAACCUACAUAAUACGUCUUGGAACUAAUUGACAUUGAUUCACAGACAAACUCUACAAGGUGCUGUUCUUGCCAUUUUAGAGCAUCCAAAGGACUAUAAAUAACAUAGUUUACCAUAUACCAUAUACCAUAUACCAUAAUAUGUUAGCUAAAAUAAGAGCAUACACAUGUUGCAGGAGUCCAAAAGCACCGGUUGAGGACCAGGUACAUUGAAUUACUAGAAAAAGACAGGGGACAAGGUUUAGGUAACCACAUGAAACAUUUGAAUUUAUUGUACUAUGAACACUUAGUUACCAUGCCAGGAGCACAUAGUUAACACUAACAUUUAGCCACUUUAGAUCAUCCCGAAUCACCAAUGACCCUCAAUAGUGACAAAUUUUGGUUUAAAUGCCAUCACCAAUGAUCCUCAAUAGUGACGUAUUUAGGUUUAAAUCCCGUCACUAAUAACCCUCAAUAGUGACCUGUUUUGGUUUAAAUCUCAUUACCACUGAUCCUCAAUAGUGAUGUGUUUUAGCAAAACAUGUUAUCAAUGACUUGUCAUUGGUGACGUGUUAAAACGCGUUAUCUCAAUGGCAAAUCAUUGGUGACGUGUUAUCUCAAUGUUAUCAAUGUUCUAUUCUUUUCAACAAUACCAGCUCGUUCCUCCGUUUUUAUUCCACCAAUACAAGCACCACCUUGUAACAUUUCCUAUGUUUUUUUUCCUUUUGUCUGUUUUCUCACUACAUGCGUUGCUCUUUCAUGCAUUUUUUUCCAUUCCUGUAUUCCAAAUAGGUCUACAUGAACACAAAAUGAACUAGGGGACAGAAAAAGCCAGUGAAGCCAAUUUUGAGCUUCACCAGCUACUUGCUACAUAAAGUGUGCUAUAGUGACGUGUUUUAGCAAAACAUGUUAUCAAUGACUUGUCAUUGGUGACGUGUUAAAACGCGUUAUCUCACUGGCAAAUCAUUGGUGACGUGUUUUAAAAAAACAUGUCACCGUGAGAGUCAUUGGUGAAGGGUAAUUAAAAUGCGUCACUAAUGUUGUAGCAUUAGUUAUGAUAAUUUAGUAACGCAAAAAUCUACCAUCAGUAUUGAGCUUUAGAGCCAUCGCUAAUGUGGGUUUCUUACAUAGUGAUGCAAGCUCUACAAGGUGCUGUUGCUGCCAUUUUAAAGCAUCCCAUGACUACAUGUUAAUAACAUAGUUUACCAUAUAUCAUAAAAAUAUUAGUUACAAUAAGCACAUACGCAUGUGGAAGAGUCCGAAUGCACCGGUUGAGGACUAAACACAUUGAAUUACUAGAACCAAAUGUAUGUUUAGAACAAAGACAGGGGUCAAGGUUUGGGUAACCGCAUUAAAAACAUUGGAUUUUACUGUACAUGAACACUUAGUUACCAUUACCAUGCCUUGAGCACCUAGUUACAACAAACAUUAAUUUAGCCACUUUAGAGCUUCCAGAAUCGCUAUAAAUAAUAUACCUACGCCGUACCAUGAAAACAUCAAGAAGAGAGACGGAUACAUGGACCACCAUCAAGCGAGUAGUGACAGCACGCACAAGAAUACCCGGAACCUGUUAGCUUGUCUGUAGUGAUCUGUUUUCUUCCCCAUAAAAUCCAUGAGUAUUGCCACAAAUAAUGAAAGAGGCUGACCAAGCUAGCAAGGAGGUAGAGCAAACGUGAUACACGGCCUGCCAAGAUUGCCCUGGAUACGCCAAUAAGAGCGACAGAUACAUGGAUCACACCAAUAUGGUGAAACGUAUAUUCAUCACACAAGCAAAGCUGGUCAGUUUAUCCAUGGUCAAAUUGUGGUCUUUGUUUUCACUUGAGAGCUAAUUGAGGCACUAUAAUAUGGGCAGGCCUAUCUUCAACAGACAUGACAGCUACAGGGAACUUGACAUAAUUUGCUGGGCCGCCUGUGCACAAUUAUUUGUUUUAUUGUCCUUGCAUAGAAUGCUAAAAUACUCUUUACAAAAUGUUGGAUCUAAUAUUUGAAAUAUAGAGUAGUAAUCAUAUAUUGAUCAACAACUUGAAAUUAUCUGUACAUUCUCGGUGAAGCUGUUGAACUAAUUUUUGCAAAUUAUUAAUUCAUCUCAUUACGUAAAGAAAAAAGUAAGUGGAUAAGAUAUUUCGUGGACCACAUCACUGCAAACAUGUCAUGGAGAGACAGACCAAGGAGGCAGGACGUGAUACACGACUUACCCUAGGUUGCCGUGGAACCGCCAAGAAGAGAUACAGAUACAUGGACCACACCAUCUUGGGAGUAGUGACAGCAUAUAUGCAGAAGAAUACCCCGUGCCUAUUUGCAUGCAUGUCUCAAGUGAUCUGUUUUCUUCAGAAAAUACAUGAGCAUUGCCAGAAAGAAUGGCAAGAGACAAACAUGUCAUAGAGACUUGCAUGUCUUGCCUUGGAUACGCCAAGAAGAGGGACACAUACAUGGAUAACACAAAUCUAGUGACACGUAUAUUCAUCACAAAGGCAAAUCUGAUAAUUUUAUCCAUGGAGCAGACCAAGGAGAAAUUGAUGACGGACAUGUGAUCUCUGUAUUCAGUUGAAAGCUAAUUGAGCUACACUAAUAUGAGCAGGACUAUAUUCAAGAGACUUGUUGAGAGCUACAGGGAACUUGUAAUAAUUUGCUGGGCGGCCUGCGCACAAUGAUUUGUUAUACAUAGUUGAAAUAUUUCAAGAAUUUAUCAACCUCAUACUCUGAAACCCUUGGUGCAAUGUACUCUGCUUUCCGAGGUAGACUGUUCACGUAAAAUGAGGUCAUGCGUAAGACGGAAUCGGAUUGGAUUCACAGGGAAUCAGAUUUGGAUAGCACCUUUUAGCAGGUUUUUAGUCAAAUGCAAAUUCGGAUCCACAUGUGGUUGAAUGCGAGUUCAAAAUUCUACUUGGAUAUCCAUUUAAUUUAGGUGAUAGCAAUUAGCACAAAAUGUUGGAUGAACAAAAUCAUAGUUAGACAUACAAUUACAUGUAUGGUUAAAGUAUAAUACAAUACACCAAGAUUAUUCCUUGAAAAUAUUUCUUAAAAAUAUUAUAAUAAAUGAAUAAAUAUAAUUGUGGCCACCAACAAAUAGUCGGUGGUCGCUAAGUUGGAGCCAUUUCUGGUUACUAAUGCGGCCUUCUCCUCGACCAGCGACGACAGCUGAGCUUGUUCCUUCUGACACUAAAUCAUCAGAGUCUUCCCUCCACUACUAUAGAAUGCACCUUUAGCACCAAUUGGGAAAUCCCCUUCAGUAUUGGAUGCUGCAACCAGUGCUAUAUAUCAAAAUGGAGACUAAAAGCCUCGGUCUUGGGUACCGGUUGCAUAACGCAUUACUAAAGGAGGCAAAAGAGAAAUGUAACAAAAAAAAUAUUUUGAAUUCCAAGAAUGUUUCACUAUUCAAGAUGACUAGCUGAGAGUCAACAGACAAGAUACUAGGAAUGUGGGUGCUUGAAUGCAUUUGUACAGAGGUCAUACUAUUUACAAACUCUUCUAUGUUUCCAUAUGACUACCUACUUCAAUGUCACGCGAGCCAUUCAGCUGGACACAUGGCACACUAGCUUGCAUGUCGAAUCCAUGAUUAAUUAUUUGCACUUGUGAUCUCUUACCAGUAUUUGUCCAGACUAGAAACGUGCAACACAUUUUUAGGAUAUGGACACGCAUAUAUUUGGACUAGUAUACAGGUCACCUUUGGAUGCGUACAAGGAUGACCGGGAGGGACUAAUGGAUACAAGGAAGGGACCAUCAGGAUUAAUAUUGACAUAUGCCACAUGACAAUCUUCAUUGUCAUGCAAUCCCUAUCAACAAUCAUGGAAUCCCUAGUGUACUAAUCCCUGGAGGGUUGUGUGGAAAUUUAUUUUACCUUGCGGUGAAAAUCUCAUGAGCAGUCAUUAGUUAAGCUGACUAGCUGAGAUAUAAUAGACAAGCUAGUAAGAUUGGGAGCAUCAAUGCAUCCAUACAGGGUCACAAUAUCCUUUCCAUUCACUUUUAUAUAUAACCCUACGAAUACAAGUCCAACGAAAUGCGGGCCUUUCGAUCAAGAUAAAUUAAAUGGCCCACUUGUAUUUCUAAUCCAGGAUUAACUAUGCCCUCUGUUCAUCUCUUGCAAGCACGUGCAACACAUUUUCACGAUAUGGACAUGCAUGGAGGUUAUUAUACUGUUUGGACAAACUCUGAUGUGCCAUGACCUAAAUGCUUAGGGCCUGUUUGGUUUGAGUUGCUUAUUAUAAGCAACUUAAAGUUGCUUAAAGUUGCUUAUUUGAAGUUGCUUAUUUUUAGUCUAAACUGUUUGGAUACCCUUGCUUAUGAGCAUUGAAUGAGUUGGACAUUGUCAAAUUUGCCCCAUGUGUUGCUACCCCUCCAAUUUGCCUCCCCACCCUUCUUCUUCCUGCACACGUCCGAUCCCGGGGGCCGACGGCGGGCAGGGAGCAGCAGCAGCUGGCCAGGGCGGCGGUGGGGCGGGAGCGGCGGCGCACACCAGCACGCGCUCGCACGCCAGGUGCUAGGGCGCGGCGAGGCAGUCGUCGUAGCCCACCGGGAGCGGGUGCUCGGGCGCGAGGCGGUACUCGACGGAGAUGCCGAGCGUCGGGCGCGCGGCGGCGAGCGCGUUGAGGAAGCGAUGGUAGUGCGGCGACGUCGCGGACUCCGCCACGAAGCCGCCGCCGUGGACGUACACCACCACGGGCAGCUUCGUCUUGCCGUCGGCGGCCGCGGCCGCGGCCUGGGGUGGCAGGUAGAGGCGGACGGAGCAGGAGCCGAGGUCGACGUCCCUGGAGUCGACGCCCGUGGCGGCGUCCAGGCUGGGCCCGACCGGCGGCGGCACGAGCGGGCGCUCGAUGCGGCCGCUCUUGUAAAUCCGACGGGUCUGUGCGGAGGCGGGCGGCGGGCGGGAGCGGCGGGUGGGAGCGGCGGCAGGUGGUGCGGAGGCCGGCGGCGGCGGGUGGCGCGGAGGAAGGGGAGCUGGUGAGUGGUGACAGGGGAGGGGGGGAGAGAGAGGGGGGGUAGGGUGCAUUGAAUGAGGGCAGGAGGUGUAAAGUGCACCUUUUAGUCCCCAUGAGCAACCAUAAGCAGCCCAAGAGUUGCUUAUUUGCUUAUAAUAAGCAACCUCAUAAGCAAGAGUGAUUGGUUUCAUAAGCAACUUAUUUGCUUAUUUUAAGUUGCUUAUGCAUAAGCAUGUGAAACCAAGCAGGUCCUUAACCUAUGGUUGUGGCACCACACAGUACAUAGUAUUUAAUAAUGCUAUUCGUUUGGUAUGUGCACAAGGGCACGCAUGAAAUGUCUGGCCCACGGUAAACAAGUACGGACGCUGCAAAUAAUCUACUCUGCUCGUCCAGUCCCUAGCCUAUAAAUAGAUGCCAUGCUAGCUCUUGUUGUGCUCACAAUUAAUCCUGACUACACACGAGCUUCUCUCCCUGGCCAAGACACAAUCAUAGUAUGAUGAAGAACAUGGCACUAGCCGGCAAUGGUAUGAAGAACUUAAUCCUCGCUGUUCUCUUACUGUGUCUAGUUAUAGGGCAGAUACAAGUGGAAGCUAAGAGCUGCUGCCCAUCCAUUACUGCAAGAAAUAUCUACAAUGCCUGCCGUAUCACGGGUACAUCCCGUCCAACGUGUGCAAAACUGUCAGGCUGCAAAAUUAUCAGCGGGGACAAAUGCAAGCCCCCUAACGACCACCUCACCCUUGACCCGGACACUGGUAAAUAAUAAAUUUAUCUCACUUGAUUUCUUCGUGUUUUGAGUCGUUAAUGUAUUUUCCAUCUGAUGAAACGUAUUGGUUUUGCAUUGAAGAGGAAGUUAAUGUGCUUAACUUCUGCAAGUUGGGGUGUGCGUCGUCUGUGUGCAACAACAUCAACGCUGGUAAGCACCUUUUGCUCAGACGGAGAAAACAAUAAUCAUUAAUUAGCGGCAGCUAGAAUCCUAUAAUCUAAUAUAUUUAUAUAUAUAUAUAAUUUUAUCAGCUCUGGGAAAUGAAGAGGCGAACGAUGCCGUUGAGAGUUGCGACCAAGCCUGCUCUAGCUUCUGCAACGUGCACGUUGGCGCUGCCACCGUGGUUGCUUAAGCAAAUGCAUCCAACUGGAUCGUCCUUGUGCUAAAUAAUUGGAUAUCGUAUCCACUUAAAGCUGCCUUGUGUAGUACGUUUUUGUUUGUGUCUCUCUUUAUAUUCCAAUAAGGUCGGUGAUCUUGAUGCCACACACUCAGACGUGUGUUCAUCUCCAGAUACUACUCCAUGCUACCUGCCCUUUGUGUUUUGUUCAAUAACUGGGUAUCAUAUCCCAGCCAGUGUGCCAUCUGUUUUGUGUUUAUUUCCUUCUAGUUUCAAAGGGGUUAUCAUGAUGUUACCUUCUUUCGAUAUGGUGCUUUGCAUGACUACUGUUGUAUGGUACCAUCUUGUUGGCCAAUAAAUACAUCUUAUCCUAUGACCCUUUGCUAUGACCCUUUGCAAAUAAGUACAAGAUUGUUAAAUACUCGGUAUAAAUUGACUACUGCUGUGAGUUCCCUUUCAGCUUAUCGUAGGCAUACAUUAUUGCUAGCACGGUGAAGACAACCAACACGAAUGGUCAAGUAAACGUACCGGUACUUUUGUAUACCAACACCCUUGCUUAAAUGUACCGGUGUUACUCCCCACUAGCACAUAUAUUCUUAUAUGCUAGCCGGCUUGAAAAUUAACCGAUUAAAAUAAUUAUUUCAAGACAGAAAUAACUUAUCGGCUUCUCGAAGCAUGUGUAAUGUGAAUUCAAGGACUUGAUGGAAGUUGAAUCGCUUAAUCUAGAUUGCUUUCAGGAUUUUGGGUAACUAAAUUUAACAUUUGCACAUACAAAUGUUAAUGUACAAAUAUUAAAUAUAGUUACCCAAGCAGAAUAUGAAGAUACUCUAUAGUAUAUAUAUACUAUAUAAAUCUAGUUAACAUUUAGUCUAAAUGUUAAAUCUAGUUACCUAAAAUCCUGAAAGCAAAAUGUAUAAAUAUAUAUCUUUUAAGGAAUCCCAAAGCAAGAGUUCAGUGGCAUUCUAUAGUCCCAUGCUGCUAGUUUGAGUUGGUCGAAGCCAACUUAAAUAGGAGAGCUCUCUCACUUCUCUAAAUACGUAACUGAAGGAGAGAAGGGGGCUUGGUUACACAACGCACGCACGCACGCAUAUUUGCGUUCUUUUCGCGUAACCAACCGCGUGACUUGAAACUUGCGACGUAGCGUGCUGCCAAGUCAAGUUGAUAUAACCUUUUUGCCGUAGGCGUGUAAUCUUUUGACAACGGUCAUUGGAGGUGAUAAGCACGCAGUCAAUACCUUAAUCCUGAGUUAAUAGGGCGGUUACUACUGCCAAUUAGUGGGGCAAUUUUGUAGGGGAAACGGUUAGCAGAGGGCUACCAUCUUCUCUAUAAGAAGUUCUGGAGACGUCCAGGAACACACAUGUACAUGUGAGAGACCCACGAAUUCCUUCCCAUCUCCCUUUUCCAUCUGGUGAAGUGUGCUAUGGUACUGAGCUGCUGGAUCUCGCCGGCUCUUCUCCUUGGCGUGCACCGAGGAGGAGGGUGAGCGGUAUCUCCGAGCUAUUGCCGUCAGGAAGCCUGCACGAGGGACAACAAUAAAGUUUUUGGGUAGCGCAACUACGCAACCGCUCGAUUCGAUCGACUAUGUUCUGCGCUGCCUCAUCUUCGAUCUGCACUGCAACACGUAACCCUGCAGCAAGUCUACACAAGGACGGAGCACUAAUCUGUAAGUCCUAGAUUGGUUUCUUACAGAGUUGUAGGUUACACAAGAUCUAGAAUUGUUACAUACUUAUUAUUAUGGGUUACAUGAUGUUUUGUACGGUUACGUCUAUUUUGCAUAUGCUAUUUUUACAUACCGUUUACAUGCAUAUGUAAUGGUUACGCCUAGCUAUUUGAAUCUAGAAUUGGGUUACAUAGCAGUAGCAAUGACUUACGUAAUAUGCCUCAUGUUUAUAUCUGGUAGAAUUUAACACGUAUCUCCAACAUAUUUUGAGGCAGUAUAAAUUUCAAUUCCUUUUGCUGCUCUGUUAAAUCCCGUCUUUCGUGUGGCCCAACACUCUAGUAUGCAUGUAGCACCAAGCUUGUUUGAGCCGCUUUGUGCUCUGAUUUUGCUGUCUGUAUCAGGUUGGACUGUUUCUUUGUCUUGCGAUGUAUAGCUUCAUAUCUUCUAGAGGUUAGACAGCAAAACCCGCGUUCUCUUAAGGCAACAACUCGAAGAAUCUGCAGCGCUCCUGAUAUAUCACUGCUGCAGAAACAAUCUUUAGUACUGAUUUCCAACCCCCUUUAGUAUCGGUUUGGCAAUCAGUACCACUACGUCGGUACUAAAGGGAGUUCUCUAGAAUCGGGUCAAAUAACUGGUACUAAAAGUGCUCCUCUACUACCAGUUGGUAACACCAAUAGGUAGUAACUUUUUUUGCACCCAAAAAAUUAAAGAAAAACAGCCGGGAGGCUCGCGCACACACGCAUCAUGAGUAAUAUGCGCGUGCAUGGUUUGUGGGAUUCCAACCCACGACCAAGCUAUAAGCACGUAGUUACAAAAAAAUUAAACACUUAGACAUUUUAGAGCAUCCCAAAUAACUACAAAUUCUUUAGUUUACCAUAUACCAUAAAAUAUUAGUUAAAAUAAGAGCAUACGCACGUCGGAAGAGUCCCAAUGCACCGGUUGAGGAUCAGACCAGGCACUUUGAAUGCACAUGCCAUAAGAUAAUUCUGCAGGACGAUGAUUGCAAUAAUGGACCAUCGAGAAGAUAGGGGCGAUGGGGUUGCCUCAUCAAUUAUGACUUGGCGCAACAAGACCAGCAAAGUCUUUAUCGACAGGGGUGGAUCAAGGGGUGGGGCGGGUAGAGCUCCAAUCUUCCUACCGCCGCUCGAACAAUGGAGCCCCCCUUAGCCCCUCCAUAAAUUUUUAGGUAGAAGAAAAAAGAAGAGAAGGGAAGGAAGGGGAAGAAUAGGGAGCCCCUCCUAAGUAGGUCGCCAUCGUGCUUCCCAACGCAUGAUCGCCGCACCGCAUCCAUUCCUCUACAAGCCUCCAGCGUCUCUCCUGCCGCUACCUCUGAACCAUGUGCAGCUGCAGACCCAACUAGUGUCUUGUCACCCAUCUCAAUCCCAACAGAGCGGCGGCUCCUGCCAGCACAAAUCUCCCUCCGCCUGUUCUUCACGAUCGAUGGCCACCACAAGCAUAAACCUCGCCUUCGCAUCCACGCAAAAGGGUCGCCGGUGUGCCUUCUCGCAUCGCUUCUCAGCCUCCUUCACUUGCGGCUGGCCAAGAACCGUGCCACCACCUCGGGUGCGCGCCACCGCUCCAGGGCCGCUACCCCAUGCGUGCGGCCGCCGCCGGCCACCACGCGUGUGCAACCGUGUCGCACCGCUUCCCUGCUCUGUGCCACCACUGCUACUGCACCACCAGCUCCACCACCUUGGGCUGGUCGCCAGGGUGACUGAUUGGUGGAUUAUUACUACAAAUAAGUUCCUUAUUAUCUGCAACUACUAUUAACUCAGGGAUACAUGCGUCUUUUGCUUCUCCUGUUAAUAUGUCCUAAAAUAUCUAGAAUGCCUUAUAUUUCUGGACGGAGGAAGUAUUUGAAUAAAAUGAACCAAUUUUAAAAAAUGUGUUGUACACUACUACAGAAAGAACUAUCAGUGUCAAACCCAAAAAUGUCGUCACUGCCAGUUUUGGGCAUCGUUGGUGAAAGGUUGGCGGUGAUGGGUAUCCCCUUCAACAACGGCACUAGAGCUAACAGUGAUUGACAUUAGAAAACGAAAAAGGGGACCCACCUAGCCACCCCUGCAACCCGGCUGGCCGUGCCUCCCGUCAUCCCCACCACCUCGCCUCCCCCGUGACCCCCCGCCGGCGCCCUUGCGCCUAGCCCCCUCGCCUGCCUGGCCGGCCACCCUCGUCACGAGAGAGAGGGGUGCAUGUUGUAUAAUUGCGUGAAUUUUUAAUGUUUAAUUUCAUGUAAGUUUCAUAUAAUAAAUUGUACAAGUUUUAUUGUAUAUAUGAAUUCCAUAUAUAUAUAUUUAUAAUUUAAUGUAUGGUUUCAUGUGUAUAUUUCAAUAAUGUGUAUAUUUAGUAGAUAGCCGAUUUUCUUUUUCUACAAGACAAGGGUUGAUGUAUAAUUACGUGUAUAUGUUUAUUGUACGGGCAAUUAGGACAAGUUUUGUAUAAAUUUCUUUUAUUUCAUGGUUGUUGUAUGGUUUCAUGUAUAUACAUUUAUUGUACUACUUGAGACAAUUUUUAAUUUAAUGUUUCUAUGGUUACAUGUGUGUAUAACUAAUUGUAUUAUUAGUUAAGAUGGGAGCCAAAGAGGAUGAAAGGUAUAUAAUGGAGCAGAUUAUUGCUGGCGGUAGUGGCUCAAACGUUGCAAGAACCUACAUCAAGGGUGAGGGUAGCUAGGUGGACAUGUACCUCAACAUGUCCAGUGAUGGCAAUGACGAUGAGGAGCACGAGCAUGACGUUUAUGAUAGUGCGGAACAAGACAUUGCAGAAUUGGAAGGUUCUAAUGAGGUGUGCUUCAUGUUGAUGAUCUGGUUGGCUUUUUUUCUUUGGUCACACCUUAGUUACCAUAGAACUUCGUCUCGGGAGAAGAUUGGAGGUGCUAUGGUGAUUGGAAUUUUAUUGCCUCCAAAUAUGAUUUCCAUCGAAUCAUAUCCCUUGUAUUUAUCUUCUUUUUAUUUGUGAGAGCAUCUUCUUUAUGCUUGCAAAACAAUUCAAGUGCACAUACUACACCUAGGGUGAUGAUUAGGAGUAGAAACAAUUGCCAACAAACGAACACCACAUCCUAAGAUUCUUAACUUGUGGUAUAAUUAGUCUAGUAAAAAGAAAGAUAAAAACCUAAUGGGUGUACGUGAGUGCAAUGCGUAUAUGCAUAUGAGUGGAAGGCAUAUAAGCAAAGAUAAUAUUUACACAUAGAUCUAAGCACCAUGUUUACAACUAAGUUGCUGAAUUUCUCCAUAGCUAUAGAGAUUAAUGAACCAAGGUCAAAACACCAUGUCUAUCCCAAGAUCAGUAAUUCUUUAUAGCACAAGAAAAAGAAAGCGCAUUGCAAAGUUUAUAAACCAACCAAUGCAGCAUGAAAACAAGAUGAAUAGCUAGCAAGGUUUAUUAAACUGAAUGAUGACGGUCUGCAAGCAAGUUUGAACACCAUCUUUACACAAGAUUGCAAAUGGAAAAUUCCCAUAUGAAGAACUAACAUGGAUAUGAAAUCAUUCAUCAUAAAGCGUAAAGAACAACCAAGCCAACCAUAUGCAAAGCAUGAAUGGAAUGCAAUGAAGGUGCAAGAGAACAUUUUUGGAUGAACCCAUUAUGAUGAUGGCAAAAUGCGCCGUGCCCCCCAGCCCCCGCGGUGAGAUCCCGCCGCUCGCUGCCGCCAGACCCUAUUAGGCCUCCACCGGCAGGUCCACCCACGGUCCCGCGCGACGUGGCAGCCUCUUGGCUCUCGGCGCUCGCGGCACGCCAGUGCUGGCGCAGCCCCACCAGGCGACUACCCUCCCCCCAUAAGGCCUCGGCCCCUCCCCAGCGCCGCCCCCCAACACCAGGACUGCCUGCUGCCCCCCACCGUGAGGUAAUCGAAAUCGACUGCUCAAUCUCUCAAUCUGUUGAUAUGAUGCACACGGUUGCAAAAAUAGAUGUGUCAAAAUAGAUGUUUUGCCAAUUGCUAUAGAUGCAUACGGUUGACAUGAAGUCAAAAAUGACAUUUGGUUCCUUGUAGGCAGUCAAAAAUGAAGAAGUCAAAAAAUAUUGAUCUGAAAUCAAUGUGGGAAAGGGCUAUGAAGACACGCAGGUAGAUUCCCUUGUGAACUUUUUAUGUCGUUCGUCUAAAUAAUUUUUUGCAAUGGGCAUACCCUACUCUGAAAUCCUGGGUCCGCCACUGAUGAUGAUGGUCUAAAAAUAAACCAAGCCUAGAUUAAUUAGCCACAACUGAAAUUAAGCAAAGGUUAAUGUCAUUGACCCUAGCUCUAUCCUAGCUUUUACCAAAGUUCCGGCACAUAUAGUGGUUGGGCCCACUCUCUCUGCUUCCCUCUCUGCUGCAUGCACGCACACGAGCAACGGGAGGCCCGACGAAGCCCAGAAGGGUUCGGCCGAACCAGUAUGAGCGCCGCUCCCUCCCAGCCUUCGCGCAGAUGCUCCUCCAACGUUCCUUGACCCCUCCCUCAGCGUCCCGUUGGGUUUAACAUUGCAGGAGAGGAGUCCCUUUUUUAAAAUCUCAACCACCUCCUCUCCCCAUUCACUCCACUCUCAUCUCCAUCAAACUCACCAAGAUCCGCACCGGAAAUCCCUGCUUACCACCAUGGCUGGCAAAGCCCUCAUCCCUUUCACCAACUUGGGCUUGACCACUGAUCUCGAUGGGGAAAUCACUCUGGCAAAUAUGCGUGUAACACUGCCCCCUUUGCCGAGGGUUAAAGCCAAAACACUCAGCAAAGUGGAUAGUACCCCCCUUUUUACCCGUUUUGUCAUGUAUAACGGACCCCUCUCAAUUCACAAUAGACAUCAUCAUAGGCAUUUAUAAUAAACAAUCACAGGCAUAAUUCACAAUCACCAUUACAAGCAUUAUUCAUAAAUAUCACAGACAUAAUCCAAAGUAAGCAUGAAACAAGCCAUAAAUCCAAGUUCAAGUCACAACUAAGUUUCAUCCAAGUUCAAGUCACAAAUGCAAUGUCUAAAUCCAUGGAGGCCAAGGAGACCACUGCGACAAAUCUUGGUCUUCAUUAUUCGAAGCCGCCGAUUGAUUCUGCACAUAGGAUAGGACAUUCUGAGCUAACAUCUAAAGUUGUCAAAAUUAAAGUAUUCAAUCUUAAGCACAAUGUGUCAAAUGACUCACAGGAGUAGUUGUGGGUGGCUGAGGCGGAGGGAACAGCAUCGAUGGCGGUGGCAAAGAUUGACCCAUGCUCGAAGCAAAAUUCUGCAUGUACUGGAACAUCUGGUCCAUCCUCAUCCGAUUUUCUUCCUCCAUCCUCUGCCGCUCGGCCUCUAACCUCCGCUGAACCAUCUGCUCCAUCCUCGCCGCCAUCUCCUCUUGUUGCUUCCUUGCUGCUUCCACCUGGGCCUACAAUAUUUCAUUGCAAUGUUACAAUGCAAAGCUAAAGUAUAGCAACCAACGAACAAUGAAUGGAAGAGAAAGAACCUGGAGAGCCUCCAUCUGGAACUGUCCAAUGGUUGGUCGUAGCCGUAUCGCCGGGCUCGAGUCCGUGCUCCUUGCUUGGAUCUGGGAGAGAGUGGCAGUAGAGGCCGUGUUGAUUACGCCGUCGCCAAUCCAAUAUCGGCCAUGCUUCUUGCCUCCUCCCACCCUCAUCACGAUUUCUCCAUCAAUAUCCUCAGAGCUUGAAUCGAAGUCUGGCCCGUGAACCUCCCUUGCCAUCACUGUAUAUUCCUUUGCCGAGUGCCCGAGAUAAAGCACUCGGCAAAUAGAAAACACUCGGCAACUUUACUGUUUCCCGUAGUGUCGCUAUUUUUGCAGGUUCUCGACCAGGCCAGUUCUUUGGGCCAACCUAUCAUUCACGACUUAAACAUACGGUGGCUGUAGAAAUGUUCUAUUCUUUUCAACAAUACCAGCUGGUUCCUCCGUUUUUAUUCCACCAAUACAAGCACCACCUUGUAACAUUUCCUAUGUUUUUUUUUCCUUUCGUCUGUUUUCUACAUGCGUUGCUCUUUCAUGCAUUUUUUUCCAUUCCUGUAUUCCAAAUAGGUCUACAUGAACACAAAAUGAACUAGGGGACAGAAAAAGCCAGUGAAGCCAAUUUUGAGCUUCACCAGCUACUUGCUACAUAAAGUGUGCUAUAGUGACGUGUUUUAGCAAAACAUGUUAUCAAUGACUUGACAUUGGUGACGUGUUAAAACGCGUUAUCUCAAUGGCAAAUCAUUGGUGACGUGUUUUAAAAAAACAUGUCACCGUGAGAGUCAUUGGUGAAGGGUAAUUAUAAUGCGUCACUAAUGUUGUAGCAUUAGUUAUGAUAAUUUAGUAACGCAAAAAUCUACCAUCAGUAUUGAGCUUUAGAGCCAUCGCUAAUGUGGGUUUCUUACAUAGUGAUGCAAGCUCUACAAGGUGCUGUUGCUGCCAUUUUAAAGCAUCCCAUGACUACAUGUUAAUAACAUAGUUUACCAUAUAUCAUAAAAAUAUUAGUUACAAUAAGCACAUACGCAUGUGGAAGAGUCCGAAUGCACCGGUUGAGGACUAAACACAUUGAAUUACUAGAACCAAAUGUGUGUUUAGAACAAAGACAGGGGUCAAGGUUUGGGUAACCGCAUUAAAAACAUUGGAUUUUACUGUACAUGAACACUUAGUUACCAUUACCAUGCCUUGAGCACCUAGUUACAACAAACAUUAAUUUAGCCACUUUAGAGCUUCCAGAAUCGCUAUAAAUAAUAUACCUACGCCGUACCAUGAAAACAUCAAGAAGAGAGACGGAUACAUGGACCACCAUCAAGCGAGUAGUGACAGCACGCACAAGAAUACCCGGAACCUGUUAGCUUGUCUGUAGUGAUCUGUUUUCUUCCCCAUAAAAUCCAUGAGUAUUGCCACAAAUAAUGAAAGAGGCUGACCAAGCUAGCAAGGAGGUAGAGCAAACGUGAUACACGGCCUGCCAAGAUUGCCCUGGAUACGCCAAUAAGAGCGACAGAUACAUGGAUCACACCAAUAUGGUGAAACGUAUAUUCAUCACACAAGCAAAGCUGGUCAGUUUAUCCAUGGUCAAAUUGUGGUCUUUGUUUUCACUUGAGAGCUAAUUGAGGCACUAUAAUAUGGGCAGGCCUAUCUUCAACAGACAUGACAGCUACAGGGAACUUGACAUAAUUUGCUGGGCCGCCUGUGCACAAUUAUUUGUUUUAUUGUCCUUGCAUAGAAUGCUAAAAUACUCUUUACAAAAUGUUGGAUCUAAUAUUUGAAAUAUAGAGUAGUAAUCAUAUAUUGAUCAACAACUUGAAAUUAUCUGUACAUUCUCGGUGAAGCUGUUGAACUAAUUUUUGCAAAUUAUUAAUUCAUCUCAUUACGUAAAGAAAAAAGUAAGUGGAUAAGAUAUUUCGUGGACCACAUCACUGCAAACAUGUCAUGGAGAGACAGACCAAGGAGGCAGGACGUGAUACACGACUUACCCUAGGUUGCCGUGGAACCGCCAAGAAGAGAUACAGAUACAUGGACCACACCAUCUUGGGAGUAGUGACAGCAUAUAUGCAGAAGAAUACCCCGUGCCUAUUUGCAUGCAUGUCUCAAGUGAUCUGUUUUCUUCAGAAAAUACAUGAGCAUUGCCAGAAAGAAUGGCAAGAGACAAACAUGUCAUAGAGACUUGCAUGUCUUGCCUUGGAUACGCCAAGAAGAGGGACACAUACAUGGAUAACACAAAUCUAGUGACACGUAUAUUCAUCACAAAGGCAAAUCUGAUAAUUUUAUCCAUGGAGCAGACCAAGGAGAAAUUGAUGACGGACAUGUGAUCUCUGUAUUCAGUUGAAAGCUAAUUGAGCUACACUAAUAUGAGCAGGACUAUAUUCAAGAGACUUGUUGAGAGCUACAGGGAACUUGUAAUAAUUUGCUGGGCGGCCUGCGCACAAUGAUUUGUUAUACAUAGUUGAAAUAUUUCAAGAAUUUAUCAACCUCAUACUCUGAAACCCUUGGUGCAAUGUACUCUGCUUUCCGAGGUAGACUGUUCACGUAAAAUGAGGUCAUGCGUAAGACGGAAUCGGAUUGGAUUCACAGGGAAUCAGAUUUGGAUAGCACCUUUUAGCAGGUUUUUAGUCAAAUGCAAAUUCGGAUCCACAUGUGGUUGAAUGCGAGUUCAAAAUUCUACUUGGAUAUCCAUUUAAUUUAGGUGAUAGCAAUUAGCACAAAAUGUUGGAUGAACAAAAUCAUAGUUAGACAUACAAUUACAUGUAUGGUUAAAGUAUAAUACAAUACACCAAGAUUAUUCCUUGAAAAUAUUUCUUAAAAAUAUUAUAAUAAAUGAAUAAAUAUAAUUGUGGCCACCAACAAAUAGUCGGUGGUCGCUAAGUUGGAGCCAUUUCUGGUUACUAAUGCGGCCUUCUCCUCGACCAGCGACGACAGCUGAGCUUGUUCCUUCUGACACUAAAUCAUCAGAGUCUUCCCUCCACUACUAUAGAAUGCACCUUUAGCACCAAUUGGGAAAUCCCCUUCAGUAUUGGAUGCUGCAACCAGUGCUAUAUAUCAAAAUGGAGACUAAAAGCCUCGGUCUUGGGUACCGGUUGCAUAACGCAUUACUAAAGGAGGCAAAAGAGAAAUGUAACAAAAAAAAUAUUUUGAAUUCCAAGAAUGUUUCACUAUUCAAGAUGACUAGCUGAGAGUCAACAGACAAGAUACUAGGAAUGUGGGUGCUUGAAUGCAUUUGUACAGAGGUCAUACUAUUUACAAACUCUUCUAUGUUUCCAUAUGACUACCUACUUCAAUGUCACGCGAGCCAUUCAGCUGGACACAUGGCACACUAGCUUGCAUGUCGAAUCCAUGAUUAAUUAUUUCCACUUGUGAUCUCUUACCAGUAUUUGUCCAGACUAGAAACGUGCAACACAUUUUUAGGAUAUGGACACGCAUAUAUUUGGACUAGUAUACAGGUCACCUUUGGAUGCGUACAAGGAUGACCGGGAGGGACUAGAAAUGGUCUAGUUUUGAUUGGACUACAAAACUUUUUGUACAGUGAAUAGAGAAUAUAUAUUAUUGUUGGAAUACGAGGUAGGCUACACUAUCGCAAUUCUGAUAUUCUACCGCGUAUAACCAAGAAGAACUGUCGUAUAAGGAUCACGGGAUUACCACUCGACGCACUACUGGUGCGGAAGAUGUAGAUAUGCGUCGAUGCAGUGAAGACGAUCACGUAGUCGUAUGUAGUCGAUCAACGUAGUCGUACAUAGUCGAUCACGUCCAGCAGCUCCUCAGCAGCUCGUCCACGUGCAGCAAGAUCGCCUCCGGUACCGCGGCUCGUCGUUGGCUUGUCGUGGCUCGUCGACGGCUCGUCGGCGGCUCGUCCAAGUGCUGCAGGCGCAACACCUCCAAGGUAUCCACACGUGCAGGGAGGAAGCGUCGCAAGCCGGACUGCUAGAUCCACGAGUUGCAACAGGCGAGGGCGUGGGAGGCGCGGCAGGUGUGUUUCGCCAAAAAGGUGUAAACCCUAGGGCGCCCCCACCCCUCUAUUUAUAGAGGUUCCUGACGGGCCUCUGGAUCCGAGGCCCAUUAGUACUUCUAAACCUAAUCCAACUCGGAUCAGAUCCGAAUUGGGCUUCCAGCCCCUUAAGUGUGUGACCCUAUAAGUUCGGAUACGUAUAGACAUGGCCCGAGUACUCCUACUCGGCCCAAUAGUCGGUAGCGGCCUCUAGCAAGACGUGCCAACUCCUAUACGCACACGAAGAUCAUAUCAGACGAACCAUCACAACAUAAUAUACAUGCUAUUCCCUUUGCCUCACGAUAUUUGGUCUAGCUUCAAGCCGACCGCUCUUUCUCAGUCCUGUGAUUCGGAAUCCCUUUGUAGGUUAACUCUUAACCGUACGUAGCAUGGCCAUGCAUUUUCGGAUCUGAUCACUCGAGGGGCCCAGAGAUAUCACUCUCAAUCAGAGAGGGGCAAAUCCCAUCUUGAUUGACCAUGUCUCAUAGCAUGCUUCUUGACAAACCUAAAAACUACCUUUAUAACUUCCCUGUUACGGCGUAGUGUUUGAUAGCUCCUAAGUAGGUCGAUCCACAUCUAGAAUACAUGCGACAAUUUCAGGUCUAAGGACAAAGCGUAUAUGUUGUUUAAAGAGAGAACUACUUCUCGUGUUGGGUCAGUCCCAGCACAUGUCUCCACAUGUGUCCACAUUAUUAGUUCAACAUCUCCAUGUCCAUGACUUGUGAAACAUAGUCAUCAACUAAUACAUGUGCUAGUCUAAUAUUCAUGUGUGUCCUCACAUGAACUCCGACUAGGGACAACUUUAGAAUAACCAUACAAGUAAAGAGUUUCACAUACAAUUCACAUAAUUGCAAAUCAAUUCAAGUAGCCUUCAAUGGAUAUUCAAUGAACACAACAUACAAAUCAUGGAUACAAAUGGAAUAUCAUCAUCUCUAUGAUUGCCUCUAGGGCAUACCUCCAACAGUCUCCCACUUGCACUAGAGUCAAUCUAGAAGGUACCUAAUACCCAUAGCUCUUACAUGCGCAUCAUGCUUAGCCUGCGGGAGUGGUUUUGUCAACGGAUCAGAAAUGUUCAGAUCCGUGUGUAUUUUGCAUAUCUUGAUCUCACCCCGGUUAACGAAGUCUCGAAUGAGAUGAAAUCGCCGCAUUACAUGUUUGUUCUUCUGGUGGUUCCUUGGCUCCUUUGCUUGCGCAAUUGCCCCAUUGUUAUCACAGUAGAGAUUCAAUGGGCUGGACCCAUUCGGGAACACACCAAGCUCAAUGAGGAAAUUCCUUAUCCAAACACCUUCCUUCGCGGCUUCCGAAGCCGCGAUGUACUCGGCUUCUGUCGUAGAAUCGGCCACCGUCUCCUGCUUGGAACUCUUCCAACUAACAGCACCACCAUUUAGCGUGAACACAAAUCCUGUUUGUGACUUUGAAUCAUCUCUGUCGGUUUGGAAACUAGCAUCGGUGUAACCUGUUACAACGAGCUCCUCCUCACCUCCAUAGACGAGGAAUAUAUCUUUAGUCCUUCUCAAGUACUUAAGAAUGUUUUUCACCGCUGUUCAGUGACUCUCACCUGGAUCAGAUUGGUGUCUGCUUGUCAUACUUAGCACAUAUGAAACAUCUGGGCGAGUACUUAUCAUUGCAUACAUGAUAGAUCCAAUAGCCGAGGCAUAUGACACUCUACUCAUGUGAUCCCGCUCAUCAGCAGUCGAAGGACACUGAGUCUUGCUGAGAUGUAUGCCAUGUGACAUAGGCAAGAACCCUUCCAUGCUGAACCGCUUCAACACUUUGUCAAUGUAAGUAUCUUGGCUUAAACCUAUAAGCCUUCUCGAUCUAUCUCUAUAGAUCUUAAUGCCCAGAAUAUAUGCCGCUUCCCCUAAGUCCUUCAUCGAAAAACUAUUUUUCAGUGAAGUCUUUAUGGACUCAAGCAUAGGAAUGUUAUUUCCAAUCAGUAAUAUGUCAUCCACAUAUAAGAUUAGAAAUACUACAGAGCUCCCACUAACCUUCUUGUAAACACAAGACUCUUCUUCGUUCUUGGUGAAGUCAAACCCUUUGACCACUUCAUCAAAACGAAUGUUCCAACUCCUAGAUGCUUGCUUCAAUCAAUAAAUGGAUCUCUGAAGCUUGCAUACCUUUCCAGCAUUUUUCGGAUCGACAAAACCCUUGGACUGUAUCAUAUACACGUCCUCAGUUAGGUUUCCAUUCAGGAAAGCUGUCUUGACAUCCAUCUGCCAUAUCUCAUAAUCGAAAUAUGCAGCCAAACUUGAUUGUCUCCCAUGGACUCUAUUUCGGAUUGCAUGGCAUUCUGCCAUUUUUCGGAGUCUGGGUCCAUCAUUGCUUCUGCAUAUGUCACAGGCUCAUCAUUGUCCAACAAUAAUAUUUCCUGCAUUUCGCGGAGCCUUGCCGACCUUCGUGGUUGUGGCGGUGCUUCUCUUGCCAUGGGUAUCUCAACUUGUUCUGCUACGUUAGCAUCACUCAUUGAUUCUUGCCCGAUCGGCUCAUCUUGAACUUCUUCAAGAUGCACUGUCUUUCCACUCUUUUCUCCUUUGAGAAACUCUUUCUCUAGGAAAACCCCGUUCCGAGCGACAAACACUUUGCCUUCUGAUCAGUUGUAAAAAUAAUAUCCCAAAGUUUCCUUUGGAUAUCCCACGAAAAUGCACUUAUCCGACUUGGGUGCGAUCUUGUCCGACUGAAGUCGCUUGACAAACACAUCACAUCCCCAAAUCUUUAGAAAAGACAAACUAGGAACCUUUCCAGUCCAUAUCUCAUAUGGUGUCUUAACUACGGAUUUAGAUGGUACCCUAUUAAGUGUGAAAGCUGCUGUUUCUAGAGCGUAUCCCCAAAAUGACAACGGUAGGUCCGACUGGCUCAUCAUUGAUCGAACCAUGUCUAACAAAGAUCGAUUACGUCGCUCGGACACACCGUUUCUCUGAGGUGAUCCAGGCGGCGUAAGUUGUGGAACAAUUCCGCAACUCUUUAGAUGAUUGCUAAACUUGUGGCUCAAAUACUCGCCUCCACGAUCAGAUUGUAAGGCCUUAAUUUUCUUGACACGCUAAUUUUCAACUUCAUUCUGAAAAUCCUUGAACUUUUCAAAGGUUUCAGACUUGUGCCUCAUCAAGUAGACAUAGCCAUAUCUACUAAAAUCAUCAGUGAAAGAUAUGAAGUAUUGGAAUCCUCCUCUAGCCGUCGUGCUCAUUGGUCCGCAUACAUCACUAUGUACGAGUUCCAACAAGUCUACUGCUCUCUCAGGAAAUCCUGUGAAAGACGUCUUGGUCAUCUUGCCUAGCAAGCAAGCCUCACAUGUCUCGUAUGAUUCAAAAUCAAACGAAGUUAGAAGUCCAUCAGAAUGGAGCUUCUUCAUGCGUUUUUCACUUAUAUGACCCAAACGACAAUGCCACAAGUAGGUAGGACUCAAAUCAUUAGGCCGAGGCCUUUUAGCACUUACAUUACAGACAGGUGAACCAUCAAGAUUUAAAACAAAUAAUCCAUUCACAAUGGGUGCAAAAGCCAUAAACAUAUUAUUCUUAGAGAUCACACAACCAUUGUUUUCACUCGCAAAUGAAUAACCAUCCUUCAUCAAGCAUGAAGGAGACAAAAUGUUUCGACUUAAACUAGGAACAAAAUAACAAUUAUUCAACUCCAUAAUAAAUGCUGACGGGAGGUGGAGUUGCAUCGUCCCGACGGUCAACGCAGCAACUCUUGCAUUAUUGCCCACGCGGAAAUCAACUUCUCCUCUUUCCACGCUUCUACUUCUUAUCAUUCCCUGCAUCGAAUUGCAAAUAUGAGCAACCGAUCCGGUAUCAAAUACCCAAGAAUUAAUAAUUGUAUCAGCGAGAAAUAUGUUGUCUAUGACAUUAACAACAAGCGUACCUGAGGUAGAAGUACUCUUACUUCCUCCAUUCUUCAACGAAGCUAGGUACUGCUUGCAGUUUCUCUUCCAGUGACCAAGUUCAUGACAGUAAAAGCACUCUUUGUCUGGAGCAGGUCCAGGUCCAGCUUUAACCUUGGGCGCUCGCUGGGUUUGGCUUGGAAAUUCCAGCCUUGCCCUUCUUCUUCCAAGAAUUGCCCUUCUUCUUAAAGCUAGGCUUGUUCUGUAUAGCCAUCACAUGGCUAGUACAAGCGCUUUUCUUGAUGUCUACCUCUGCUGUCUUGAGCAUACCACACAGUUCAUUCAAACCCUUCUCCGUCCCAUGCAUAUGGUAGUUCGAGAUGAAGUUCCCAUAGCUAGGCGGAAGAGAUGAAAGAAUGAAGUCAGUGGCCAACUCUUUGCCCAUUGGGAAGCCCAGCUUCUCCAAUCGCUGAGUGUAACCAACCAUGUUGAUUACAUGUGGUCCUACUGCUGCGUCUUCUGCUAGCUUGCACUCCAGAAAAGCUUUGGACACAUUGAACCUUUCAGUCCUAGCCUGUGUCUGGAACAUGUCCUUGAGCGCCACGAUCAUAUCGUGUGCCUCAUGAUUUGUUUCGAACUGCAUCUGCAGCUCGGGUUCCAUGCAAGCAAGCAUAAGGCAGCUUACCUCAAGAUUAGCAUCAAAUGCCUUCUUGUAAGCAGCCUUAACGGCAGCAGAUGCAUCAUCAGCAGGUACUGGUGGUAGUGGGGUAUCUAGAACAUCUUCCUUUUUAUCGGCCCUGAGAACAAUUCUCAGGUUACGGAUCCAAUCCGAGUAGUUUGUUCCAUUCAACUUGUCCUUCUCAAGGACCGAGCGCAAAGCAAACGAUGUGGUGGUGUUGCUAGGUGCCAUUUAAUCUACAACAAAAGUAAUGCAAAAUACACUAAGACAAACGUAUCCAUGAUAGAGCAAAUUACAUUAAACUAUUUUAACAGAAUCUACUCCCACUAAAAUCAAUAUCCCUCUAUUGAAACUUAGUGAUUCAGGAUCCACAACUAACAAGUCUACUAGUGAGCUUUAGCAUCACCGCUAGCAAACGAGGUAGAUCGGUAAGCAACUUUUGCUAAUCAUAUCACAUAUGACUCCUGUUGUUGGGUGACAUCUCCAUGUCUCGGCGCCCAACCAUUAUGCCCCAAGGUCCUUAACCGUUAAGAUGACCUCGUUAAGCAAACCAACCCUUAUGCGUGUAAGUGUCCGACACAAACCCGUCUAGUCAAGGAAAACUAGUGGCACCCUAAUUUCAUAGACCCACCACUAAUUGUACAAGACAUGGGACGGUGCAAGUUUUAGUUGGGAGGGCAUACUAACUUAAAUUUUUUGUGAGGGAUCGUUCUACUUCUAACAUCACAGCAUGCAGAAAGUAAAACAUAAACAGAAUAGCAUUCACACAGCUGUGACACAGUAUGGCCCGUUUUUAUAUGGUGAUCUCCAUCUCCAUAGAACCUGUUCACCAUGGUGAUCUCCAUCUCCAUGUUCCAUGUGCGCCAUCCUCCUGGUGAGGAGUCCUCCAAGAACUAGAACAUGCUAUUACACCUAAUAGCUAGUAAAGAAUCUAGUAAUGAAGAUUACAUAGUUGCUUGGAUCAUCACAGAUUGGUACGCAGACCAUUAAAUACAAUAAAGUGACAACACAUAUGGCUCCUGCCGUGUUGCCGUACGCGCGACACGCAGGUCACGAAUGAGUUACACACAUGCAUCACAUACACAAGGGGGCCAUACUGAUCACAAGAUACAUACAUACAUCCUGCAAAACAGAGUUAGGCGUCCUAACGUUCCAAACUUCGAAGGCCCGAAACUCCAUCUUCCAAGCCGAAUUUGGGAAAUCUAAUUUUGCCGAAAACGGCAAAGCGGUUGAAUUUCAUGUGUAACUUUUUCUGUAGAUCAAUUUUCAUAUAAAAUUCGCCCCGAUCCGAGAUCGUACCGAAAAGUUACGGCUGAUUUACCGAAGCAUACGCAUACGGCAAAAAUUCCGACCCCGGCAGUAGAUCCCAUCUACUAUUGCACAUCUAAUGCGCCUGGCGUAUGAUCCUGGAUUUCGAUUCGACCAAUCAUAUUGAUCUUCGCUCACUGCAACUGGAAUUACGUGUAUCACUUAACUCGUCGGCGGCUCGUCGGCGGCUCAUCCAAGUGCUGCAGGCCCAACACCUCCAAGGUAUCCACACGUGCAGGGAGGAAGCGUCGCAAACCGGACUGCUAGAUCCGCGAGUUGCAAUAGGCGAGGGCGUGGGAGGCGCCGCAGGUGUGUUUCGCCAAAAAGAUGUAAACCCUAGGGCGCCCCCACCCCUCUAUUUAUAGAGGUUCCUGACGGGCCUCUGGAUCCGAGGCCCAUUAGUACUUCUAAACCUAAUCCAACUCGGAUCAGAUCCGAAUUGGGCUUCCAGCCCCUUAAGUGUGUGACCCUAUGGGUUCGGAUACGUAUAGACAUGGCCCGAGUACUCCUACUCGGCCCAAUAGUCGGUAGCGGCCUCUAGCAAGACGUGCCAACUCCUAUACACACACGAAGAUCAUAUCAGAUGAACCAUCACAACAUAAUAUACAUGCUAUUCCCUUUGCCUCACGAUAUUUGGUCUAGCUUCAAGCCGACCGCUCUUUCUCAAUCCUGUGAUUCGGAAUCCCUUUGUAGGUUAACUCUUAACCGUACGUAGCAUGGCCAUGCAUUUUCGGAUCCGAUCACUCGAGGGGCCCAGAGAUAUCACUCUCAAUCAGAGAGGGGCAAAUCCCAUCUUGAUUGACCAUGUCUCAUAGCAUGCUUCUUGACAAACCCGAAAACUACCUUUAUAACUACCCUGUUACGGCGUAGCAUUUGAUAGCCCCUAAGUAGGUCGAUCCACAUCUAGAAUACAUGCGACAAUCUCAGGUCUAAGGACAAAGCGUAUAUGUUGUUUAAAGAGAGAACUACUUCUCGUGUUGGGUCAGUCCCAGCACAUGUCUCCACAUGUGUCCACAUUAUUAGUUCAACAUCUCCAUGUCCAUGACUUGUGAAACAUAGUCAUCAACUAAUACAUGUGCUAGUCUAAUAUUCAUGUGUGUCCUCACAUGAACUCCGACUAGGGACAACUUUAGAAUAACCAUACAAGUAAAGAGUUUCACAUACAAUUCACAUAAUUGCAAAUCAAUUCAAGUAGCCUUCAAUGGAUAUUCAAUGAACACAACAUACAAAUCAUGGAUACAAAUGGAAUAUCAUCAUCUCUAUGAUUGCCUCUAGGGCAUACCUCCAACAAUUAUUUCAUGUAAAUUUUUGACAAUUUUUUAAAAUUGUUUGAUAUUUUUUAAAUUUUUUUUAAAAUAACUUUGCCGAGUGUCCUAUUGUAGACACUCGGCAAAGCAGCCUUCACCGAGUGUUACCCCUGGGACACUCGGCGAAUUAAUGCCCGGCCGCUCAAGAAUAUGUGCCCGGCCCCCUCACUCUCCCGGCCCCCCUCACUCUCACUCCCCUCACUCCCUCCUCUCUCCCUCCUCUCUCCCUCUCGCCGCCGCCCGAAACCCCCGCCGCCGCCCGCCGCCCGGCAUGCCGCCCAGCGCCCCCCGCCGCCGCCCGGCGCUCCCGAAUCCGCCGCCGCCCGCCCGGCGCCCGGCCCCCGGAUCCGCCGCCGCCGGCCGCCCGGCGCCCCCGGAUUCGCCGCCGCCCGCCCGGCCCCCGGCCCCCGGAUCAGCCGCCGCCCGCCGCCCGGCGCACGGCGCCCCCGGAUCCGCCGCCGCCUGCCCGGCGCCCGGCCCCUGGCCCCCUGAUCCGCCGCCGCCCGCCCGGAUCCGCCGCCGCCCGCCCGGCGCCCGGCCCCCGGCCCCCGGAUCCACCGCCGCCCCCCCGGCCCCCGGAUCCGCCGCCCGCCCGUCCCCUCCACCGGAUCCGCCGGCGCCGGGGCCUGAAGAGAAGAGAAGAGGAGAGGAUGGUGGCGGCGGCGGCCGCGGCGGCGGAGCAGGUGGCAGAGCAUGCAUGAUUUUUUUUUAUUUUUUCAAUAAUUGUUCGCCAAGUGUUUUCUGGGCACUCGGCAAAGUCUUUGCCGAGUGCCCGACACAAAACACUCGGCGAACCAGUGUUUGCCGUCAAGAUUUUUGCCGUGUGUCGUUUGCCGAGUGUUACACUCGGCAAACGCUUUGUCGAGUGUUUUUGGGGUUUCGCGGAGUGACCCUGGCACUCGGCAUCACGCAUGUUUCCCUUAGUGAACUUGAAAUUAUCUGUACAUUCUCGGUGAAGCUGUUGAACUAAUUUUUGCAAAUUAUUAAUUCAUCUCAUUACGCAAAGAAAAAAGUAAGUGGAUAAGAUAUUUCGUGGACCACAUCACUGCAAACAUGUCAUGGAGAGACAGACCAAGGAGGCAGGACGUGAUACACGACUUACCCUAGGUUGCCGUGGAACCGCCAAGAAGAGAUACAGAUACAUGGACCACACCAUCUUGGGAGUAGUGACAGCAUAUAUGCAGAAGAAUACCCCGUGCCUAUUUGCAUGCAUGUCUCAAGUGAUCUGUUUUCUUCAGAAAAUACAUGAGCAUUGCCAGAAAGAAUGGCAAGAGACAAACAUGUCAUAGAGACUUGCAUGUCUUGCCUUGGAUACGCCAAGAAGAGGGACACAUACAUGGAUAACACAAAUCUAGUGACACGUAUAUUCAUCACAAAGGCAAAUCUGAUAAUUUUAUCCAUGGAGCAGACCAAGGAGAAAUUGAUGACGGACAUGUGAUCUCUGUAUUCAGUUGAAAGCUAAUUGAGCUACACUAAUAUGAGCAGGACUAUAUUCAAGAGACUUGUUGAGAGCUACAGGGAACUUGUAAUAAUUUGCUGGGCGGCCUGCGCACAAUGAUUUGUUAUACAUAGUUGAAAUAUUUCAAGAAUUUAUCAACCUCAUACUCUGAAACCCUUGGUGCAAUGUACUCUGCUUUCCGAGGUAGACUGUUCACGUAAAAUGAGGUCAUGCGUAAGACGGAAUCGGAUUGGAUUCACAGGGAAUCAGAUUUGGAUAGCACCUUUUAGCAGGUUUUUAGUCAAAUGCAAAUUCGGAUCCACAUGUGGUUGAAUGCGAGUUCAAAAUUCUACUUGGAUAUCCAUUUAAUUUAGGUGAUAGCAAUUAGCACAAAAUGUUGGAUGAACAAAAUCAUAGUUAGACAUACAAUUACAUGUAUGGUUAAAGUAUAAUACAAUACACCAAGAUUAUUCCUUGAAAAUAUUUCUUAAAAAUAUUAUAAUAAAUGAAUAAAUAUAAUUGUGGCCACCAACAAAUAGUCGGUGGUCGCUAAGUUGGAGCCAUUUCUGGUUACUAAUGCGGCCUUCUCCUCGACCAGCGACGACAGCUGAGCUUGUUCCUUCUGACACUAAAUCAUCAGAGUCUUCCCUCCACUACUAUAGAAUGCACCUUUAGCACCAAUUGGGAAAUCCCCUUCAGUAUUGGAUGCUGCAACCAGUGCUAUAUAUCAAAAUGGAGACUAAAAGCCUCGGUCUUGGGUACCGGUUGCAUAACGCAUUACUAAAGGAGGCAAAAGAGAAAUGUAACAAAAAAAAUAUUUUGAAUUCCAAGAAUGUUUCACUAUUCAAGAUGACUAGCUGAGAGUCAACAGACAAGAUACUAGGAAUGUGGGUGCUUGAAUGCAUUUGUACAGAGGUCAUACUAUUUACAAACUCUUCUAUGUUUCCAUAUGACUACCUACUUCAAUGUCACGCGAGCCAUUCAGCUGGACACAUGGCACACUAGCUUGCAUGUCGAAUCCAUGAUUAAUUAUUUGCACUUGUGAUCUCUUACCAGUAUUUGUCCAGACUAGAAACGUGCAACACAUUUUUAGGAUAUGGACACGCAUAUAUUUGGACUAGUAUACAGGUCACCUUUGGAUGCGUACAAGGAUGACCGGGAGGGACUAAUGGAUACAAGGAAGGGACCAUCAGGAUUAAUAUUGACAUAUGCCACAUGACAAUCUUCAUUGUCAUGCAAUCCCUAUCAACAAUCAUGGAAUCCCUAGUGUACUAAUCCCUGGAGGGUUGUGUGGAAAUUUAUUUUACCUUGCGGUGAAAAUCUCAUGAGCAGUCAUUAGUUAAGCUGACUAGCUGAGAUAUAAUAGACAAGCUAGUAAGAUUGGGAGCAUCAAUGCAUCCAUACAGGGUCACAAUAUCCUUUCCAUUCACUUUUAUAUAUAACCCUACGAAUACAAGUCCAACGAAAUGCGGGCCUUUCGAUCAAGAUAAAUUAAAUGGCCCACUUGUAUUUCUAAUCCAGGAUUAACUAUGCCCUCUGUUCAUCUCUUGCAAGCACGUGCAACACAUUUUCACGAUAUGGACAUGCAUGGAGGUUAUUAUACUGUUUGGACAAACUCUGAUGUGCCAUGACCUAAAUGCUUAGGGCCUGUUUGGUUUGAGUUGCUUAUUAUAAGCAACUUAAAGUUGCUUAAAGUUGCUUAUUUGAAGUUGCUUAUUUUUAGUCUAAACUGUUUGGAUACCCUUGCUUAUGAGCAUUGAAUGAGUUGGACAUUGUCAAAUUUGCCCCAUGUGUUGCUACCCCUCCAAUUUGCCUCCCCACCCUUCUUCUUCCUGCACACGUCCGAUCCCGGGGGCCGACGGCGGGCAGGGAGCAGCAGCAGCUGGCCAGGGCGGCGGUGGGGCGGGAGCGGCGGCGCACACCAGCACGCGCUCGCACGCCAGGUGCUAGGGCGCGGCGAGGCAGUCGUCGUAGCCCACCGGGAGCGGGUGCUCGGGCGCGAGGCGGUACUCGACGGAGAUGCCGAGCGUCGGGCGCGCGGCGGCGAGCGCGUUGAGGAAGCGAUGGUAGUGCGGCGACGUCGCGGACUCCGCCACGAAGCCGCCGCCGUGGACGUACACCACCACGGGCAGCUUCGUCUUGCCGUCGGCGGCCGCGGCCGCGGCCUGGGGUGGCAGGUAGAGGCGGACGGAGCAGGAGCCGAGGUCGACGUCCCUGGAGUCGACGCCCGUGGCGGCGUCCAGGCUAGGCCCGACCGGCGGCGGCACGAGCGGGCGCUCGAUGCGGCCGCUCUUGUAAAUCCGACGGGUCUGUGCGGAGGCGGGCGGCGGGCGGGAGCGGCGGGUGGGAGCGGCGGCAGGUGGUGCGGAGGCCGGCGGCGGCGGGUGGCGCGGAGGAAGGGGAGCUGGUGAGUGGUGACAGGGGAGGGGGGGAGAGAGAGGGGGGGGUAGGGUGCAUUGAAUGAGGGCAGGAGGUGUAAAGUGCACCUUUUAGUCCCCAUGAGCAACCAUAAGCAGCCCAAGAGUUGCUUAUUUGCUUAUAAUAAGCAACCUCAUAAGCAAGAGUGAUUGGUUUCAUAAGCAACUUAUUUGCUUAUUUUAAGUUGCUUAUGCAUAAGCAUGUGAAACCAAGCAGGUCCUUAACCUAUGGUUGUGGCACCACACAGUACAUAGUAUUUAAUAAUGCUAUUCGUUUGGUAUGUGCACAAGGGCACGCAUGAAAUGUCUGGCCCACGGUAAACAAGUACGGACGCUGCAAAUAAUCUACUCUGCUCGUCCAGUCCCUAGCCUAUAAAUAGAUGCCAUGCUAGCUCUUGUUGUGCUCACAAUUAAUCCUGACUACACACGAGCUUCUCUCCCUGGCCAAGACACAAUCAUAGUAUGAUGAAGAACAUGGCACUAGCCGGCAAUGGUAUGAAGAACUUAAUCCUCGCUGUUCUCUUACUGUGUCUAGUUAUAGGGCAGAUACAAGUGGAAGCUAAGAGCUGCUGCCCAUCCAUUACUGCAAGAAAUAUCUACAAUGCCUGCCGUAUCACGGGUACAUCCCGUCCAACGUGUGCAAAACUGUCAGGCUGCAAAAUUAUCAGCGGGGACAAAUGCAAGCCCCCUAACGACCACCUCACCCUUGACCCGGACACUGGUAAAUAAUAAAUUUAUCUCACUUGAUUUCUUCGUGUUUUGAGUCGUUAAUGUAUUUUCCAUCUGAUGAAACGUAUUGGUUUUGCAUUGAAGAGGAAGUUAAUGUGCUUAACUUCUGCAAGUUGGGGUGUGCGUCGUCUGUGUGCAACAACAUCAACGCUGGUAAGCACCUUUUGCUCAGACGGAGAAAACAAUAAUCAUUAAUUAGCGGCAGCUAGAAUCCUAUAAUCUAAUAUAUUUAUAUAUAUAUAUAAUUUUAUCAGCUCUGGGAAAUGAAGAGGCGAACGAUGCCGUUGAGAGUUGCGACCAAGCCUGCUCUAGCUUCUGCAACGUGCACGUUGGCGCUGCCACCGUGGUUGCUUAAGCAAAUGCAUCCAACUGGAUCGUCCUUGUGCUAAAUAAUUGGAUAUCGUAUCCACUUAAAGCUGCCUUGUGUAGUACGUUUUUGUUUGUGUCUCUCUUUAUAUUCCAAUAAGGUCGGUGAUCUUGAUGCCACACACUCAGACGUGUGUUCAUCUCCAGAUACUACUCCAUGCUACCUGCCCUUUGUGUUUUGUUCAAUAACUGGGUAUCAUAUCCCAGCCAGUGUGCCAUCUGUUUUGUGUUUAUUUCCUUCUAGUUUCAAAGGGGUUAUCAUGAUGUUACCUUCUUUCGAUAUGGUGCUUUGCAUGACUACUGUUGUAUGGUACCAUCUUGUUGGCCAAUAAAUACAUCUUAUCCUAUGACCCUUUGCUAUGACCCUUUGCAAAUAAGUACAAGAUUGUUAAAUACUCGGUAUAAAUUGACUACUGCUGUGAGUUCCCUUUCAGCUUAUCGUAGGCAUACAUUAUUGCUAGCACGGUGAAGACAACCAACACGAAUGGUCAAGUAAACGUACCGGUACUUUUGUAUACCAACACCCUUGCUUAAAUGUACCGGUGUUACUCCCCACUAGCACAUAUAUUCUUAUAUGCUAGCCGGCUUGAAAAUUAACCGAUUAAAAUAAUUAUUUCAAGACAGAAAUAACUUAUCGGCUUCUCGAAGCAUGUGUAAUGUGAAUUCAAGGACUUGAUGGAAGUUGAAUCGCUUAAUCUAGAUUGCUUUCAGGAUUUUGGGUAACUAAAUUUAACAUUUGCACAUACAAAUGUUAAUGUACAAAUAUUAAAUAUAGUUACCCAAGCAGAAUAUGAAGAUACUCUAUAGUAUAUAUAUACUAUAUAAAUCUAGUUAACAUUUAGUCUAAAUGUUAAAUCUAGUUACCUAAAAUCCUGAAAGCAAAAUGUAUAAAUAUAUAUCUUUUAAGGAAUCCCAAAGCAAGAGUUCAGUGGCAUUCUAUAGUCCCAUGCUGCUAGUUUGAGUUGGUCGAAGCCAACUUAAAUAGGAGAGCUCUCUCACUUCUCUAAAUACGUAACUGAAGGAGAGAAGGGGGCUUGGUUACACAACGCACGCACGCACGCAUAUUUGCGUUCUUUUCGCGUAACCAACCGCGUGACUUGAAACUUGCGACGUAGCGUGCUGCCAAGUCAAGUUGAUAUAACCUUUUUGCCGUAGGCGUGUAAUCUUUUGACAACGGUCAUUGGAGGUGAUAAGCACGCAGUCAAUACCUUAAUCCUGAGUUAAUAGGGCGGUUACUACUGCCAAUUAGUGGGGCAAUUUUGUAGGGGAAACGGUUAGCAGAGGGCUACCAUCUUCUCUAUAAGAAGUUCUGGAGACGUCCAGGAACACACAUGUACAUGUGAGAGACCCACGAAUUCCUUCCCAUCUCCCUUUUCCAUCUGGUGAAGUGUGCUAUGGUACUGAGCUGCUGGAUCUCGCCGGCUCUUCUCCUUGGCGUGCACCGAGGAGGAGGGUGAGCGGUAUCUCCGAGCUAUUGCCGUCAGGAAGCCUGCACGAGGGACAACAAUAAAGUUUUUGGGUAGCGCAACUACGCAACCGCUCGAUUCGAUCGACUAUGUUCUGCGCUGCCUCAUCUUCGAUCUGCACUGCAACACGUAACCCUGCAGCAAGUCUACACAAGGACGGAGCACUAAUCUGUAAGUCCUAGAUUGGUUUCUUACAGAGUUGUAGGUUACACAAGAUCUAGAAUUGUUACAUACUUAUUAUUAUGGGUUACAUGAUGUUUUGUACGGUUACGUCUAUUUUGCAUAUGCUAUUUUUACAUACCGUUUACAUGCAUAUGUAAUGGUUACGCCUAGCUAUUUGAAUCUAGAAUUGGGUUACAUAGCAGUAGCAAUGACUUACGUAAUAUGCCUCAUGUUUAUAUCUGGUAGAAUUUAACACGUAUCUCCAACAUAUUUUGAGGCAGUAUAAAUUUCAAUUCCUUUUGCUGCUCUGUUAAAUCCCGUCUUUCGUGUGGCCCAACACUCUAGUAUGCAUGUAGCACCAAGCUUGUUUGAGCCGCUUUGUGCUCUGAUUUUGCUGUCUGUAUCAGGUUGGACUGUUUCUUUGUCUUGCGAUGUAUAGCUUCAUAUCUUCUAGAGGUUAGACAGCAAAACCCGCGUUCUCUUAAGGCAACAACUCGAAGAAUCUGCAGCGCUCCUGAUAUAUCACUGCUGCAGAAACAAUCUUUAGUACUGAUUUCCAACCCCCUUUAGUAUCGGUUUGGCAAUCAGUACCACUACGUCGGUACUAAAGGGAGUUCUCUAGAAUCGGGUCAAAUAACUGGUACUAAAAGUGCUCCUCUACUACCAGUUGGUAACACCAAUAGGUAGUAACUUUUUUUGCACCCAAAAAAUUAAAGAAAAACAGCCGGGAGGCUCGCGCACACACGCAUCAUGAGUAAUAUGCGCGUGCAUGGUUUGUGGGAUUCCAACCCACGACCAAGCUAUAAGCACGUAGUUACAAAAAAAUUAAACACUUAGACAUUUUAGAGCAUCCCAAAUAACUACAAAUUCUUUAGUUUACCAUAUACCAUAAAAUAUUAGUUAAAAUAAGAGCAUACGCACGUCGGAAGAGUCCCAAUGCACCGGUUGAGGAUCAGACCAGGCACUUUGAAUGCACAUGCCAUAAGAUAAUUCUGCAGGACGAUGAUUGCAAUAAUGGACCAUCGAGAAGAUAGGGGCGAUGGGGUUGCCUCAUCAAUUAUGACUUGGCGCAACAAGACCAGCAAAGUCUUUAUCGACAGGGGUGGAUCAAGGGGUGGGGCGGGUAGAGCUCCAAUCUUCCUACCGCCGCUCGAACAAUGGAGCCCCCCUUAGCCCCUCCAUAAAUUUUUAGGUAGAAGAAAAAAGAAGAGAAGGGAAGGAAGGGGAAGAAUAGGGAGCCCCUCCUAAGUAGGUCGCCAUCGUGCUUCCCAACGCAUGAUCGCCGCACCGCAUCCAUUCCUCUACAAGCCUCCAGCGUCUCUCCUGCCGCUACCUCUGAACCAUGUGCAGCUGCAGACCCAACUAGUGUCUUGUCACCCAUCUCAAUCCCAACAGAGCGGCGGCUCCUGCCAGCACAAAUCUCCCUCCGCCUGUUCUUCACGAUCGAUGGCCACCACAAGCAUAAACCUCGCCUUCGCAUCCACGCAAAAGGGUCGCCGGUGUGCCUUCUCGCAUCGCUUCUCAGCCUCCUUCACUUGCGGCUGGCCAAGAACCGUGCCACCACCUCGGGUGCGCGCCACCGCUCCAGGGCCGCUACCCCAUGCGUGCGGCCGCCGCCGGCCACCACGCGUGUGCAACCGUGUCGCACCGCUUCCCUGCUCUGUGCCACCACUGCUACUGCACCACCAGCUCCACCACCUUGGGCUGGUCGCCAGGGUGACUGAUUGGUGGAUUAUUACUACAAAUAAGUUCCUUAUUAUCUGCAACUACUAUUAACUCAGGGAUACAUGCGUCUUUUGCUUCUCCUGUUAAUAUGUCCUAAAAUAUCUAGAAUGCCUUAUAUUUCUGGACGGAGGAAGUAUUUGAAUAAAAUGAACCAAUUUUAAAAAAUGUGUUGUACACUACUACAGAAAGAACUAUCAGUGUCAAACCCAAAAAUGUCGUCACUGCCAGUUUUGGGCAUCGUUGGUGAAAGGUUGGCGGUGAUGGGUAUCCCCUUCAACAACGGCACUAGAGCUAACAGUGAUUGACAUUAGAAAACGAAAAAGGGGACCCACCUAGCCACCCCUGCAACCCGGCUGGCCGUGCCUCCCGUCAUCCCCACCACCUCGCCUCCCCCGUGACCCCCCGCCGGCGCCCUUGCGCCUAGCCCCCUCGCCUGCCUGGCCGGCCACCCUCGUCACGAGAGAGAGGGGUGCAUGUUGUAUAAUUGCGUGAAUUUUUAAUGUUUAAUUUCAUGUAAGUUUCAUAUAAUAAAUUGUACAAGUUUUAUUGUAUAUAUGAAUUCCAUAUAUAUAUAUUUAUAAUUUAAUGUAUGGUUUCAUGUGUAUAUUUCAAUAAUGUGUAUAUUUAGUAGAUAGCCGAUUUUCUUUUUCUACAAGACAAGGGUUGAUGUAUAAUUACGUGUAUAUGUUUAUUGUACGGGCAAUUAGGACAAGUUUUGUAUAAAUUUCUUUUAUUUCAUGGUUGUUGUAUGGUUUCAUGUAUAUACAUUUAUUGUACUACUUGAGACAAUUUUUAAUUUAAUGUUUCUAUGGUUACAUGUGUGUAUAACUAAUUGUAUUAUUAGUUAAGAUGGGAGCCAAAGAGGAUGAAAGGUAUAUAAUGGAGCAGAUUAUUGCUGGCGGUAGUGGCUCAAACGUUGCAAGAACCUACAUCAAGGGUGAGGGUAGCUAGGUGGACAUGUACCUCAACAUGUCCAGUGAUGGCAAUGACGAUGAGGAGCACGAGCAUGACGUUUAUGAUAGUGCGGAACAAGACAUUGCAGAAUUGGAAGGUUCUAAUGAGGUGUGCUUCAUGUUGAUGAUCUGGUUGGCUUUUUUUCUUUGGUCACACCUUAGUUACCAUAGAACUUCGUCUCGGGAGAAGAUUGGAGGUGCUAUGGUGAUUGGAAUUUUAUUGCCUCCAAAUAUGAUUUCCAUCGAAUCAUAUCCCUUGUAUUUAUCUUCUUUUUAUUUGUGAGAGCAUCUUCUUUAUGCUUGCAAAACAAUUCAAGUGCACAUACUACACCUAGGGUGAUGAUUAGGAGUAGAAACAAUUGCCAACAAACGAACACCACAUCCUAAGAUUCUUAACUUGUGGUAUAAUUAGUCUAGUAAAAAGAAAGAUAAAAACCUAAUGGGUGUACGUGAGUGCAAUGCGUAUAUGCAUAUGAGUGGAAGGCAUAUAAGCAAAGAUAAUAUUUACACAUAGAUCUAAGCACCAUGUUUACAACUAAGUUGCUGAAUUUCUCCAUAGCUAUAGAGAUUAAUGAACCAAGGUCAAAACACCAUGUCUAUCCCAAGAUCAGUAAUUCUUUAUAGCACAAGAAAAAGAAAGCGCAUUGCAAAGUUUAUAAACCAACCAAUGCAGCAUGAAAACAAGAUGAAUAGCUAGCAAGGUUUAUUAAACUGAAUGAUGACGGUCUGCAAGCAAGUUUGAACACCAUCUUUACACAAGAUUGCAAAUGGAAAAUUCCCAUAUGAAGAACUAACAUGGAUAUGAAAUCAUUCAUCAUAAAGCGUAAAGAACAACCAAGCCAACCAUAUGCAAAGCAUGAAUGGAAUGCAAUGAAGGUGCAAGAGAACAUUUUUGGAUGAACCCAUUAUGAUGAUGGCAAAAUGCGCCGUGCCCCCCAGCCCCCGCGGUGAGAUCCCGCCGCUCGCUGCCGCCAGACCCUAUUAGGCCUCCACCGGCAGGUCCACCCACGGUCCCGCGCGACGUGGCAGCCUCUUGGCUCUCGGCGCUCGCGGCACGCCAGUGCUGGCGCAGCCCCACCAGGCGACUACCCUCCCCCCAUAAGGCCUCGGCCCCUCCCCAGCGCCGCCCCCCAACACCAGGACUGCCUGCUGCCCCCCACCGUGAGGUAAUCGAAAUCGACUGCUCAAUCUCUCAAUCUGUUGAUAUGAUGCACACGGUUGCAAAAAUAGAUGUGUCAAAAUAGAUGUUUUGCCAAUUGCUAUAGAUGCAUACGGUUGACAUGAAGUCAAAAAUGACAUUUGGUUCCUUGUAGGCAGUCAAAAAUGAAGAAGUCAAAAAAUAUUGAUCUGAAAUCAAUGUGGGAAAGGGCUAUGAAGACACGCAGGUAGAUUCCCUUGUGAACUUUUUAUGUCGUUCGUCUAAAUAAUUUUUUGCAAUGGGCAUACCCUACUCUGAAAUCCUGGGUCCGCCACUGAUGAUGAUGGUCUAAAAAUAAACCAAGCCUAGAUUAAUUAGCCACAACUGAAAUUAAGCAAAGGUUAAUGUCAUUGACCCUAGCUCUAUCCUAGCUUUUACCAAAGUUCCGGCACAUAUAGUGGUUGGGCCCACUCUCUCUGCUUCCCUCUCUGCUGCAUGCACGCACACGAGCAACGGGAGGCCCGACGAAGCCCAGAAGGGUUCGGCCGAACCAGUAUGAGCGCCGCUCCCUCCCAGCCUUCGCGCAGAUGCUCCUCCAACGUUCCUUGACCCCUCCCUCAGCGUCCCGUUGGGUUUAACAUUGCAGGAGAGGAGUCCCUUUUUUAAAAUCUCAACCACCUCCUCUCCCCAUUCACUCCACUCUCAUCUCCAUCAAACUCACCAAGAUCCGCACCGGAAAUCCCUGCUUACCACCAUGGCUGGCAAAGCCCUCAUCCCUUUCACCAACUUGGGCUUGACCACUGAUCUCGAUGGGGAAAUCACUCUGGCAAAUAUGCGUGUAACACUGCCCCCUUUGCCGAGGGUUAAAGCCAAAACACUCAGCAAAGUGGAUAGUACCCCCCUUUUUACCCGUUUUGUCAUGUAUAACGGACCCCUCUCAAUUCACAAUAGACAUCAUCAUAGGCAUUUAUAAUAAACAAUCACAGGCAUAAUUCACAAUCACCAUUACAAGCAUUAUUCAUAAAUAUCACAGACAUAAUCCAAAGUAAGCAUGAAACAAGCCAUAAAUCCAAGUUCAAGUCACAACUAAGUUUCAUCCAAGUUCAAGUCACAAAUGCAAUGUCUAAAUCCAUGGAGGCCAAGGAGACCACUGCGACAAAUCUUGGUCUUCAUUAUUCGAAGCCGCCGAUUGAUUCUGCACAUAGGAUAGGACAUUCUGAGCUAACAUCUAAAGUUGUCAAAAUUAAAGUAUUCAAUCUUAAGCACAAUGUGUCAAAUGACUCACAGGAGUAGUUGUGGGUGGCUGAGGCGGAGGGAACAGCAUCGAUGGCGGUGGCAAAGAUUGACCCAUGCUCGAAGCAAAAUUCUGCAUGUACUGGAACAUCUGGUCCAUCCUCAUCCGAUUUUCUUCCUCCAUCCUCUGCCGCUCGGCCUCUAACCUCCGCUGAACCAUCUGCUCCAUCCUCGCCGCCAUCUCCUCUUGUUGCUUCCUUGCUGCUUCCACCUGGGCCUACAAUAUUUCAUUGCAAUGUUACAAUGCAAAGCUAAAGUAUAGCAACCAACGAACAAUGAAUGGAAGAGAAAGAACCUGGAGAGCCUCCAUCUGGAACUGUCCAAUGGUUGGUCGUAGCCGUAUCGCCGGGCUCGAGUCCGUGCUCCUUGCUUGGAUCUGGGAGAGAGUGGCAGUAGAGGCCGUGUUGAUUACGCCGUCGCCAAUCCAAUAUCGGCCAUGCUUCUUGCCUCCUCCCACCCUCAUCACGAUUUCUCCAUCAAUAUCCUCAGAGCUUGAAUCGAAGUCUGGCCCGUGAACCUCCCUUGCCAUCACUGUAUAUUCCUUUGCCGAGUGCCCGAGAUAAAGCACUCGGCAAAUAGAAAACACUCGGCAACUUUACUGUUUCCCGUAGUGUCGCUAUUUUUGCAGGUUCUCGACCAGGCCAGUUCUUUGGGCCAACCUAUCAUUCACGACUUAAACAUACGGUGGCUGUAGAAAUGUUCUAUUCUUUUCAACAAUACCAGCUGGUUCCUCCGUUUUUAUUCCACCAAUACAAGCACCACCUUGUAACAUUUCCUAUGUUUUUUUUUCCUUUCGUCUGUUUUCUACAUGCGUUGCUCUUUCAUGCAUUUUUUUCCAUUCCUGUAUUCCAAAUAGGUCUACAUGAACACAAAAUGAACUAGGGGACAGAAAAAGCCAGUGAAGCCAAUUUUGAGCUUCACCAGCUACUUGCUACAUAAAGUGUGCUAUAGUGACGUGUUUUAGCAAAACAUGUUAUCAAUGACUUGACAUUGGUGACGUGUUAAAACGCGUUAUCUCAAUGGCAAAUCAUUGGUGACGUGUUUUAAAAAAACAUGUCACCGUGAGAGUCAUUGGUGAAGGGUAAUUAUAAUGCGUCACUAAUGUUGUAGCAUUAGUUAUGAUAAUUUAGUAACGCAAAAAUCUACCAUCAGUAUUGAGCUUUAGAGCCAUCGCUAAUGUGGGUUUCUUACAUAGUGAUGCAAGCUCUACAAGGUGCUGUUGCUGCCAUUUUAAAGCAUCCCAUGACUACAUGUUAAUAACAUAGUUUACCAUAUAUCAUAAAAAUAUUAGUUACAAUAAGCACAUACGCAUGUGGAAGAGUCCGAAUGCACCGGUUGAGGACUAAACACAUUGAAUUACUAGAACCAAAUGUGUGUUUAGAACAAAGACAGGGGUCAAGGUUUGGGUAACCGCAUUAAAAACAUUGGAUUUUACUGUACAUGAACACUUAGUUACCAUUACCAUGCCUUGAGCACCUAGUUACAACAAACAUUAAUUUAGCCACUUUAGAGCUUCCAGAAUCGCUAUAAAUAAUAUACCUACGCCGUACCAUGAAAACAUCAAGAAGAGAGACGGAUACAUGGACCACCAUCAAGCGAGUAGUGACAGCACGCACAAGAAUACCCGGAACCUGUUAGCUUGUCUGUAGUGAUCUGUUUUCUUCCCCAUAAAAUCCAUGAGUAUUGCCACAAAUAAUGAAAGAGGCUGACCAAGCUAGCAAGGAGGUAGAGCAAACGUGAUACACGGCCUGCCAAGAUUGCCCUGGAUACGCCAAUAAGAGCGACAGAUACAUGGAUCACACCAAUAUGGUGAAACGUAUAUUCAUCACACAAGCAAAGCUGGUCAGUUUAUCCAUGGUCAAAUUGUGGUCUUUGUUUUCACUUGAGAGCUAAUUGAGGCACUAUAAUAUGGGCAGGCCUAUCUUCAACAGACAUGACAGCUACAGGGAACUUGACAUAAUUUGCUGGGCCGCCUGUGCACAAUUAUUUGUUUUAUUGUCCUUGCAUAGAAUGCUAAAAUACUCUUUACAAAAUGUUGGAUCUAAUAUUUGAAAUAUAGAGUAGUAAUCAUAUAUUGAUCAACAACUUGAAAUUAUCUGUACAUUCUCGGUGAAGCUGUUGAACUAAUUUUUGCAAAUUAUUAAUUCAUCUCAUUACGUAAAGAAAAAAGUAAGUGGAUAAGAUAUUUCGUGGACCACAUCACUGCAAACAUGUCAUGGAGAGACAGACCAAGGAGGCAGGACGUGAUACACGACUUACCCUAGGUUGCCGUGGAACCGCCAAGAAGAGAUACAGAUACAUGGACCACACCAUCUUGGGAGUAGUGACAGCAUAUAUGCAGAAGAAUACCCCGUGCCUAUUUGCAUGCAUGUCUCAAGUGAUCUGUUUUCUUCAGAAAAUACAUGAGCAUUGCCAGAAAGAAUGGCAAGAGACAAACAUGUCAUAGAGACUUGCAUGUCUUGCCUUGGAUACGCCAAGAAGAGGGACACAUACAUGGAUAACACAAAUCUAGUGACACGUAUAUUCAUCACAAAGGCAAAUCUGAUAAUUUUAUCCAUGGAGCAGACCAAGGAGAAAUUGAUGACGGACAUGUGAUCUCUGUAUUCAGUUGAAAGCUAAUUGAGCUACACUAAUAUGAGCAGGACUAUAUUCAAGAGACUUGUUGAGAGCUACAGGGAACUUGUAAUAAUUUGCUGGGCGGCCUGCGCACAAUGAUUUGUUAUACAUAGUUGAAAUAUUUCAAGAAUUUAUCAACCUCAUACUCUGAAACCCUUGGUGCAAUGUACUCUGCUUUCCGAGGUAGACUGUUCACGUAAAAUGAGGUCAUGCGUAAGACGGAAUCGGAUUGGAUUCACAGGGAAUCAGAUUUGGAUAGCACCUUUUAGCAGGUUUUUAGUCAAAUGCAAAUUCGGAUCCACAUGUGGUUGAAUGCGAGUUCAAAAUUCUACUUGGAUAUCCAUUUAAUUUAGGUGAUAGCAAUUAGCACAAAAUGUUGGAUGAACAAAAUCAUAGUUAGACAUACAAUUACAUGUAUGGUUAAAGUAUAAUACAAUACACCAAGAUUAUUCCUUGAAAAUAUUUCUUAAAAAUAUUAUAAUAAAUGAAUAAAUAUAAUUGUGGCCACCAACAAAUAGUCGGUGGUCGCUAAGUUGGAGCCAUUUCUGGUUACUAAUGCGGCCUUCUCCUCGACCAGCGACGACAGCUGAGCUUGUUCCUUCUGACACUAAAUCAUCAGAGUCUUCCCUCCACUACUAUAGAAUGCACCUUUAGCACCAAUUGGGAAAUCCCCUUCAGUAUUGGAUGCUGCAACCAGUGCUAUAUAUCAAAAUGGAGACUAAAAGCCUCGGUCUUGGGUACCGGUUGCAUAACGCAUUACUAAAGGAGGCAAAAGAGAAAUGUAACAAAAAAAAUAUUUUGAAUUCCAAGAAUGUUUCACUAUUCAAGAUGACUAGCUGAGAGUCAACAGACAAGAUACUAGGAAUGUGGGUGCUUGAAUGCAUUUGUACAGAGGUCAUACUAUUUACAAACUCUUCUAUGUUUCCAUAUGACUACCUACUUCAAUGUCACGCGAGCCAUUCAGCUGGACACAUGGCACACUAGCUUGCAUGUCGAAUCCAUGAUUAAUUAUUUCCACUUGUGAUCUCUUACCAGUAUUUGUCCAGACUAGAAACGUGCAACACAUUUUUAGGAUAUGGACACGCAUAUAUUUGGACUAGUAUACAGGUCACCUUUGGAUGCGUACAAGGAUGACCGGGAGGGACUAGAAAUGGUCUAGUUUUGAUUGGACUACAAAACUUUUUGUACAGUGAAUAGAGAAUAUAUAUUAUUGUUGGAAUACGAGGUAGGCUACACUAUCGCAAUUCUGAUAUUCUACCGCGUAUAACCAAGAAGAACUGUCGUAUAAGGAUCACGGGAUUACCACUCGACGCACUACUGGUGCGGAAGAUGUAGAUAUGCGUCGAUGCAGUGAAGACGAUCACGUAGUCGUAUGUAGUCGAUCAACGUAGUCGUACAUAGUCGAUCACGUCCAGCAGCUCCUCAGCAGCUCGUCCACGUGCAGCAAGAUCGCCUCCGGUACCGCGGCUCGUCGUUGGCUUGUCGUGGCUCGUCGACGGCUCGUCGGCGGCUCGUCCAAGUGCUGCAGGCGCAACACCUCCAAGGUAUCCACACGUGCAGGGAGGAAGCGUCGCAAGCCGGACUGCUAGAUCCACGAGUUGCAACAGGCGAGGGCGUGGGAGGCGCGGCAGGUGUGUUUCGCCAAAAAGGUGUAAACCCUAGGGCGCCCCCACCCCUCUAUUUAUAGAGGUUCCUGACGGGCCUCUGGAUCCGAGGCCCAUUAGUACUUCUAAACCUAAUCCAACUCGGAUCAGAUCCGAAUUGGGCUUCCAGCCCCUUAAGUGUGUGACCCUAUAAGUUCGGAUACGUAUAGACAUGGCCCGAGUACUCCUACUCGGCCCAAUAGUCGGUAGCGGCCUCUAGCAAGACGUGCCAACUCCUAUACGCACACGAAGAUCAUAUCAGACGAACCAUCACAACAUAAUAUACAUGCUAUUCCCUUUGCCUCACGAUAUUUGGUCUAGCUUCAAGCCGACCGCUCUUUCUCAGUCCUGUGAUUCGGAAUCCCUUUGUAGGUUAACUCUUAACCGUACGUAGCAUGGCCAUGCAUUUUCGGAUCUGAUCACUCGAGGGGCCCAGAGAUAUCACUCUCAAUCAGAGAGGGGCAAAUCCCAUCUUGAUUGACCAUGUCUCAUAGCAUGCUUCUUGACAAACCUAAAAACUACCUUUAUAACUUCCCUGUUACGGCGUAGUGUUUGAUAGCUCCUAAGUAGGUCGAUCCACAUCUAGAAUACAUGCGACAAUUUCAGGUCUAAGGACAAAGCGUAUAUGUUGUUUAAAGAGAGAACUACUUCUCGUGUUGGGUCAGUCCCAGCACAUGUCUCCACAUGUGUCCACAUUAUUAGUUCAACAUCUCCAUGUCCAUGACUUGUGAAACAUAGUCAUCAACUAAUACAUGUGCUAGUCUAAUAUUCAUGUGUGUCCUCACAUGAACUCCGACUAGGGACAACUUUAGAAUAACCAUACAAGUAAAGAGUUUCACAUACAAUUCACAUAAUUGCAAAUCAAUUCAAGUAGCCUUCAAUGGAUAUUCAAUGAACACAACAUACAAAUCAUGGAUACAAAUGGAAUAUCAUCAUCUCUAUGAUUGCCUCUAGGGCAUACCUCCAACAGUCUCCCACUUGCACUAGAGUCAAUCUAGAAGGUACCUAAUACCCAUAGCUCUUACAUGCGCAUCAUGCUUAGCCUGCGGGAGUGGUUUUGUCAACGGAUCAGAAAUGUUCAGAUCCGUGUGUAUUUUGCAUAUCUUGAUCUCACCCCGGUUAACGAAGUCUCGAAUGAGAUGAAAUCGCCGCAUUACAUGUUUGUUCUUCUGGUGGUUCCUUGGCUCCUUUGCUUGCGCAAUUGCCCCAUUGUUAUCACAGUAGAGAUUCAAUGGGCUGGACCCAUUCGGGAACACACCAAGCUCAAUGAGGAAAUUCCUUAUCCAAACACCUUCCUUCGCGGCUUCCGAAGCCGCGAUGUACUCGGCUUCUGUCGUAGAAUCGGCCACCGUCUCCUGCUUGGAACUCUUCCAACUAACAGCACCACCAUUUAGCGUGAACACAAAUCCUGUUUGUGACUUUGAAUCAUCUCUGUCGGUUUGGAAACUAGCAUCGGUGUAACCUGUUACAACGAGCUCCUCCUCACCUCCAUAGACGAGGAAUAUAUCUUUAGUCCUUCUCAAGUACUUAAGAAUGUUUUUCACCGCUGUUCAGUGACUCUCACCUGGAUCAGAUUGGUGUCUGCUUGUCAUACUUAGCACAUAUGAAACAUCUGGGCGAGUACUUAUCAUUGCAUACAUGAUAGAUCCAAUAGCCGAGGCAUAUGACACUCUACUCAUGUGAUCCCGCUCAUCAGCAGUCGAAGGACACUGAGUCUUGCUGAGAUGUAUGCCAUGUGACAUAGGCAAGAACCCUUCCAUGCUGAACCGCUUCAACACUUUGUCAAUGUAAGUAUCUUGGCUUAAACCUAUAAGCCUUCUCGAUCUAUCUCUAUAGAUCUUAAUGCCCAGAAUAUAUGCCGCUUCCCCUAAGUCCUUCAUCGAAAAACUAUUUUUCAGUGAAGUCUUUAUGGACUCAAGCAUAGGAAUGUUAUUUCCAAUCAGUAAUAUGUCAUCCACAUAUAAGAUUAGAAAUACUACAGAGCUCCCACUAACCUUCUUGUAAACACAAGACUCUUCUUCGUUCUUGGUGAAGUCAAACCCUUUGACCACUUCAUCAAAACGAAUGUUCCAACUCCUAGAUGCUUGCUUCAAUCAAUAAAUGGAUCUCUGAAGCUUGCAUACCUUUCCAGCAUUUUUCGGAUCGACAAAACCCUUGGACUGUAUCAUAUACACGUCCUCAGUUAGGUUUCCAUUCAGGAAAGCUGUCUUGACAUCCAUCUGCCAUAUCUCAUAAUCGAAAUAUGCAGCCAAACUUGAUUGUCUCCCAUGGACUCUAUUUCGGAUUGCAUGGCAUUCUGCCAUUUUUCGGAGUCUGGGUCCAUCAUUGCUUCUGCAUAUGUCACAGGCUCAUCAUUGUCCAACAAUAAUAUUUCCUGCAUUUCGCGGAGCCUUGCCGACCUUCGUGGUUGUGGCGGUGCUUCUCUUGCCAUGGGUAUCUCAACUUGUUCUGCUACGUUAGCAUCACUCAUUGAUUCUUGCCCGAUCGGCUCAUCUUGAACUUCUUCAAGAUGCACUGUCUUUCCACUCUUUUCUCCUUUGAGAAACUCUUUCUCUAGGAAAACCCCGUUCCGAGCGACAAACACUUUGCCUUCUGAUCAGUUGUAAAAAUAAUAUCCCAAAGUUUCCUUUGGAUAUCCCACGAAAAUGCACUUAUCCGACUUGGGUGCGAUCUUGUCCGACUGAAGUCGCUUGACAAACACAUCACAUCCCCAAAUCUUUAGAAAAGACAAACUAGGAACCUUUCCAGUCCAUAUCUCAUAUGGUGUCUUAACUACGGAUUUAGAUGGUACCCUAUUAAGUGUGAAAGCUGCUGUUUCUAGAGCGUAUCCCCAAAAUGACAACGGUAGGUCCGACUGGCUCAUCAUUGAUCGAACCAUGUCUAACAAAGAUCGAUUACGUCGCUCGGACACACCGUUUCUCUGAGGUGAUCCAGGCGGCGUAAGUUGUGGAACAAUUCCGCAACUCUUUAGAUGAUUGCUAAACUUGUGGCUCAAAUACUCGCCUCCACGAUCAGAUUGUAAGGCCUUAAUUUUCUUGACACGCUAAUUUUCAACUUCAUUCUGAAAAUCCUUGAACUUUUCAAAGGUUUCAGACUUGUGCCUCAUCAAGUAGACAUAGCCAUAUCUACUAAAAUCAUCAGUGAAAGAUAUGAAGUAUUGGAAUCCUCCUCUAGCCGUCGUGCUCAUUGGUCCGCAUACAUCACUAUGUACGAGUUCCAACAAGUCUACUGCUCUCUCAGGAAAUCCUGUGAAAGACGUCUUGGUCAUCUUGCCUAGCAAGCAAGCCUCACAUGUCUCGUAUGAUUCAAAAUCAAACGAAGUUAGAAGUCCAUCAGAAUGGAGCUUCUUCAUGCGUUUUUCACUUAUAUGACCCAAACGACAAUGCCACAAGUAGGUAGGACUCAAAUCAUUAGGCCGAGGCCUUUUAGCACUUACAUUACAGACAGGUGAACCAUCAAGAUUUAAAACAAAUAAUCCAUUCACAAUGGGUGCAAAAGCCAUAAACAUAUUAUUCUUAGAGAUCACACAACCAUUGUUUUCACUCGCAAAUGAAUAACCAUCCUUCAUCAAGCAUGAAGGAGACAAAAUGUUUCGACUUAAACUAGGAACAAAAUAACAAUUAUUCAACUCCAUAAUAAAUGCUGACGGGAGGUGGAGUUGCAUCGUCCCGACGGUCAACGCAGCAACUCUUGCAUUAUUGCCCACGCGGAAAUCAACUUCUCCUCUUUCCACGCUUCUACUUCUUAUCAUUCCCUGCAUCGAAUUGCAAAUAUGAGCAACCGAUCCGGUAUCAAAUACCCAAGAAUUAAUAAUUGUAUCAGCGAGAAAUAUGUUGUCUAUGACAUUAACAACAAGCGUACCUGAGGUAGAAGUACUCUUACUUCCUCCAUUCUUCAACGAAGCUAGGUACUGCUUGCAGUUUCUCUUCCAGUGACCAAGUUCAUGACAGUAAAAGCACUCUUUGUCUGGAGCAGGUCCAGGUCCAGCUUUAACCUUGGGCGCUCGCUGGGUUUGGCUUGGAAAUUCCAGCCUUGCCCUUCUUCUUCCAAGAAUUGCCCUUCUUCUUAAAGCUAGGCUUGUUCUGUAUAGCCAUCACAUGGCUAGUACAAGCGCUUUUCUUGAUGUCUACCUCUGCUGUCUUGAGCAUACCACACAGUUCAUUCAAACCCUUCUCCGUCCCAUGCAUAUGGUAGUUCGAGAUGAAGUUCCCAUAGCUAGGCGGAAGAGAUGAAAGAAUGAAGUCAGUGGCCAACUCUUUGCCCAUUGGGAAGCCCAGCUUCUCCAAUCGCUGAGUGUAACCAACCAUGUUGAUUACAUGUGGUCCUACUGCUGCGUCUUCUGCUAGCUUGCACUCCAGAAAAGCUUUGGACACAUUGAACCUUUCAGUCCUAGCCUGUGUCUGGAACAUGUCCUUGAGCGCCACGAUCAUAUCGUGUGCCUCAUGAUUUGUUUCGAACUGCAUCUGCAGCUCGGGUUCCAUGCAAGCAAGCAUAAGGCAGCUUACCUCAAGAUUAGCAUCAAAUGCCUUCUUGUAAGCAGCCUUAACGGCAGCAGAUGCAUCAUCAGCAGGUACUGGUGGUAGUGGGGUAUCUAGAACAUCUUCCUUUUUAUCGGCCCUGAGAACAAUUCUCAGGUUACGGAUCCAAUCCGAGUAGUUUGUUCCAUUCAACUUGUCCUUCUCAAGGACCGAGCGCAAAGCAAACGAUGUGGUGGUGUUGCUAGGUGCCAUUUAAUCUACAACAAAAGUAAUGCAAAAUACACUAAGACAAACGUAUCCAUGAUAGAGCAAAUUACAUUAAACUAUUUUAACAGAAUCUACUCCCACUAAAAUCAAUAUCCCUCUAUUGAAACUUAGUGAUUCAGGAUCCACAACUAACAAGUCUACUAGUGAGCUUUAGCAUCACCGCUAGCAAACGAGGUAGAUCGGUAAGCAACUUUUGCUAAUCAUAUCACAUAUGACUCCUGUUGUUGGGUGACAUCUCCAUGUCUCGGCGCCCAACCAUUAUGCCCCAAGGUCCUUAACCGUUAAGAUGACCUCGUUAAGCAAACCAACCCUUAUGCGUGUAAGUGUCCGACACAAACCCGUCUAGUCAAGGAAAACUAGUGGCACCCUAAUUUCAUAGACCCACCACUAAUUGUACAAGACAUGGGACGGUGCAAGUUUUAGUUGGGAGGGCAUACUAACUUAAAUUUUUUGUGAGGGAUCGUUCUACUUCUAACAUCACAGCAUGCAGAAAGUAAAACAUAAACAGAAUAGCAUUCACACAGCUGUGACACAGUAUGGCCCGUUUUUAUAUGGUGAUCUCCAUCUCCAUAGAACCUGUUCACCAUGGUGAUCUCCAUCUCCAUGUUCCAUGUGCGCCAUCCUCCUGGUGAGGAGUCCUCCAAGAACUAGAACAUGCUAUUACACCUAAUAGCUAGUAAAGAAUCUAGUAAUGAAGAUUACAUAGUUGCUUGGAUCAUCACAGAUUGGUACGCAGACCAUUAAAUACAAUAAAGUGACAACACAUAUGGCUCCUGCCGUGUUGCCGUACGCGCGACACGCAGGUCACGAAUGAGUUACACACAUGCAUCACAUACACAAGGGGGCCAUACUGAUCACAAGAUACAUACAUACAUCCUGCAAAACAGAGUUAGGCGUCCUAACGUUCCAAACUUCGAAGGCCCGAAACUCCAUCUUCCAAGCCGAAUUUGGGAAAUCUAAUUUUGCCGAAAACGGCAAAGCGGUUGAAUUUCAUGUGUAACUUUUUCUGUAGAUCAAUUUUCAUAUAAAAUUCGCCCCGAUCCGAGAUCGUACCGAAAAGUUACGGCUGAUUUACCGAAGCAUACGCAUACGGCAAAAAUUCCGACCCCGGCAGUAGAUCCCAUCUACUAUUGCACAUCUAAUGCGCCUGGCGUAUGAUCCUGGAUUUCGAUUCGACCAAUCAUAUUGAUCUUCGCUCACUGCAACUGGAAUUACGUGUAUCACUUAACUCGUCGGCGGCUCGUCGGCGGCUCAUCCAAGUGCUGCAGGCCCAACACCUCCAAGGUAUCCACACGUGCAGGGAGGAAGCGUCGCAAACCGGACUGCUAGAUCCGCGAGUUGCAAUAGGCGAGGGCGUGGGAGGCGCCGCAGGUGUGUUUCGCCAAAAAGAUGUAAACCCUAGGGCGCCCCCACCCCUCUAUUUAUAGAGGUUCCUGACGGGCCUCUGGAUCCGAGGCCCAUUAGUACUUCUAAACCUAAUCCAACUCGGAUCAGAUCCGAAUUGGGCUUCCAGCCCCUUAAGUGUGUGACCCUAUGGGUUCGGAUACGUAUAGACAUGGCCCGAGUACUCCUACUCGGCCCAAUAGUCGGUAGCGGCCUCUAGCAAGACGUGCCAACUCCUAUACACACACGAAGAUCAUAUCAGAUGAACCAUCACAACAUAAUAUACAUGCUAUUCCCUUUGCCUCACGAUAUUUGGUCUAGCUUCAAGCCGACCGCUCUUUCUCAAUCCUGUGAUUCGGAAUCCCUUUGUAGGUUAACUCUUAACCGUACGUAGCAUGGCCAUGCAUUUUCGGAUCCGAUCACUCGAGGGGCCCAGAGAUAUCACUCUCAAUCAGAGAGGGGCAAAUCCCAUCUUGAUUGACCAUGUCUCAUAGCAUGCUUCUUGACAAACCCGAAAACUACCUUUAUAACUACCCUGUUACGGCGUAGCAUUUGAUAGCCCCUAAGUAGGUCGAUCCACAUCUAGAAUACAUGCGACAAUCUCAGGUCUAAGGACAAAGCGUAUAUGUUGUUUAAAGAGAGAACUACUUCUCGUGUUGGGUCAGUCCCAGCACAUGUCUCCACAUGUGUCCACAUUAUUAGUUCAACAUCUCCAUGUCCAUGACUUGUGAAACAUAGUCAUCAACUAAUACAUGUGCUAGUCUAAUAUUCAUGUGUGUCCUCACAUGAACUCCGACUAGGGACAACUUUAGAAUAACCAUACAAGUAAAGAGUUUCACAUACAAUUCACAUAAUUGCAAAUCAAUUCAAGUAGCCUUCAAUGGAUAUUCAAUGAACACAACAUACAAAUCAUGGAUACAAAUGGAAUAUCAUCAUCUCUAUGAUUGCCUCUAGGGCAUACCUCCAACAAUUAUUUCAUGUAAAUUUUUGACAAUUUUUUAAAAUUGUUUGAUAUUUUUUAAAUUUUUUUUAAAAUAACUUUGCCGAGUGUCCUAUUGUAGACACUCGGCAAAGCAGCCUUCACCGAGUGUUACCCCUGGGACACUCGGCGAAUUAAUGCCCGGCCGCUCAAGAAUAUGUGCCCGGCCCCCUCACUCUCCCGGCCCCCCUCACUCUCACUCCCCUCACUCCCUCCUCUCUCCCUCCUCUCUCCCUCUCGCCGCCGCCCGAAACCCCCGCCGCCGCCCGCCGCCCGGCAUGCCGCCCAGCGCCCCCCGCCGCCGCCCGGCGCUCCCGAAUCCGCCGCCGCCCGCCCGGCGCCCGGCCCCCGGAUCCGCCGCCGCCGGCCGCCCGGCGCCCCCGGAUUCGCCGCCGCCCGCCCGGCCCCCGGCCCCCGGAUCAGCCGCCGCCCGCCGCCCGGCGCACGGCGCCCCCGGAUCCGCCGCCGCCUGCCCGGCGCCCGGCCCCUGGCCCCCUGAUCCGCCGCCGCCCGCCCGGAUCCGCCGCCGCCCGCCCGGCGCCCGGCCCCCGGCCCCCGGAUCCACCGCCGCCCCCCCGGCCCCCGGAUCCGCCGCCCGCCCGUCCCCUCCACCGGAUCCGCCGGCGCCGGGGCCUGAAGAGAAGAGAAGAGGAGAGGAUGGUGGCGGCGGCGGCCGCGGCGGCGGAGCAGGUGGCAGAGCAUGCAUGAUUUUUUUUUAUUUUUUCAAUAAUUGUUCGCCAAGUGUUUUCUGGGCACUCGGCAAAGUCUUUGCCGAGUGCCCGACACAAAACACUCGGCGAACCAGUGUUUGCCGUCAAGAUUUUUGCCGUGUGUCGUUUGCCGAGUGUUACACUCGGCAAACGCUUUGUCGAGUGUUUUUGGGGUUUCGCGGAGUGACCCUGGCACUCGGCAUCACGCAUGUUUCCCUUAGUGAACUUGAAAUUAUCUGUACAUUCUCGGUGAAGCUGUUGAACUAAUUUUUGCAAAUUAUUAAUUCAUCUCAUUACGCAAAGAAAAAAGUAAGUGGAUAAGAUAUUUCGUGGACCACAUCACUGCAAACAUGUCAUGGAGAGACAGACCAAGGAGGCAGGACGUGAUACACGACUUACCCUAGGUUGCCGUGGAACCGCCAAGAAGAGAUACAGAUACAUGGACCACACCAUCUUGGGAGUAGUGACAGCAUAUAUGCAGAAGAAUACCCCGUGCCUAUUUGCAUGCAUGUCUCAAGUGAUCUGUUUUCUUCAGAAAAUACAUGAGCAUUGCCAGAAAGAAUGGCAAGAGACAAACAUGUCAUAGAGACUUGCAUGUCUUGCCUUGGAUACGCCAAGAAGAGGGACACAUACAUGGAUAACACAAAUCUAGUGACACGUAUAUUCAUCACAAAGGCAAAUCUGAUAAUUUUAUCCAUGGAGCAGACCAAGGAGAAAUUGAUGACGGACAUGUGAUCUCUGUAUUCAGUUGAAAGCUAAUUGAGCUACACUAAUAUGAGCAGGACUAUAUUCAAGAGACUUGUUGAGAGCUACAGGGAACUUGUAAUAAUUUGCUGGGCGGCCUGCGCACAAUGAUUUGUUAUACAUAGUUGAAAUAUUUCAAGAAUUUAUCAACCUCAUACUCUGAAACCCUUGGUGCAAUGUACUCUGCUUUCCGAGGUAGACUGUUCACGUAAAAUGAGGUCAUGCGUAAGACGGAAUCGGAUUGGAUUCACAGGGAAUCAGAUUUGGAUAGCACCUUUUAGCAGGUUUUUAGUCAAAUGCAAAUUCGGAUCCACAUGUGGUUGAAUGCGAGUUCAAAAUUCUACUUGGAUAUCCAUUUAAUUUAGGUGAUAGCAAUUAGCACAAAAUGUUGGAUGAACAAAAUCAUAGUUAGACAUACAAUUACAUGUAUGGUUAAAGUAUAAUACAAUACACCAAGAUUAUUCCUUGAAAAUAUUUCUUAAAAAUAUUAUAAUAAAUGAAUAAAUAUAAUUGUGGCCACCAACAAAUAGUCGGUGGUCGCUAAGUUGGAGCCAUUUCUGGUUACUAAUGCGGCCUUCUCCUCGACCAGCGACGACAGCUGAGCUUGUUCCUUCUGACACUAAAUCAUCAGAGUCUUCCCUCCACUACUAUAGAAUGCACCUUUAGCACCAAUUGGGAAAUCCCCUUCAGUAUUGGAUGCUGCAACCAGUGCUAUAUAUCAAAAUGGAGACUAAAAGCCUCGGUCUUGGGUACCGGUUGCAUAACGCAUUACUAAAGGAGGCAAAAGAGAAAUGUAACAAAAAAAAUAUUUUGAAUUCCAAGAAUGUUUCACUAUUCAAGAUGACUAGCUGAGAGUCAACAGACAAGAUACUAGGAAUGUGGGUGCUUGAAUGCAUUUGUACAGAGGUCAUACUAUUUACAAACUCUUCUAUGUUUCCAUAUGACUACCUACUUCAAUGUCACGCGAGCCAUUCAGCUGGACACAUGGCACACUAGCUUGCAUGUCGAAUCCAUGAUUAAUUAUUUGCACUUGUGAUCUCUUACCAGUAUUUGUCCAGACUAGAAACGUGCAACACAUUUUUAGGAUAUGGACACGCAUAUAUUUGGACUAGUAUACAGGUCACCUUUGGAUGCGUACAAGGAUGACCGGGAGGGACUAAUGGAUACAAGGAAGGGACCAUCAGGAUUAAUAUUGACAUAUGCCACAUGACAAUCUUCAUUGUCAUGCAAUCCCUAUCAACAAUCAUGGAAUCCCUAGUGUACUAAUCCCUGGAGGGUUGUGUGGAAAUUUAUUUUACCUUGCGGUGAAAAUCUCAUGAGCAGUCAUUAGUUAAGCUGACUAGCUGAGAUAUAAUAGACAAGCUAGUAAGAUUGGGAGCAUCAAUGCAUCCAUACAGGGUCACAAUAUCCUUUCCAUUCACUUUUAUAUAUAACCCUACGAAUACAAGUCCAACGAAAUGCGGGCCUUUCGAUCAAGAUAAAUUAAAUGGCCCACUUGUAUUUCUAAUCCAGGAUUAACUAUGCCCUCUGUUCAUCUCUUGCAAGCACGUGCAACACAUUUUCACGAUAUGGACAUGCAUGGAGGUUAUUAUACUGUUUGGACAAACUCUGAUGUGCCAUGACCUAAAUGCUUAGGGCCUGUUUGGUUUGAGUUGCUUAUUAUAAGCAACUUAAAGUUGCUUAAAGUUGCUUAUUUGAAGUUGCUUAUUUUUAGUCUAAACUGUUUGGAUACCCUUGCUUAUGAGCAUUGAAUGAGUUGGACAUUGUCAAAUUUGCCCCAUGUGUUGCUACCCCUCCAAUUUGCCUCCCCACCCUUCUUCUUCCUGCACACGUCCGAUCCCGGGGGCCGACGGCGGGCAGGGAGCAGCAGCAGCUGGCCAGGGCGGCGGUGGGGCGGGAGCGGCGGCGCACACCAGCACGCGCUCGCACGCCAGGUGCUAGGGCGCGGCGAGGCAGUCGUCGUAGCCCACCGGGAGCGGGUGCUCGGGCGCGAGGCGGUACUCGACGGAGAUGCCGAGCGUCGGGCGCGCGGCGGCGAGCGCGUUGAGGAAGCGAUGGUAGUGCGGCGACGUCGCGGACUCCGCCACGAAGCCGCCGCCGUGGACGUACACCACCACGGGCAGCUUCGUCUUGCCGUCGGCGGCCGCGGCCGCGGCCUGGGGUGGCAGGUAGAGGCGGACGGAGCAGGAGCCGAGGUCGACGUCCCUGGAGUCGACGCCCGUGGCGGCGUCCAGGCUGGGCCCGACCGGCGGCGGCACGAGCGGGCGCUCGAUGCGGCCGCUCUUGUAAAUCCGACGGGUCUGUGCGGAGGCGGGCGGCGGGCGGGAGCGGCGGGUGGGAGCGGCGGCAGGUGGUGCGGAGGCCGGCGGCGGCGGGUGGCGCGGAGGAAGGGGAGCUGGUGAGUGGUGACAGGGGAGGGGGGGAGAGAGAGGGGGGGUAGGGUGCAUUGAAUGAGGGCAGGAGGUGUAAAGUGCACCUUUUAGUCCCCAUGAGCAACCAUAAGCAGCCCAAGAGUUGCUUAUUUGCUUAUAAUAAGCAACCUCAUAAGCAAGAGUGAUUGGUUUCAUAAGCAACUUAUUUGCUUAUUUUAAGUUGCUUAUGCAUAAGCAUGUGAAACCAAGCAGGUCCUUAACCUAUGGUUGUGGCACCACACAGUACAUAGUAUUUAAUAAUGCUAUUCGUUUGGUAUGUGCACAAGGGCACGCAUGAAAUGUCUGGCCCACGGUAAACAAGUACGGACGCUGCAAAUAAUCUACUCUGCUCGUCCAGUCCCUAGCCUAUAAAUAGAUGCCAUGCUAGCUCUUGUUGUGCUCACAAUUAAUCCUGACUACACACGAGCUUCUCUCCCUGGCCAAGACACAAUCAUAGUAUGAUGAAGAACAUGGCACUAGCCGGCAAUGGUAUGAAGAACUUAAUCCUCGCUGUUCUCUUACUGUGUCUAGUUAUAGGGCAGAUACAAGUGGAAGCUAAGAGCUGCUGCCCAUCCAUUACUGCAAGAAAUAUCUACAAUGCCUGCCGUAUCACGGGUACAUCCCGUCCAACGUGUGCAAAACUGUCAGGCUGCAAAAUUAUCAGCGGGGACAAAUGCAAGCCCCCUAACGACCACCUCACCCUUGACCCGGACACUGGUAAAUAAUAAAUUUAUCUCACUUGAUUUCUUCGUGUUUUGAGUCGUUAAUGUAUUUUCCAUCUGAUGAAACGUAUUGGUUUUGCAUUGAAGAGGAAGUUAAUGUGCUUAACUUCUGCAAGUUGGGGUGUGCGUCGUCUGUGUGCAACAACAUCAACGCUGGUAAGCACCUUUUGCUCAGACGGAGAAAACAAUAAUCAUUAAUUAGCGGCAGCUAGAAUCCUAUAAUCUAAUAUAUUUAUAUAUAUAUAUAAUUUUAUCAGCUCUGGGAAAUGAAGAGGCGAACGAUGCCGUUGAGAGUUGCGACCAAGCCUGCUCUAGCUUCUGCAACGUGCACGUUGGCGCUGCCACCGUGGUUGCUUAAGCAAAUGCAUCCAACUGGAUCGUCCUUGUGCUAAAUAAUUGGAUAUCGUAUCCACUUAAAGCUGCCUUGUGUAGUACGUUUUUGUUUGUGUCUCUCUUUAUAUUCCAAUAAGGUCGGUGAUCUUGAUGCCACACACUCAGACGUGUGUUCAUCUCCAGAUACUACUCCAUGCUACCUGCCCUUUGUGUUUUGUUCAAUAACUGGGUAUCAUAUCCCAGCCAGUGUGCCAUCUGUUUUGUGUUUAUUUCCUUCUAGUUUCAAAGGGGU